rnacentral:lncRNA from 1 species
CCAACACCAUAUUUUCUUUUGCCAUGUCUAGCGUAGCAAUAAACAUUGAUGAAAACUCGAUUCCGAGAGAUCACAUGGCAAAUGCAAUGAUAGAUAGUCAGUUGCAUGAGUGUGUGAGGCAGAACAUUAAUACUGAGGAAUUUAGAAGGCUUGUCCAGCAACGUUCAGCGGAGAAGCUUGUGACACCCUGCGGGAAUACACUACUUCACGUAGCUGUAAGCUAUGGAAGUGACAAUAUUACAUCUUAUCUGGCUCAAACGUUUCCUUCUCUCAUCACCAUCCAAAACAGCCAGAAGGACACAAUCCUUCACCUUGCUGCCAGAGAAGGAAAGUCCAGUGAUACAAUUAAAUCUCUUGCGGAAUCGAAUCCGAGCUUGAUGGGGAAGACAAAUACAAAGGGAAACACUCCUUUGCAUGAUGCAGUGGUCAAGGGCAACAAAGACCUUGCCAUUUUCCUAGUUUCCAUAGAUCCAGAAGCGGCCUAUUACAACAACAAUAAUGGCAAGUCUCCUUUAUAUCUGGCUGUUGAGAACGGCAAUAAGAAAGAGAUACUUGAUGAUCUCUUGAAAACGAAAGCUUCGUUCCCUAUAAAAAGUGAAGAUGGUGAUGCCCUACCAAAAGGAAAGUCACCUGUUCAUGUUGCCAUCAAGCAACGUAACAGAGGUGAUCACAAUUUCAUUACUCACUAGAAAAUGAAUUACAUACAAACAAUUGUUGCAAAGCUAUCAUCUUUAUAUUCAUUUGAAACAUUUUCUUUUGAUUUUCAGAUAGUUUGGAGAAAAUUCAAAGGGAAAAGCCAGAGCUAUUACGUCUCACCGAGGAAGAGUUUGGAAAUUCACUGCAUUAUGCAUCAUCCAUAGGAUUUCUGGAAGGAGUUCGAUUCCUAUUAAAGAAGUUUCACGAUGGUGCUUAUGAAACAAACCUUGAAGGCAACUAUCCUAUCCAUGUAGCAUGUAAAAGUCACUCUGUUGAUGUAGUGAAGGAAUUUCUUGAUAAAUUCCCAUAUCCAAAAGAAUUCCUCAAUAAGGAAGGGCAGAACAUUCUUCAUGUAGCGGCCAAAUAUGGAAAUAGCAGUGUGGUUAGGUAUAUACUCAAACAGGACGAGGAGCUCGUCGCACCGCUGCUAAAUGCGAUAGAUGAGGAUGGAAAUACACCUUUGCAUUUGGCAGCACGUUAUGGCCGAUGCACGGCUACAUUUCUUCUUGUGCGUGACAAUCGCGUUGAACAUUUGAUUGUUAACAAUAGAAAUUGGACACCAUAUGAGUGUGCUGAAGAUUUUUCCAAAAUAUUUGAAGAGGAAUACAUAGAAACAGUAUGCAACUAAUUUGAUCAUCAUUUAUCGAGCUACAAAAUUCUAUAUAUUUUAGGAGUAUUACUGAUUUAAUAUUUUGGUAUCUGGGCUUCCUCUUUGUUGCCAGCGUGCCGAGGAACGAGAGCAGUUUGAUUCAAAGAACAGUACCCGGGCGCACGAGAUCAAGGUAUUUACGUUUAGGAUUAUGAUAAGUUUUUUCUAUUUAAGAAACAAUAUUUUUUAUAAAAUACUAUCCAAAAAAAAACAGAGAGGACGGAUUAAUAAUUUUUUUUUAUUAAAUAGAUAUCUUUUAUAUAUUUAUUUCAAUAAAAUCAUGAAAAGUUUUGUCCAUAUUUAUUAUUUUAAUUGCUUUUAGUUUUUAUGGAAUAAAAACAUAGCUAAAAAAAUAUUUAUUUUUUUUCAAGAAAAUCAUCAAUUCAUUAUUCUUUUAUUUCUGAAUUAAAACUUAUUUAUAAGAUUAUGAUAGGUUGUUAUUAAAAAAAGGAAAACAAUUUUAUAAAAACAUUAGUAAAACAAAUGGAACGUAUUCAUAAGGAAAAUGGUUUUGAUUAAAAAAAAUAUAGAUACCUUUUUUAUUUUUGUUUCAAAUCAAUUUAAAUUAUUUUUUUUAUCCUAUAGAGUUUAAAUUAUUUAUGAAAAUUAAUUUUUAUUGUCAUGUAAUUAAAUAAAAAGAAUUAAAAGUAUCUCGCAACACGAAAUAAAAAAUCUUCAAUAUAUAUAUAUAAGCUCGUCAAACCGCUGCUAAAUGCGAUAGAUGAGGAUAGAAACACACCUUUGCACUUGGCAGCAGUUUAUGGCCGAUGCAUGGCUACAUUUCUUCUUGUGCGUGACAAUCGCGUUGAACAUUUCAUUGUUAACAACGAAAAUUUUACACCAUAUGAUGUUGCGAAACAACAAUCUAAAAUGGCUGUAGACCAAUAUAACAAAACAGAUGAAAUGGUAUGCUAUUUGAUCAUCAUUUAUCGAGGCUACAAAAGUACAUAUUUUAAGAGUAUUAUUUAUUUAAUAUUUUGGUUUCUGGGCUUCCUCUUUGUUGCCAGCUUGCUAAGGAACGAGAGCAGUUUGAUUCAAAGAACAGUAUUCCUGCGGACGAGAUCCAGGUAUGAGAGUUCUGUUGAAAAACAAUGUUCUUACAUUUUAAGUAGACAAGGAUUCCAUUUCACUAAAGGAUAUCAUAUUUUACAUAAUAAAGGAUGAUGUCAUGAAAAAAUGGAAACAGAGUAUAUAACUUAACACUCUUAAAAGCUGACUGAAAUUCAGGACUAAAGAUAUAAUAUAAAAUCGUAUCCUUAAACCUCAAUUAGCUGUUAAUGCUUUUGAGUUGAGUGGUUCUUUGAUAUACUCAAUCAUCCUUUGUCAGAAGAGGUCAUGUCAUGUAAUUUGUACAAUUAUCUGCUCUGCGUUGCUUCAUGAUUUCUGUCUUCAUUCCUCAGAUCGAAGUUAAUUCAGAAGAUGUGAAGGAUGGAAAGAAGAAUUCUACAACAGAAAAGGCGACCGCUUCGACUGGUUCUCAACGAAAGGUACAAGUUUACUUUGACUACACAAAAUCGAGGUUAAUUAUCUCUUCUAAGCUCAAAGAACUACUUUCCAAAGAUGGGCUGAUCAUCAGUUUCAGUGGCUUUUAUUGUUGGCUAGCCAUAGCACAAAAGGAAAGAAGGAAAGAAAGAAAAAAGAGGUAGCUCUCUAUUCAUUAACUUAAAAUUAUGUUUUUUUACAGGACAAAGCAGUUGAUUCAAAGGACUACAGGGCUGCUUGAUUAUUAUGGAACGGUAAUAUUACACAUCUUCUUUCCUAUAUUUUUUCUAGUCAUCCCUACUCUUUUGAACAUCUACUUGAAGGCCGAUUAAUUUAGAUUUUAUACAAUUAUUUUCAAAAUUCAGAAAUUAUUCCAGAAUCGUGCUUGUUCUUAAAAAGAAAAAAAAAGGAUUUCAAGGCCAACGCUUUUGCAUGCGAUUGAGGAAGUGCCAGAAACUCAUUAUUAUGAAGUUUGUUUCCCCUUGCUAUGCAGAUGACAACAUUAUCUAUCUUAUACUUCCAUGCCCGCCCUAAGAAAUCCCUAUAUGAGCGUCAGUGGACUCAAGGCAAGCCGCCAAGGAAACAGGAAACAAAUAUCAGGAUACAGAAUCUUCUUGUUGUAGCGGUGCUUGUUGCUGGUGUAACCUUUGCGGGUGCUAUACAGAUGCCUCAACAAAGGGAUAAAAAUAACAGCACUGCAUUUCACACCAAUACUGUUUCAUCUCUUUUGGAUGUUUAUUUAUGUCUUGAUGUGUGGGCUUUAAAUACCUCUGUGGUGGCAGCUAUAAUCCUUCUUUUGACAAAGUUGAAUGAUGUCAAUUUUGCACCAUUUGCACUUUGGUUUUCAUCGUUAAUGGUGGGUGGGUCUAUUUACAUGAUGUGCUUGUCAUUCUUUUUUGCUGUGACCAUAGCAUUAUGGGGUGGAUCCACUUAUGGGUUGUUCGCUACCAUCCUUAUAGUGGUGGGGAUCGUGUUUUUCCUUGCUCAAACAUUGCUAUAUAUUCUGUGGAUUCUACUACAUCUCCAUAUUAUCGAAGGAAUGCUCUCGGAUUAUGUCUACUACAUCUGGUUCAUGCUUGUCUACAAUUGGAGGUUCCUGACUUAUAGUCUUCCUCAUCUUCAUAAACUUCGUGAUCUCUGGACAAAGCCCAAGUAACUAUCCAGGUUGAUCUUCAUCAAAAGAUGUCAUGAUUUUGUGGGAUCGCCUUUUUCUAAAAAAGGUUUGGGAUGAAAAAGCAUCUUGGAAUAUUGUGUGUGUCUAGAUGUUGUAAUAAUAAUUUGAACUUGUAAUAUCUUUUGAGUUUCUAUUUGAAAUAAUGAAUUGAAUGUGUUCUAUCAAUAUGUUAUCAUAAAUGAAUAAAUUUUAAGAGAAAAUUGUCAAUAAGUUGAGUUAAAGCAAAUUUAAAAUGACUCCAUUAAGCAAAUUUUAUUUAUUUAUUUUUUAAUGAUAUGCUAUAUAAGUUCUUAUAUUAAAAGAAACAAAAAAUGAAAAACAAAUAGUCAAAGUGUAAUGCAAAGAUUGCGUUCAUGUUUUGAAUGGAAUUAUGUAUUAACUUAUUAGUUAGCCAACCUUAUACAAUAGUGAUUAAGCCUAUUAAUAUUUUCUUGAUAUAUACAUCCUAUAAUAUGCCCUCUCAAGAUGAGGGUGAAGAAUCGACUCAAAGAUUGAACUGAAAAGCAGCAGGAAGUGACUUAGUAAAAACAUUUACAAGUUGAUCCUGAGAAGAGAUAAAAUGAAUCUGAAUUUCCUUCUUGGCAACCCUAUCACAUACAAAAUAAUAAUCAACCUCAACAUAUUUAGUACGAACAUGAAAGAUAGGAUUCGUUGGCAAAUAAGUAGCACCGAGAUUAUCACAUCAAAGUGUAGAAGCAGAACUAUGAGUAAUCUUCAAACCUGACAAUAAAUACAAAAGCCAUAUAUCCUCAACAAUACCAUUUGCUAAGGCUUUAUACUUGGCCUCAAUAGAAGAACAAGCAAUCAUGCAUUGCUUACUUGAUAUCUAUGAAAUCAGUAUAUGACCAAAAAAAACAAGGUAACCACCCAUAGACCUGCGAUCAUCAAUAUUACCAACCUAGUUUGCAUCUGUAAAAUCAUGUAAAGCAACGGAGUAACUAUGAGUGUUAUGUAAGCCAUGAGAAACCAUACCCCGAAGAUAACACCGAAUGUGUUUAACGACAACCCAAUUGGAAUCUGUAGGAGCAUCCAUAAACUAACAGACGUUGUUAUUAGUAAAACAAAUGUUUAGUCUUGUAAAAGUGAGAUAUUGAAGAGCACUAAUGAUGUGACAAAACCAUAUAGGAUAAAAAAAUAAGCAAUUGAGCACCACUGUAACUUUGGAGGUAGAAAUAGAAGUAUCAACAGGUUUGAAUGAUGUCAUACUAACUCGAGUAAGUCUGUCAAGAAUAUACCUAUCCUAUCAUAGAAUAGACCCAUACUAGUGGAUUGAACCUUAAUUCCCAAUCAAUAAUGAAUAGCUCAUAAGUCUCGAAGCUUAAACUCUAAACUCAAUAACUAUAUCAGUUUUUGAAGCAGAACGAAGUUGCUGCCUAUAAGCAAAAUAUCAUCGACAUAAACUAGAAGGUAAAAGAGAUCAACAUCAUCAGACAAGAUAAAUAAUGAAGUGUCAAACUUUGAAGCAUGGAAGCCAAAAGAGAACAUAUAAUCACUCAGAUGAGUGUACCAUACUGUUGAUGUCAUGAUCACUCAGAUGAGUGUUUGUUUUCGAUCUUAACCAUUCAUAAUUUAAACAAUAUCUGGAUGAACAAUAUAUCCAAAAUCCAGACCAAUCCAACAGUGAAAAAAUGAUACAACGGUCGAUAAACAAAGUUGUCUUGAAGGGUAAUUUUCUAGAAAUGUUCCUUUGGCAACAAUGCUCAAAUGAAGUCUGUUAUUGACAAUCCCUCCAGUCAGAAUGUAGGUGACAUUGAGCAUAAUAACAUAACCAAAACGCAACCUAAUCCAAUGAUGGAAAGCCAAGAUAUGGCUGCCGAAGUUCCUGCCUUGUUGCCAUCCUAAAAUCCAUAGUUUCAAAUCACCUUAUUCCUUAUAUUGUUUUUUGCAAAUCAAGCCAUUAUCAUGCAAUUAAUCUCGAAAUUCACAAGAACAAUUAUUCCCCCAAAAUAUUUACAUGAAACCUAGAAUUUUAAACUUGGAGGUUUUUUUCUUCUCAUGCAAGAACAAGAGAGAAAAAGGAAAUUACUAAAGGGUAUGUUGCUUACCUUUGCUACCUUAACUUAUUUCAAUGAAUUCUUGCAAAAAUCUACAAAACUCAUGUCCUCCUCUUUCAAGUUCCAGCUCCCACGCUUUGUUUUUCCCAAUCUUUAUAACUUUUUAAGUAUGGUCACUUGAUUUGUUUCCUUGGAUAUAAUCCUCCCAAGAACACUUCGUUUUUAUUUAAUUUGAAGAAAUGGAGAGGAGAUGAAGAAAAUGGGAGAAAAAUGGUCUCCCUCCUAUUUUCUCCUUUUGAAGAGAACAUGAGAUGUGUUUAAAGGAGGAGAGGGGGUAUUGUUUUAUAUAAAAUUAUCAAAAUGCCUUUAUUAAUGCCUCUUGUGUCAUCUUCUUCCAUUUACCCGAUUUUGAGUACUCUAGUAGAGCCUUCCCAAACUCCUACUGACAUGAAAUUGUAACCUAAGAUAAACCAAUAACUCUGGAAAUUCCUUAUACAAUUUCAACUCGAUCCAACAUUUGGAUUGAGAUAUAUUAUCGAUACCAUAAAACUAGACAAUCUGCGUCUUUUACGCUAAAUUCUGAAUUUCAUGCAUUACUUUAUUUACUUAGAUUCUUAUGACAUUUCCCCUUAAUUUAUGCUCAAUAAAUUCAAUAUUACCAUAUUUAUCACUAAUUUGUCGAAAUAAGUUUUUUUUAUUAGGGUUUACAUAUCUUCUCGUUUUUUCUUAUUCUUUUAUGAAAUGAAACUCGUCACUAGUUUCGCCAACGUUAUGAGUUUUAAAUUAAAAAUCAUGACUCUCAUUUCAAAUUCAACGAUACCUUUAAAUUUGUUUAUGGAGAUUAUUCUCUCUCUCACAUGACACAUUUAUUAUCAUUCCUACUAUUUAUUCAUUUAUUCCAUACCUAAUCUCCAUUACUCAUCAAGACCUCAUUAAUUUGAUCCUAUGUUUUUUUUUACGAGGGUUUAAAUAAUUUCCAUCUAAUACUUCUGAAUUUAUUGUUCCGGGAAUCACUAAAAUUUCCCUCCUAUCUUUUUUUCAUUCCACAAAUUUUAACCAACAUCCACAUUUUUAAGGCCAGAGAACUAAUUCUUUCAAAAUGUCGAUCCCCAUUUCAUUAACACCCUCAAUCAUUCUUCAUUGAUAAUACCAUCAUAACAUUUCUUCCCAAAAACUUGGAAGGUAAUGCCGACACUAAUGAAUCUCAUUAGUGUUGUAACCUAAUUUUUGAUUCACUAAGAUAUUCUUGAAUGUUAUUUUAUUUCUAUUAUUAUUCAUAAAAAUCCAAAACAAUUCAGAAAAAAAAAGUUUAAAAUUCAAAAAAAUAUUUUUCUCGAGUCAACCGCAUCUUACCAUAAAAACCGAUUUCACCGUAUCAAUAUGGGUCAAACCAUGCGGACCAGGGUAAAAAAAUGAGUUUUCGUGAAGUUUCGGGUCAAAAUCGUCAUUUUCGGUCAAAACCGUCAUUUUUCAUAAAAACCGAUUUCACCGGGUCAAUACGGGUCAAACCACGUCGACCAGGGUAAAAAAAUGAGUUAUAUGACGUUUCGGGUCAAAACCGUUAUUUUCGGUCAAAACCGUCAAUUUUGAUCAAAACUGAGUCAACCGGGUCAAUACGGGUCAAACCAUGUCGACGAGGAUAAAAAAUGAGUUUUCAUGACCUUUCAGGUCAAAACCGUCAUUUUUGGUCAAAACUGAGUAUUUUGGAUCAAAACAAAACCGAGUCCACCGGGUCAAUACGGGUCAAACCAUGUCGACCGGAAUAAAAAAUGAGUUUUCAUGCUAUUUCGGGUCAAAACUAUUAUUUUUCGGUCAAAACCCGUUUCACCGGGUUGAUACCCAUCAAUUUUAUUUUUUUGUGUUCCAAUAUAAUUUUGUUUUUUUUUUUUUGCGGUUGAAACAGGCUUUUUUCUAACUGAUUUAAGUUUUUCAGUUUUACCCAUAUAAUUAUUUAUUAUAUAUAAUAAAACAAAAUUAAUAAUUCAUAAUUUAUUAUAGUAGGUAAUAGUUAGUUGAUGCGGUGCAUUAUUUUCCUUUGAAAUAAAUGUAUUGUCCCCUGCUCGUUGGCUAUAAAUAGCCACGAGAAAUAAAUGUGUUGUCCCCUGCUCCUUGGCUAUAAAUAGCCACGAGAGCAGAGGGAGAAUGGGGAAGAAAAAGAAAAGAAAGAAAGAGAUCCUGCAAUAUUUAUAUUUUUUUCAGUUUUUCUUCAUGCGAGUAAGAUAUUGUUUUUUUCUUAAAAAACAAUUUGAAAAAUACCAAAAAUAUCCCAACCGUUAGAUCUAAUAGUGUUAUUUCUGGACCUUUGAUUUAAUAGGAUACAAUAGGGCUUACCACACUAUAUUAAAACCCAAACCCAUCUCAGCCUUUGAAAUAAUCUGCCCUUUGAUCCUGUUGCGCCACGUCACCCGGUGUACCGAGCUUUCGGUGCACCGCGCCACACCAGAUCACACCUCUGCUCAUCCAGACCGUCCGAUCAACCUGCAGAUCGAACCAAUCACAGCCGCACGAUCUUUUCAUCAGAGAUCCAACGGCUCACAAGCAUCAGCUACACCGGUGUACCGUGCUAGAGUUCACACCGUAGUUUAACCUAGAGCCUCUCUCUCGUCUCGCGGGCUACUCUCUCUCUCUCCUCCGAUCUCCCAUCUCCGGCCGUCGCAAGCUUCCAAACCACCACAGAAAGGUGUCCAACCUCCUAAAAAGCAAAACCCCCGCGGUUUUCAUCGUUUUCGCAGCCUCAUCUUGCCGGAAAAAGGCCGCGAUUGUCGCCGGCCACCGAAGCUUCAAGUCGUCGAUUCUCCCUCAUCAACCAUCAACGGCGGUCACUCAAACUCAAACUGAUAAUGAGCCUCUAUCUGACACCUUUCUUCACUUCCAUCCUUUCUUCAAUCAUUUGCAGCACAGCUUGUGCGGGGGAACCUACUUUUCAACCCGGUUCAUGCAUGAUAAAUGGAUGAACAUGUAAUCUAUACGAUGAACUCACCCUUCGAGAGGUGACAAUAUGGUCGUAACUCUUGUAUGAUGGACAAGAAUCGUGAUUUUUGCCCAAACUCUAUAAUGAAAAUUUUUGGAGCCACGGCCAAUGUGUCACCCACAAGUCUUGAGUUCAAGAUGCUUCAAGAAGGGUUUGCCCUGAUGCAAAUAACGAUAACACAUACAACCUAAGGAUAGGUUCUAUUCAUUUUACGUGAGACAGGGUAGGUUUGCUACUUGGUCUCUAAAAGGGUCUCUUGUUGUCCCAGUGAUCGCCCUCAUAAAGGCAAUAUAGGGGCCCAAUAGGUAAUUGGUUGGCACGUGUCCAACUAUUACCAGUCUAAGCACUCAACAAAGAGUUGGGGUUUACACAAACUUAAACCUUGACUCAAGUCGUAAGGUAAGCUGCUAGUCCCCCACCCAACCUAAAGUUUAAUGUGUGUGCUCUCAAAAAAUAAAUACAGGUGAUGCAUGAGAUAAUUCUAUAAAAUGCAUGGAAAUAAAUAUUAACAAAGAGAUAAAAAUGCAAAAACUUAAACACAUCAAAUACACAAAGCUUAGUCCAGUAUUGUCAGAAAAAAUACCGUCCCCAGUGGAGUCGUCAUUCUGUCGCACCCCAAAAAAUUUCCUGGCGCGCGGCAUCGGCUGGCGAUUUUUAUCGUUUUGUUGCGUUUUCUUUGAAUUCGUUCGUUGGAGUCGCCACAUAGUAAUUCGUUGAGGGCUACUAGGAAACCUGGUGUACUAGUCUUAUCAGAGAUCACGGGUAAGGGACUGGUUGUGGUUAGGGAAGGUAUUAGCACCCCUAACACACCCUACCUGAGGUAAGCUGCUUCGUGUUCUGAUGUGAUUUAAAAAUUUAAAAUAUUAAUCAAAUUCUAAGGCUUGAAUAAAUCAGUUAUUAAAUCCCCGAAUAUAUGUAGAAACUUGUUCUCACAUUUUCAUGGAAAAUACAACUUGAUUUUAUUUGUCCUUGAGAUAUUUAACCAUAUUUAAAUUAACAAUUAAAUCUUUUUGUCUUUUUUUUUUUUUUAUAAUUCAAUAACAUAAAAUAAAAAUACAAACACACACAACUUUCUUUUUAUCAUUUAUUUUUCUUUUCUUUUCUUUUUUUUUCUUUUUUCCUUUUACAUCACAAUACAAAUACAAAUACAAAAUCAAAUACAAAUACAAAUACGAAUUCAAAAUCAAAACAAAUAAAUAAAAAUUACAUUGAUUAAUUAAAAAAAAUUACACAAUAGUCCCUAAAACUCCAAAAAAUUGCAGGGAAGGACUUCUGCACCCGCAGGAACAGUAGCGACGCGUCUCCCCACGCGCCGCAGCCAGAAAACCCUAGGAACAGGGGGGUCUAGACCGACUUCUUCGUCUCAGCCCCCCUACGCCGGCGGUGACACCCACCGUCACCUGCAACCACAAGAAAACGCACAAACAGUAGUCCAUUUUAAGUUGUUUGUUUCAUUUUAGAUCUGUUUUUUCUUCUGCUUCAGAUCGGCUUCUUUCGGGUCGGUCACGGUUCGUUACCCGAGAGUUCAUCCCUGCAGCACAUCGGAUUGUUGGGCAUCGUCGGCGCUGAUGGUGGCUGGAUCUCGGGCGUGUCUGUGUUGCUGCUGGCUGAAGAAGCGCCGCUGGUCUGUGGGUUGCUGCUGGCUGCUGUGGCGCUGUUGGCGCGGUGGGGCUGAGGGAAGACUGAGAAGAAAACAAUGGGGGCUGCGCCGUGUUCGGUCUAAGAUGAGAGGAGCGGCGGCCGGAGGAGUUAUGGCUUGGGGUUGAGGCCGGUGUGCAGUGGAGUCGGUCUGUUGCCGACCGAAGGAGAUGAUGAAGGGAAUGGGUCUGUCUUGGCUAGCUUUAGCCGUGAAAGAAAAUGAAGAUGGAAUCGGUGGGGAACGGAGGCCCUGCCAGGGGAGAACGGCUGAAGGAAGAAGAAGAAGAAAAAGUAAUCCGGGGGGUUUUUUGGGGGGCUGUUUGGCCGGGUCUCAAAGAAAAAAAAUGGGGCGGCGGCUGUGUCUUGUGUUUUAGGGUUUAGGUUUUUUCUUUGUAUUUUUCUGUUGUUUCCAAAUCACCUCAUGUAUCAAAAUUGCCCCCCCCCCUUUUUGCAAGUGUUGGAAACCAGUAUUUAUAGGCAAACGAGCAAAUCUUUUAAAAAACAUAUUCUUUGUAUUUUCUUGAAAACGAGCAAAUCAACGUCGACUGAACGAGGAAAAUCAAUGAUUUUAAAAAUGACGCGUGAAAAGUUGAACGCGUUUGAAAAUCUUUUAAAAAUUUAAAUUCUCUUUUUUUUUAGACAACGUUGAAAAUGCUAAAAUGACGAAAAUAUAUUAAAAAACAUAUUUUUUGGAUUUUCUUUGUUUUUUCUCUAUUUUUGAAAUUUUUAAAAAAUAUAUAAAAAACAUGGGUCAAAAAUUGGGUAGCAACACAUGUCACGAGCAAAAGAGGAAACAAGGAUCAUGAUAGGGAAUGUUCUAGUUGUAGCAGUGCUUGUUGCUGGUGUAACCUUUGCGGGUGUUAUACAAUUGCCACAAUUUAGGGACAACAAUAACUCAAGUGAUCGUCGUCAUGAAUUUAACAGCACUACUUACAGCACUUAUGUAUCUUUAUUUAGUUUGCGAUGUGGGGGCAGCUCUAUUCCUUCUUUUGCCAAGCUUUAUUAAUCCCAGAUUUCUAAUCUCUGCAGUUUGGCUUUCAAUCUACAUGGUUUGUGUGGCUAUUUACAUGAUAUUCGGGGCAUUCCUUUUUUCUGUGAGAAUAGCAUUAAUAGGAUCCCAUGGCUGGUUGUUACCAAUCAUCAGUACAGGGGUGGCCGUUGUUAUUCCUUCGAUUAUUCUGCUAUUUGUCAGCCAAGUUCUUCUAAAAGUGCACCAUUUCUACUACGGCCUUUUUUUCUUUUUAAUCUACAGUAGCUGGUGGCUGCCUAAUAAACUCUCUGAUCUCAAGAGAGAGCUCUCUGAUCUUGAGAGAAAGUUCAGGAUUUUGAGAUCGAUCAUAUCUUAGAUUGUGUCUGGCGAGCGAUUGGAGUAAUAAUUUGAACUUUGUAAUAACUCUUGAGUUUCCAAUUGAAUGUAUGCGCACUUCUACUUCUACUUUUUUAUAUAUAUAUAUAUAUAUAUUAAGCAUGCAUUUACUAGACUCCUGUUGUUGUUGUUGGAUUGAGUAAAAAAAAUAAAUCAAAUAUUCAAAUUAAGAUAUCAACUUGGUUGGUCUUAACAGUAUUAAAAUGGCCAUCCCAAAAUCAUUGACACGGUGCAUUACGAUAAAAUCAACAAACAUCCAUCCCGUCCCUGCUGCAGGAUUUUUUUCAAGGUAAAAGGACGAGCAAUUUUUAAAAAAAAUUUGUUCUAAGAAAUACAGCCAACACCACCCCUGUUGGGGAAUCCAACCGGUGAUGUACUGAUAAUUGCUCAACGGAGGAGAAGCACACUGAGACACAAUAUUUAAUGUGGUUCAGCAAAUCGCCUACAUCCACGGGAGAGAGUCCAUAUUAUUUAGAGAUAUAGAAAGAAUACAAAACAAAUCUCUAUUCCACGGGAGGAGGAUCACUUCACUCUACUCUACUCCCAGCUCUCAUUGUUGCAAUGACAGCAACUCCUCUUUCUCUCUUCCUCUCUAUUGCACUCACAAUCUCUCUCACAUUUUGCUCUCUAAUAUAUGCCUCUAUUUAUAGGCAUCCAUGGUAGCUUCUCUUGGUCUUUUAUCAACAAUGGUGGCUGCCAAACAUUGACAUUAGUCAAUGGUUGGUGGCUGCCACCAACAAGCCACCAUUAUAGCCUCCUUCUUUGACAAUGGUGGCUGCCAAAGUCAAUGGUUGGUGCUGCACAUGCAAUGGCAACCAACCCAACAAUCACCCCCUUUGCCAUUCAUGUGGGGCAACUGUCCGCUUACUUCUUCAGCACAAGCUUGCAUCUUGCAGCUCUUCUAAGCUUGUCUCUAGGACACAUCAUUCCCUUUCGAGCGUAUCAACCAUGCUCGGUCCGGAAUGAUUCAUCAAGCCUCACAUCAAGGCUUACAACACCCCCUCAAACAAAAAUUUCCAUUUCCAAGUGCGACAGUCAUUAUCCGAGUAUCUCAAUAUGAUCACGAGCUCACCACUUUUCUAAGAGUCUACUCAUCCAGGAGUUGCGCCUGCCCUCUGUUCCACCCUAGGAACCACACCUUACUUCUCCGUAAGUCUCCCGCUCUUAGUCUCAAGAGUCCAGGUAGCUCAUCACCUUUACCUAUGGGGGCAACCCAUUAAAGGUUGAUCCAUAUAUGUCUUGAUACUGUGAGUAUUACAAUGCCUUCACCGAGCCCACCACCUUGACAAGAGUCAACUUGUUCUGGAACCUACGCAUGCCCUCUGCUCAUUCAUAGCAGUCGCGUCUUAAUGCUCCACAAGUCACCCACUUAUUGUCCAAGGCAAAUGUCUUCUAGCUCAUUGAUCUUUAGCAUGGUGGCAAUAUCCAUGAAAGUCAAUCUUGCAUUUGUCUCCAUACUCACCAUAUCCACUUCAUUGACUAUACACCUGUCCACUUAUAUCUAGCUAUCACAUUGGCUCUAGGGCGUUCUGAACUGGGCUCAUAUCAUGGCCCACACACCUUCUUUAAGGUGUCUUCGCCUGUUGUCAUAAGGCGGUCUGAACUGGGGCUCCUCUCAUGGCCCUCACACCUUCUCUAAGGUGUCUUCGCCCGUUGUCAUGGGGCGGUCUGAACUGGGGCUUCUAUCACGACCCUCACACCUUAUCUUAGGUGUUUUCGCCUUUCAUAGACGGUCACAUCCUCCUUCAACUAAGAUGCUUCGGUGGCUCCAAGAUUCUCUACCACCAUGUGGACUUGGGAGAGAUAACUGCCACUAAUUACAUAGAAAGAGAAACUUGCGGUAUAUUCCUCGCAAUCCUCCACCUCGAUUUCUAUGUUUGGAGCUUCUACGCCUUUCUACUUGACAGCUCCACCUACACCAACUCUCUUUGGUGUCUUCGCCUUUCAUAGGCGGUCGCCUUUUAUCACAGGCGUUCGCACCCCCUCAAUUAGGUGCUUCUACAACAGCUCAUCUUUCCAUCCUUGCAUGCAUUGGAAAGGUCUUCGCUUGUUGUCUUCAUCAAGAGCACAAGAGACUUCCUAUUGUACACAGUCUCUGCUCUGAGCUUCAUCUGGGAAUUGUUCUUCUCCUUGCUCCUAUUGUCUCAUUACAGUACCUCGUUGGAUCCUACGGGUACUCCUGCACAAUCUUCGUGUGCCCUCGUGCAAUUUCUGUUCUCCAGAUUUCUUCCUAUUUCUUGCUUAUGUUUGACAGCAGCUCAUCCUGUCACAACACCUGUCCAAGUUAAAAUAGGGUGCCAAUCUUUAUACCCUUGUUGUAUUUCUCUUCCAUUAUCAGGGUCUUCAUCAAUUCUCCCAUCAAGAAAUCACAGUCAUCGAAUCUAACUUCUUUGGAGAAAUCACCACUCCAUAAGAUCCUUGAUCAUACGAAACCCAAUUGUUCCCCUUGUGCCGUCAUCCUGCUAGUCUUCAACCGUUUCAUUACAAACUGCUAUAUAUACGAAAAUAGUACCGUAUGGAUAAUCCUUCCACUAAGCAAGUUCCUAGGAAAGAUUGGAGGGGUCACAACGGUCCCGCUUAAAACCCAAUCUCCUAGACAGAACUUCUUAGACCAUAUCUAUUCAUCGUACUGCCUUUCCGUAUAUAUAACUAUUUGGUAGCUUUGUUGCGGCUUUCCUUUACAAGUAAUCUGGAAUAUACAGGUUUAAUACCUGAUUUCUCAACAUCUGGCGAGACUACCAGGUCUUAGAUUCGUCAAGAUUGGUCUUCAUCAGUUUUCACUCUAAACCUCUAAUUGUCCACAUAACCGGGUGUUUAGAGUGUCCCAAUUUUUCCUUCCAUCAAGGCAAUUAAAUUCUCCACUUAAUAGUUUGGCACAUGUAAUUGGGUAAAACAUGUGCUCCUUCUUCCUUUUCAUCUCCAUCGACCACCAUCAAGACCUUCAGAUGCCUCCUGAUCGGGCAAUCUCUCUUAAUAAUUCACCACCGCCAUUUUUGAUCCCAAAUCUCAACGAUCAGAUCGUACCAUUGCAUCCGGAACGAUUAAAUUAGUUGGAAACAAGUCUGAAAUCGUCCAAAUCGCAUUUCAGAUGGCUAAGAUUUGAUCAAAACAAUUCUGGCUUGAUCAACGGCUCAGAUUCAACCUCAGAACCGGUCGCACGUAGGCUGCGCUACACAGAAUCAUUUCCCUAGGCUCGCGGCUCGGCUCCAACUCGAUUCGGCUCAGCUGCUGACUCGUCAAUGACAUGAUGACUGUGUAUGAUGGCGUCACAUUACGUCAUGCUGACGUCAUCCUUAUCCGAGUCAGUCACAUGGGUCGGGUCAACUGGUAUUCGGGUUGGGUCAACCAAUCCGGGUGAAGAAGACGCGUGGGGUGCGUCUGCACGCGUGGGUAGACGCCUUGCCGGAGAGUGAUGGAGAGUGCGGCCAUGUCCGAUGUCCGAUUUUGACACCGUUUUCACCAGUGGCUUCGUCUCUUCCUCCUCUACACAGUGGUAUGGUCAAAACACCAUUUUGACAACUUUCAUUUUUUAUCAAAAAAUCAAACACCACUUUAAACCAUCAGAUACCAAUUGUUGGGAAAUCCGUCCGGUGAUGUACUGAUAAUUGCUCAACGGAGGAGAAGCACACUAAGACACAAUAUUUAACGUGGUUCGGCAAAUCGCCUACAUCCACGGGAGAGAGUCCAUAUUAUUUAGAGAUAGAGAAAGAAUACAAAACAAAUACAUGGAGGAGGAGGAUCACUUCACUUUACUCUACUCCCAGCUCUCAUUGCUGCAAUGACAACAACUCCUCUUUCUCUCUUCUUCUCUAUUGCACUCACAAUCUCUCUCACAUUUUGCUCUCUAAUAUAUGCCUCUAUUUAUAGGCAUCCAUGGUAGCUUCUCUUAGUCUUUUAUCAACAAUGGUGGCUGCCAAACAUUGACAUUAGUCAAUGGUUGGUGGUUGCAACCAACAAGCCACCAUUGUAGCCUCUUUCUUUGACAAUGGUGGCUGCUAAAGUCAAUGGUUGGUGCUGCACAUACAAUGGCAACCAACCCAACACACCCCUCCAUCAACGGAAGAGAACACAAUAUAUAAUGCAGAUUGUGUCCCACAUUGUCAUUUGAUGAUAAGUUUUUUUUGUUGUCUAUAGGUAUUCCAUUUUAGAAUUGCGUUAUAAACAAUAUGUUAUAAAAAUUAAAAUUUUAUAUUAAAAUAAAUUUUAUCUAUUUUUAAAUUAUUUUAAUAUAUUAAUGUUAAAAAUAAAUUUUAAAAAAUAAAUAUAUAUAUUAUUUUAAUAUAUUUUAACGAAAAAAAAUUAACAUACAAUUAAACAACUCUCUAUUUUUUUAAAAAAAAACUCAUACUUUUCUUUUGAAUAUUGUUAACUUCUAGAAAGUAUUUUUCAUUCAAAAUAAAAGAAAAAUAUUUUUCUAGGAAUCAAGUUAAAUUUUUCUUUAACAAGAAAGUGGUUUUUGUUGAUCAAAAAAUAUUUUCAGUUAACUAAUUUUUUUAAUAAUAAACAAAUACAGGAAGUUUGAACUAAAUUUUUUUCAUUUAUGUACGAAGGACAACAAUAUUAAAGCUAGGAUAUCAUUUGGUUCUGGAACUUGUAUCGGUUCCAUCUAAUCUAAGACUUCUUUCACUUCAUCCCUUGUAAAAUCUUCAUAUAAGUGAGAACUCGUAUCAUUUGUGGCUACUUGAGAAUAAAACACAACUCUGGAUUUGUCUUUGGUGCUUAUCAAACCAGGCUCCUUGUGAUAUUUCAACCAUAUUAAUUGUCCACCUUUCUGAUUUUGUUUGUCCCAAAACCGUUGUUCAUUAUCAAGAUUUCUAAUUAUUAAUUUUGCAGAUUUUCUUGUUAUAUUCUAAUCACAACUCAGUGUAAUUCUUUUAAUCUAACCAUUUCCUCCCUUAUUUAUAUUAAAUAAUCCAUAAUUUAAUCAAUAAAAAGUUAAAAAAUAGAGAUAAAAAGAUAUAAAUAAUGAUCAUAUCAUUUAAGCUGCUUUAAAUUUUAUAAUAAUAAAAGAUUUAAAUUACGUUAAUACUCUGAUUAAUUUUCAGUUGAGCCUUUUUUCUGAGAACAAACUAACGAAAUCAAGUGAUAUAGUUUAUAUUAGUACUUUAAAAAAUUUAGUAUAAUUAUAAAUUUAAUUGAUUGAGUGGAUAGGGUUUUUGUUAUAGGCAAGGAUGCGGCUGCUAGGUGAACAUGGCUUGGCAAAGCAUCAACUUUUAUCAUACGGUGCAUGCUUUGCAGCUGAUUCUUUUGUUGUUUUUUAAUCCUUUCCUUCCUCUCUACUUUUGUCUUGGCAAAAAAAUUGAUUUCUUGUUCAUCAGUUGAUGGUGUUCAAAAAUCCAAUAUGUUUAAGAAAGAGGUUUUUGAGUGUUUGGACAAUGAAUAAAUAUCCCUUACAUAUCAUUAAUGAAGGAUAAAUAUUUCUUACACAAUAUUUAAUACUGAUGAAAAUAUGAUAGAUCCUUAUAAGACUUUUAUAUAUUUAGGAGUGUAGAGAGAUGAGUAUUCUUAACAUUAACAUUUCAAGUUAAAAAUCAUAAGAAUAAACAAAAAAAGCCUUAUAGCCCUGACACGACCAAAACAUUGAUGUCUUCUCCCAAGUGCAGGAGUGUCGAAGUAAUAAAUAACCCGGCAAGACCGGGGUCGAACCACAGAGAGGUUAAUUAUAUAAAUUAUAAAUAACAAGACGACGACAACAACAACAACAACAACAACAACAACAAUAAUAAUACUCAGUACGUGGCGUUGUUAUACCUGAGAAUGAUCUAAAAGAUCGGGUCACAGGUUUCCAGCCUAUAUACUGAGUUUUUAAAAAGAUCAAAGAGAUAAAUUAUAUAAUAUAAAUAGAAUGUAAAUAAUAAUAAUAAUAAUAGUAAUAAUAUUAAUCGUGAUAGUAAUAGUAAUACUAAUAAUAAUAGUAGUACUAGUAGUAGUAGUAGUAGUAAUAAUAAUAAUAAAAAGAAGAGGAGGAAGAAAUUAAUGAGAACUUUGAGAUGGAAGAUUAAUGUAAGGAUUAAACAAUGAUAAAAACAAAUGUCAAGGUUAGAGGAUCCACCAAUGGUAUUUCAAACAAGUAUAGUAUAAACUCUUAUUACUCAAUUUGGAAACCACACACGAAGGAGGUUCCAAUCGGAUGAUUUGUCAUUAAUAGCUCAUUAUAAAUUAUUAACAUGAUCAUAUUAAUUAUCUUAUUUACAUAACACCAAACUUUUAAAUAUUGUCAGGAAUUCAUGAUGUUAACUGAUGUUAACAACAAAUCAAGUUCCUUUCAUAGCCCAGGUGUAGGUAAUACCAUACGGUUGGGCUAUGAGAGUGCCAAGCAUUUGUUGUACCAAGUGUUAUACAACACAAAUCUAGAUUAACCAUUUAACAAGCAAGGUAUUAAGAAUUAGUAAGAUAAAAAGAUAAGACAUGUUAAUAUUAAACAUUAAGGUCCAUGUUGAGUUUACACUAUAUUUCUUACACCAUUAGUGUAACCUUUUCACCUUGACAUAAUAAACUUAGCUAAACAUAAUGAAGAAGAGAAACAUAAAUAAACAAAACAAGAACAUAAAAAAUACAAGUUAACUAAGAAAGGAAAGGAAAUGAAAAGCAUAAACAAGAUAUUAAUGAAAGCAAAACUUAAGAAUUACAAAAAAAUAUAAAGAGAGAAAUAAAGAGCAUGAACUUGAUCUGAACAACCAAGCCCCAAAUACAUGGCAAAUGCCUCCUUUUAUAGGCCAAAAUUCGGAAUUAUUGAUUUGAUGACUAAUUGUUGAGUGGGUGGCCAACUUUUGACUUGGUGAAAAUCCUUAUCUUCUUGUCUGAAUAAAACAAAAUGCUAGCAUCAGAACUGGGUCCACUGAAAACAUGAAAGUUGUAGGAAAUUGACUCAGCUUUCCAGGAAAAAAAAUGAGGUCAUUUGGACUUCUAGAACUCAGAUAUGGGCCAAACACUGAACAUGUUGGGCUGCAGGACAGAUUCGGACUUCUCCGUUGUUGCUAUAUUUGGACUUGAAAACGGCCUUCUUAGAUUUAUGUUCACAUGAAAGUUGUAGGCCUAUGUCUUACAAUUUGUGUAAAAAUUUGAGAUCAUUUGGACAUCUAGAACUCGAGAUAUGACCCAAUUACCGAAUGUUCCAGUUUGGACUGCACCAACAUCUCUUUUCUAAGUUUCACCCUUCUUUAUCUUCAAAAUUUCAGUAGUUGAAUUCAUCAAUCAAUCCUUUGAUUUUAUGUGAUAGGCCUGCAUUUAAGAUGAACAUUUACCAUAUAUUAGGCAUUUUAUAGUAUUAGACUUGUUAUUAUAAAACAUGCUUUAGUUAAGGAGUUAUUGAUACUUUAAGUGCAAAAUGAUGAUAUAAACCUUGAUAAAUAUGCACUUUUAAGUACUAAUCACACCCCCAACCAGCUUAUUACUAGUCCCUAGUAAUCAAAGCGUUAAAAUAGAAAAACAAUUUGCAAAUUCCACAAAGUAAGGCAUUCAUCAUUCAACUUUCAUUAAUCUAUCCAGAUAAACAAACUCUCAUUAAAUUCAUAUAUCUGCUCAAUACCUCUUAAACAAGAUAUUACUAAACCUUUCUUUUGUGCUCAAAAUAUCAACAUAUAGUUAUGAGGCUUUACUUGGAAGAAAAACUUCCUUAGGUUAGGAUUAUUAUCUUUUAUAUAUAUAUAUAUACAUAUAACUUAAAACACAAUGCAUCUUUAACCCAUGUAACGAGCUUUCGGCUAAUGACUCCCAGACCAGUUGGUCUUAGGGCAUUAGGUGUUGAGACACCCCUACGAGCUUAGUAACUCGGGUUGCAGAUACUGAUACGUAGAUAGUGCAAUGUUUGAUUCCCUUAAGCUUUUCUCCUCAACCCAUGUAACAAGCGUUGGGCCAAUAGCUCCCAAGUCAGUUGACUUUAGGGUAUUAAGUGUUAAAACACCCCUUCGGGCUUAAUUGCUUAGGUUAGGGAGGCUACGAAACCAAACUUAUCUACCUUUUUAUUAUCUUAUUUUUUUUUUUUUUUUUUUUUUUGCAAAUUAUAUACUAUCCCUUUCCCUUAGUUGUUACCUUUAACAAAAGAACAUAAAUAAUGUAAUAAUCCAAUGUGCAACCCACAAUCAUAUGUUAAAGUGUGUGUGUGAAAAUGAAGAUUUAAGAAUACUUGUUAAAUGAGCAUAUGAGCAGAAUCAAGUGCUAACAAUAUGAGAGUUUGUAAACCUGAAUAUUUCAAGAAGUAUUCUGAUAGACCUUGUUAAGAAUGUUUACUAAGAUGCGUCUCAAGAGUCACUUUAACAAAAGAACUCCUUUUACUCUGCCAUCCUAGUAACAACAGUUUUGCAAAUAGUUUAUGAAAUAGAAAACACAAGUUUUUUUUUUUAUAUCAACUACUACCCUUUCCCCCAACCAAAAUGAGACAUUGUCCUCAAUGUCUAAGGUAGAAAGAUAGAGUAUAGAAGACAUCACCUGAAAACGAACACUGACAAACCUGAAACACACUUAAACAAAUAUAAGAAAAACAAAACACAAUAAUAAAACCAAAAGACACAAAGUUUUUACAAACUAAGGCUCAAAUCCAAUCUAAGCUUUUUACGGCUUUCCUUAGUUGACCAAUUUAUGCGACUCAUGGAGGGAUUAAUUACAGGGAUGAAAGAUUGUAGUUGGUCAAUCAAUUGUUCAGCAGUAGCAGCAGAGAUUAUGAUUUGUCGUGCGAAGAUGUUAGAAAUUUUGUUCCACAGCAUGAUCAAGAAAAGACAACAACUUAUCAUAAAAACCAUUAACAUUUAACAACCUAUGGGUUUAUGGUGAAUGUGCAGUUGGGCCCAAGAGGAAAUAUGAAAGAUCUCUUCCAAUGUGCCCAGACCACCUGGUAAGGCAAUGAAGGCAUCACAUGGUUAAACAUUGUAUUCAGUCGAUCAGACAUUGUGGGACCUGUAAUUCCUCUCCAAUUGUUUUUCCAAUGAUGUCCCCUUGUGCUAAAGCUUUGGGGACAACCCCCAAAACUUGACUACCUCCUAAAAAUGCAGCUUUGACACUCCCCCCAUUAACCCAAGGCUGCCUCCCCACUAAAUGAAUCUUUCGCUCAGCUAGUACCUGACCAAGAUGAUUUGCUGAUUCUAAAAACUCUUUUUCUUUCCCAGGACUGGAUCCACCAAAAACACAAAUAUUUUUUAUUUUAAGAGCUGAGGACCUGCCAUUUCAAGAAUUUUAUUUGUAGAAUGUAUGGGUUGAGUAGAAAUGAAGGGAAGAAGAGAAGCUUUUAUAGAUGAGAAAAUUGAAAUGCAAUCAUAUCACCUAUAUGGAAGCUAGCUGGAGUCUCUCUCUCUUCUUCUUUUUUUUUUUUUUUUAAAUGUGUAUGUACAGGUAGUUGUGAUUGUGGCUCACAUAUUCCCUUGGUUUCACGUCCAAAAAUAGCUUAAACGCCCUCUAUGGGUCGAGGAUAGGCUUCCCAUCCAGUUUUCUUAAAACCUGGCAAGCAAGGUCUUUUUUAGUCAGAUUCCCAAGACUAAGUCGAGCAUGUUCUUUAUAAAAAUGGAGUUAUAAGUCAUGAAAUGCACAAUGCACAUCUCCACUAUGAUGAGACUUAAGAGUCAAUAAAAGAUUAUCUAAAGACUCUCUAUGUUUUGAAAUAAAUCCUACCUUUCGACAAUUGUCACAGGUUUUGCAGAAUGCAUAGGAGUCCUUGAACAUGGUGGGCUAGUAAAAUCCACUUUGUAAGAUUUUUGCAAUCGUCUUUUUUGACGAGAAAUGAUCCCCACAUGCUUCAGAGUGACAAAAUUUAAUGACACUACUUACCUCAUUGUCGGGAAUGCAUCUUUGAAAUAUUUGAUCAGGACAAUAUUUGAAUAAGUAAGGGUCAUCCCAAUAAAGGUUUUGCAUGUCACUCAAAAACUUUCUUUUAUCUUGGUUAUCCAAAUGAGUUGGCAAAAAUCUUGAAGCAAGAAAAUUGUUAUUUUUAGCAAACCAAGGCAUUGAACUAAGAGAAAGUAAAGAUUCAUCAGGAAAGUAAUCAUUGAUUGGUGUGUCAGAUGUCGAAUCUAUUGUCAACUUUGACAAAUGAUCCGCGAACAUUUUCGGUGCCUUUUUCAUCAUCAAUUGCUUCCUGUUUGGUCAUGGCAUGAGGAAAUGAAAGUGCUGGCAGAGAAUCAAUCUUUUCUUUACAAUGUUCAGAUUCAACCCCUUCCUUACCCUUAGAGAUUGACUCAUCAUAUUUCUCACAAGGUUCAAGAGUGGGUUUGUCAAUAACCUUACCACUGCGAAGAGUGAUGACUGAUUUGACUCGAUCCAUGUGUUGGCUUCCAGAACUACUUGCAUUUGCAUUGUAUUGCCCCUUUGGAUUUUGUUGUGGUUGAGAUGGAAACUUACCUUUCUCUUGGAAACUAAGAGUAGAUUUGAAUUUUGCAAGAGCAUCUUUAAAAUCUGUCAUGCUUUGAGCAAACUGAGUGUUGAUUGUCUCUUGCUUUUCAAUGAAUGCAUGCAAUGUUUCCUCAAGAUUUCUUCUAGGAGGUGGAGCAUAAGGAGGUGCAUAUCCAUGAGAAUUUUGAAAAUUAUGGUGUGCUUGAAAUGGUGGCUGUUGUCAUAACCCAAUUCUGGGUUAUUCCCCCAAAAUAAAUUCCCCUCAAAAUAAAAUAAAAAAAUAAUAAAGACAAAAAAAUAAUAAAGGCUAGCAACGUGGAGAAAGUAUGCAGGGAAAUCAAAUUGUAAUUUUUGGAGAAGAUUAAAGACCUACUGGCGCCCCAUUGUGCCCAAAAUUGGAGAAGAAAAAUGCAAAUUCAAGGUUAAAUUAAAUGAUUAUUGGACGAAUUUGCAUAAAAAUUAAGUCCAAGGACAUAAUUAAAUUUUUAAUAGGUCAAUUUAAUUUACUCAUGGGCCAAAUUGAAUUUUAAUUAUGUUUAAGAAUUAAUUUGGGUCCAAUUGAAGGAUUUAAUUAAGUGAAAGGACUUAAUUAUACUUUAAAUGGGUCAAAUUAAUUUUAUUUUGGGGCUUAAUUGGUGAAAAAUUAAGUUUGGGAGCUUAAUUUGGGCUUAAUUGAGAAGAUUGGAAUUUUAAGAGACCAAAUUUAAUUUUUACCAAGUUGAUUGAUUGAAGUCAGGGGUCAAAUUGCAAGAAAAUUGAAGUUUUGGGGUCAAUUAGGGGUUAAAUUGACAAAAUCCAAAGAUAAGGACCAACUUGCAAACUGCGCCAAGCUAUAGGGGUCUAAUUGAUAAAAUCCGGGGGUCAAAUUGAAAGAAAUUGAACGCUGGAGGGCUAAAUUGAAAAUCAGCAAAAAGCCCUAAUUUUUAUCCCAAACGGCGCCGUUUUUGUGUUGAGGGAAGGGACCAGGCGACGCGUCACCCGGUUACUGGUCAUCGUCUUCCUCACAAAGCUGCCCGAGUGGCUGCUUUCCAGGCGCGUUUUCUCACUUGUUUGGCCCCCAAAUCCGACAAGGCGUGCACCAAAAUGUUCCCCUGAAACAUCUUUAUCUCGUAGAGUGGUCUGGUCGGGUGGAACAACUUGGGGACAGCUCCAUUUAUUGGCCCAAAUUGGCACCCUCGGGCGGUCUGCAGCCUUGGAUUGCCAAAUUUGGCAGUUCGAGGUGCACACUUGGAACCAACGGCUUGGAUUCCUCAAGUCGAAUCAAGGGCUGAGAAUUUUUCCCCGUUAAAUACCAGAUUACCCUCUUUCGUUCCCUAUAAAUAGGAGCCAAUUUCAUGCUCAGGGGGAGGAGAAAAUGGAACGCAAAGUUGGUCGAAAACCGGCAUUCCCUGCCCAGUUCCUGCAACCAACCCUUUCUCUUCUUUCUCUCUCCACCGUGGCUUCAGCCACUACCACCAUCAUCACCUCUUCUCUUCUGUCAUCUCCACCGUGAGCAGACCACCCCUUCAUUCUCCUCCCAGCUGGUCUUUUCCAUCAGCAGCAGCAUCCCCCACAAACAACCACAGCCCUGGCCUCAUCUCCCUUUCUUUUCUCCAUCGUCAUUCUUCCCUCAGUUUUCCCUCAACCUCUCCACCGUUGGUGGCAGAGAAGCAACACCAGCCACACCAACAGCUCCAGCCGUGAGCUUUUCCUUCUCCUCUGUAGGACCCGUUUUCUCCUUCUUGCAGUGGCGACCAGAACCAGCAACCGGCAGCAGCAGCACCAAGCUCUCCAUCAACGCCGCCCCAGCCUCUCGUCAUCCACCUAGACAGCGGUUGUUCUUCCCACGCCAGGCAACUUCCUCCUCCCUGCUUUGCCUAUUAUUCAUCGUCGUGGCUGUUGCAUGCAGAAUUCAUUUCUGCAUGCAACAUGGUUACUUAGCAUGGUUGCUGGGCUGGGCCAGCAACCAUGCGGGCUUGGGCCUGACCAUUUGGGGUCCGGCCGGGCCCAAAAGAAAUAGAGGGAUAUGUUGGGUCGGGCCAGCCCAACCCACAUUUAAUAUUAUAUAUUAUUAUAUUAUAUUAUAAUAUUAUUUUAAAUUUAAAAAAAUCCAAAAAAAUUCCAAAAAAUUUCAAAAAUCAUUUUAAAAAAUUUGUGAUUUUCUCAAAUAUUUUUCUACCAAUUUUGAACAAUAUCGGAUUGUAUAUUUACACUGUAAAAUACAAAUCCGGUAUUAAAAUACCUGGUUUUCUCCGAAAUAUUUCAAAAAAAUGCAAAAAAACAUUUUCAAAAGGAAAAAAAUAUUUCAUUUGCAUACGGCCAAAUCCUAAAAUUUUUCCAAGCAUAUUGUUUUUUGUAAAAACAAAAAUUGCAUCUUUUUCAUGUUUUUUUAAAAUGGAUAUCGUAACCAGAUUAUGAUUGUCCAUUAGGAUUUGGCCAAAAUGUCAAAAACCUUUUUCCAACCUUUUUUUUCUAGGAUCCGGAUGUAGACUUUAAUAUUUGUGGGGUGUAAAAUUAUGCGAUAAUGUACAUCCUCGGGUAUUAAAGAUACAAGGUGUAAAUAAAAGCAAAUUUUAAAAUUAAGACUUUAGAAUGGUUAGGAUUUAACCGAAUAAGGUAGAGACUUCCUCACGAGGGGAGAUCUGCCUUGAACCUUAGAAAAGACCAGCGAAUAGAAACUCGAACUAGAAAAGCAAUCAAACAAUAAUGCAGCUUGCCUUAGGUUGGGUGCACUGGGGGUGAUGCGUCUUCCCCUUACACAACCAGUCCCUUACUCAGACUCCCGCAGACCUUAGGUUCCUAGUGACCAUAAUACUAGGUGGCGACUCUAACGAACCAAGCAAAACACAAAUAAUAAAAAAAUCGCCAGCCGAUGUCGUGCGGAAUUUUCCGACGUGCGACAGUUGUGAAGUUUGUGCAUUGUUGUUAUCACUCUUCCAACUGAAAUUCGGGUGAUUUCUCCAACCAGGGUUGUAUGUUUGUGAGUAUGGGUUAUGAUUGGGCCUUUAGAAACUGUUUAAAGCAUGGGCUUGUUCAUGGAGGCAUUCCUUGAAAGAAGGCAAAGUUGGACAGUCAUUGGUUGCAUGUUCAUUUGUUUCACAAAUUUGACACACAAUGUUUUGAACAGAUUUUAAUUGACCAUUCCUUUUCAAUUCUAGUGCUCAACUUUUCUAGUUAAAGAUGUAAACUUGGCUUGGAGGUCAUGAUCUUCCCUAAGGUUAUACAUACCUCCACUAGAUGUAUGAGGUUGAGUUUUACUUGGUGCCUCAUAAGUGCCUGUAGUGUCCCAAUUUUGCGCAUUUUCAGCUAGCAAGUCUAGGUACUCCAUUGCUUCAUUAGGGUCUUUAUCUUCAAAAGUUCCAUUGCACAUCAAUUCAACCAUUUGCCUAUCUUUAGGUGUUAAUCCUUCAUAAAAUUAUGAAACCAAUCUCCAUGUUUCAAAACCAUGAUGAGGGCAAGUAUUAAGCAAGUCUCGAUACCUAUCCCAACAUUGGUAAAAUGUUUCUCCUGGUUUUUGAGUGAAAGUGGUGAUUUGUCUUUUGAAAGAGUUUGUUCUGUGAGAUGGAAAAAACUUCUUUAAAAAUUGUUGUUGCAUUUCAUCCCAAGCACGAAUGGAUCCUGGUCUCAAAUUUUGUAGCCAUGUUUUAGCUUUAUCUUUUAAAGAAAAAGGAAAAAGCUUUAAUCUGAAUGUUUCAUGCUACAAUUUGAGUCAUUAUAAUGUACAAACUUCUUCAAAUUCUCUCAAAUGCAAGUAUGGAUUUUCUAGAUCUAAGCCAUGAAAAGAAGGUAAAAGUUGAAUAAUGCCUGGCUUAAAAUUAAAAUGAGAUGCAUCAGGAGGAAAAAAUAUACAUGAUCGCGCAAUUGUUCUUGUUGGAUUCAUGUAGUCUCUAAGUGUUCUAACCCAUUAUUCUUAUUCUCAUUAUAAGCGACUGAUUAUCCUCUUCGGCCAUGUUUUCUAAAAAGAUGAGGAUACCUACAAAGUUUAUCAUUUAAUGUACGUGACCAAACUCUCAUGCACGUGUAGAAAAGAAUAAAAGAAGAAGAAAAAGAAAAAGAAAACAAAACAAAAGUUUAGAUAACAAGAAAGUGAAAGAGAGAAAAAAUAAAAAUUUAUAAUUUGUACAGAAAUUUACCUCCCCGGCAACGGCGCCAAAAACUUGACACGACCAAAAGAUUGAUGUCUUCUCCCAAGUGCAGGAGUGUCGAAGUAAUAAAUAACCCGGCAAGACCGGGGUCGAACCACAGAGAGGUUAAUUGUAUAAAUUAUAAAUAACAAGACAACAACAACAACAACAACAACAACAACAACAACAACAAUAAUAAUAAUACUCAGUAUGUGGCGUUGUUAUACCUGAGAAUGAUCUAAAAGAUCGGGUCACAGGUUUCCAGCCUAUAUACUGAGUUUAUGAAAAGAUCAAAGAGAUAAAUUAUAUAAUAUAAACAGAAUGUAAAUAAUAAUAUAAUAAUAAUAAUAAUAAUAAUAAUAAUAAUAAUAAUAAUAGUAGUAUAAUAGUAGUAGUAGUAAUAAUAAUAAUAAUAAAAAGAAGAGGAGGAAGAAAUUAAUGAGAACUUUGAGAUGGAAGAUUAAUGUAAGGAUUAAACAAUGAUAAAAACAAAUGUCAAGGUUAGAGGAUCCACCAAUGGUAUUUCAAACAAGUAUAGUAUAAACUCUUUUAUUCAACUGGAAACCACACACAAGGAGGUUCCAAUCGGAUGAUUUCUCAUUAAUAGCUCAUUAUAAAUUAUUAACAUGAUCAUAUUAAUUAUCUUAUUACAUAACACCAAACUUUUAAAUAUUGUCAGGAAUUCAUGAUUAACUGAUGUUAACAACAAAUCAAGUUUUUCAUAGCCCAGGUGUAGGUAAUACCAUACUGUUGGGCUAUGAGAGUGCCAAGCAUUUGUUGUACCAAGUGUUAUACAACACAAAUCUAGAUUAACCAUUUAACAAGCAAGGUAUUAAGAAUUAGUAAGAUAAAAAGAUAAGACAUGUUAAUAUUAAACAUUAAGUCCAUGUUGAGUUUACACUAUAUUAUUCUUACACCAUUAGUGUAACCUUUUCACCUUGACAUAAUAAACUUAGCUAAACAUAAUGAAGAAGAGAAACAUAAAUAAACAAAACAAGAACAUAAAAAAAUACAAGUUAACUAAGAAAGGAAAGGAAAUGAAAAGCAUAAACAAGAUAUUAAUGAAAGCAAAACUUAAAAUUACAAAAAAAUAUAAAGAGAGAAAUAAAGAGCAUGAACUUGAUCUGAACAACCAAGCCCAAAUACAUGGCAAAUGCCUCCUUUUAUAGGCCAAAAUUCGGAAUUAUUGAUUUGAUGACUAAUUGUUGAGUGGGUGGCCAACUUUUGACUUGGUGAAAAUCCUUAUCUUCUUGUCUGAAUAAAACAAAAUGCUACCAUCCGAACUGGGUCCACUGAAAACAUGAAAGUUGUAGGAAAUUGACUCAGCUUUCCAGGAAAAAAAAUGGAGGUCAUUUGGACUUCUAGAACUCCAGAUAUGGGCCAAACACUGAACAGUGUUCGGGCUGCAGGACAGAUUCGGACUUCUCCGUUGUUGCUAUAAUUUGGACUUGAAAACGGCCUUGUUAGAUUUAUGUUCACAUGAAAGUUGUAGGCCUAUGUCUCACCAAGUUUUUGUAAGCAUUUGAGAUCAUUUGGACAUCUAGAACUCGAGAUAUGACCCAAAGUUGUAGGCCUAUGUCUCACCAAGUUUUUGUAAGCACUAACAUCUCUUUUCUAAGCUUCACCCUUCUUUAUCUUCAAAAUUUCAGUAGUUGAAUUCAUUAAUCAAUCCUUUAAUUUAUGUGAUAAGCCUGCAUUUAAGAUGAACAUUUACCAUAUAUUAGGGCAUUUUAUAGUAUUAGACUUGUUAUUAUAAAACAUGCUUUAGUUAAGGAGUUAUUGAUACUUUAAGUGCAAAAUGAUGAUAUAAAACCUUGAUAAAUAUACACUUUUAAGUACUAAUCAAGCCCAACACGAGACUUAUAAUGAUCUUUAAACCUAUACCCAUUUAGGCUUAACAUGAUAUUAAGUCCACUAGUAAUGGGUCUUGCAGCUUGCCAGACCCUUAUCCGUUUAGGCUUAACAUACAAUUGAACCCAAAGAUGUUGGGUAUGAUAAUUUACCAAACCUUUAUGUAAUUAAUCUUAGUAUAUAGUUAAACCGUAGAUAUUGGGUCUGAUAGCUCACUAAAUCCAUGUUUGUUUAGGCUCAACACAUGAUUGAACCCAAGGUCAUUAGGUUUGGUAGUUUGACAAAACUAUAUGUACUUGGUCUUAGCAUGUAGCUGAUCCCAAUGAUGUAGUGUUUGGAAGCUUGCCACACAAAAUUUUUUUGGGCUUAACGCAAGCCUAAAGAUAUUGGAUUUGACAGCUUGUUAGACUUAUAUAUGCCUGAGCCUAGUAGAUAUUUAAAUCCAAAGAGUUUAGGUCUACCACCUUCCUAGACCCAUAUUGUUUUUGGCUUAGUGCAUAGCUGAACCUAAUAUCAUUGAGUCUGAUAGCUUGCUAGAUCUAUAUGUAUUUUGGUUCAACAUGUAGUUGAACCCUAGGAUAUUGGGUUUGACAGCUUGAUAGAUCCACGUCUGUUUGGGCUCAACAUGUAGGUGAAUCCAAUGUGUUGGAUCUAACAACUUGUUAUACCCAUAUAUACUUGGGCUUAGUGCGUAGGUAAUCUCAAUGAUGUUUAUUUGCUUUUUUAUGACGUUUCAACUUUGAUAGCUUAAUGAAAUUUACUUUGCAAAUCAUAUAGUAUCCUUGAUAUAUUCAAGUUGGGGAAUUGAUACUAUUUUUCUUGUCACUCUUUAAAGAAUGACUUUUUCUUUUCAUCCUUUUGAAAAGCAUUUAGUGUUGCACAAUCAUUUCUUUUACCUCUUGGUACAUUUAUGACAAUGAAGUUAAUUAUCAAAGAUUGUUUUCCCUGAACCUUUGAAGUGCUCUUUUCAAAUCUAUGACUUUCAAACUUAUUUUUUUUAGGCUCUUACAUAGGUAAUGAUAAGGUUCCAGUUGUAGCAAUAUUAAGUCUUAUGUUGUGUGUUCUGGUAGCUAAUUCUUUAAAAGAGUUAGGUUUUUAAUGCUUUAUAUAAUAUAGCACAACCCCUAAUGCAUCCCUUCAAUGUAUAUAUCUAGAGUAGAACUUUUGAUGAGUUGAUCUUUAUAAUUGAGGCUAAGAUUUUUCCAUUGAUGAAUGUAGUUAAUUACAUGCACCUUUAUUUAUUAAUAUGCAUUUAUAAGUUCAAUCAUGUUAACCAUAUGAUAAGUGUUGUAGAAACAUAUGUAAUUUUAACAGCAUCUACAAAAAAAAAAAUAUAAACAAAAUGGGAUCAUUGUUUAAGAACUUAACUAAAAGCAUUUUAAUGAGAAAAACAAAAUUAUUAAGAGUAUUCCAAGCCAUAACAAACGGAUUCAAGGAUAAAUGAAUGUUACGAUUAAGUGUGUAUUUAAUAAUGUAGUAUAUGAUAUUUUUAUAAAUAUAUAUUUUAAUUCAAAAUACAUUAAAAUUAUAUUUUUUAAUUUAAUUAUUAACACCAGCAUAGCCAUUUAAAAAAUACUAUAAAAAACAUUGAUUUAAUAUAUUUUUUAUAAAAAAAAAUUUAAAAAGUAUUUUAAAAAAUGAGUGCAACAACAUUACAUAAUCAAAGCUAAAUGGGCUUCGAAUUUGGUCAUUCUAUUCGUGCAUGACGCUGAUUGAUUUCCAAAAAUUUUAAUUUUUUGUUAUUUUCUUAAAAUCAACAGAGAAAAUUUGGACAAAAUCUAUCAAAAGUUAGUGAUUAAUAUGAGUUAAUUGAGAAAUUAGAAGGGUUUUUUCUUUUAUUUUUGUAGUAUAUGAACUGUUGUUAUAAUUGGUAAUUGAUUAGUAUCAUAAAAUCAUGCAGACCAAUUGGAUUUGGGGCAUUUAUCUGCUUCAAACGUUGAUCUUGGAUUGUACCUAUAAUCCUAUAGGGAUAUUUUGUGAUUUUUUUAGCAUUGAUUAAAUUUAUUUUUAUAUUUAAAAUUAGUUAUUUUAAUGUUUUUAAAUUAUUUUAAUAUGUUAAUAUUAAAAAUAAUUAUAUAUAUAUUAUUUUAAUAUAUUUUUAAAUAAAAAAUAUUAAAUUUUUUUAUAUAUAUAAUUUACUAACUCUACGUAUGUCACAAAAUCAGUUUGUGACAUAUAUUUACGAGUGCUCAAUAAGUUUGUUUAGAUAGUUUACAAAGUCAUAGUUUGUUAUUAUGACACUAUCGUUUGACUUGAUUUUAAAUCUUAUUUAAAAGUAUUUUAUUUUUGUUUUUUAAAUUAUUUUUUAUUUAUAAAUAUAUUAAAAUAAUUUAUUUUAAAUAUAGCACAUUAAAUUUUAAAAAUAAAAUUAAAGAAAAAAAAUAUUUUUUUUAAAAUAUAAAAAAAUUAUUUUUUAAUUAUGAAUAUUUGACCUAAGCUUAUAUACAUCUUGAUUAAUUAUUUAAAAUUAUGAAUAUAAAAACUAAACAAAUUUAUAUUUAUAAUAUUUAAAUUGAUAAUUUCUAAAAAACAUUGACUAAUUAAACCCAAUUAAAUAAUAUAAGAUAAAAACAUGCUAAUAUAAGAUACAACAUAUUACACGGGUAUUGAAUUACUGGAUUUACUUGGUGCCUCCGACAUGUACCAAUCACAAAUGGCCGUCAGAUUUGACUUGGAAGCCUGAUACAAUAAAGUAGGAUACUACUGAAUUACUGGAUUUACUUUGUGCCUCGAGCAUGUGCCAAUCACAAAUGGUAUUUGGACAAGUUGGGAUAUAUAUAUAAUUUUUUAUUAAAUAAUAAAUAAUAGUAAGAUAAUAAACGACUGAAAUCUAAUAAAUAAUUUAUAGAUAAUUAAAUUCCUUACUUAAUGAUAAAUGAGUAGAUAUUGAAAUCAAUAAUAUAACAUUUUCAUCUCUACGCGAGUUGCAACUUGCAAGUCAUGGUGUGCUAUCAUGAGGCUCCAUUUUUCUUCGAUAAAAUGCCUUCUUUUAGUACAUCAUCACUCCAAAUCUAUCAUAAGCAACAAACAAGCAAGCAACAAUGGCCUUGUUAGACCAGAGUUUCUUUCAUUACAGCCUCCUAGCUUACUACCUCCUAGGACCCCCUACCUUCAUUGUCCUAAGGUUCUUUCAAUUCCCAUAUGGCAAGCACAACCGUCUAGGAUGGGGCCCUACAAUUCCUCCACCUUUGGCUUGGUUUAUCAUGGAAAGCCCCUCCAUUUUGCUCCCCCUCAUCCUCUUUCCCUUUGGCCAACACUUCACAAAUCCCAAAGCACUAUUUCUCAUGUCUCUUUAUCUCCUCCACUACUUCCACCGCACUUUCAUCUACCCGCUUCGCAUUUACCAAAGCACCUCUCACCAGAAUACCAAAACCACCAUUGGUUUCCCGUUGAUUUUGACCUUCAACGGAUUUUUGACUCAAGCAUUGAAUACUUGCAUACAGGCUAGGUGGGUUUCUCAUUAUAAAAGUGAUUAUGAUAGUGAUGGAGGUUUGUUUUGGUGGAAAUUCUUUGGUGGAUUGGUGGUUUUUCUGUGGGGCAUGAGGAUUAAUAUGUGGGCUGAUACGGCUUUGUUGGUUUUGAAAAGGGAAAGUGGUGGAUAUAAGGUGCCGAGAGGAGGGUGGUUUGAGCUGGUAACUUGUCCUAACUACUUUGGAGAGAUUGUGGAGUGGCUUGGAUGGGCAGUGAUGACUUGGUCAUGGGCUGGGUUUGGUUUUUUCCUCUAUACAUGUUCUAACUUGGUGCCUAGGGCAUGUGCCAAUCACAAAUGGUAUUUGCAGAAGUUUGCAGAGGAUUAUCCCAAGAAUAGAAAAGCUGUGAUCCCUUUCCUCGUUUAAUUAUUGAUAGAAUUGCGUAGAAGGAAGAAUUUGAAGAAGAAGAAGAAGAUAUUAUUAGCUGUUAUGUUAAUUUAUAUAUAUAUAUAUGUAUGUGUGUGUGUGUGUAUUAUGAAAUUCAGUGAUAUAAUGUUUCAUGUAUUCCAAUACCUGAGGAGCUUUUAGUUAAUUUAACUCUUGCAAAAUAUCAACGGGGAUCCGUUGCCCACCUUAACAGAUCCGAACACAACGUUAACUGCCAUAAAGACCACCUAGAAAAACAGAGCGAAAGUCUCCAAAUAAUCUCCAUUAAUACACAAAUAUUAGAGAAACACAAAAUUUUGCAUCAAAUCAUCAACAAUGGCAUCCUCCUUUGAUUCAUUCAACCCUGAAGGAUAUCAAAAUGACCCCACAAAACAGCAUGUCCAACGUGAUUAUGAACAUAGGUGAUGACACAUCAUUCCCUGGGGCAACACCAUUGGCUCAAGAAAAUUUCUUCAAUGACAACAACAUGCAUUCUUCUGAGGUGUAUGGGUUUGGUAUGCCUUCUCCAAGUCCUGAAUUUGCCUCAACUUUUGAGUCUGAGGUGUUUGAGACUAGUGGUGGUGGUGGUUUUUUUUUUUUUUCUGGUGGGCUGCUUCUGCCUGCAGGAGUUAGGAGCCAAAUUCCGUGAGUGGCGCAAGUGAGUUUUGUUUUUGUUUGUGGAAUUGGGUUAUAUUCGCUUUCUUGAUUGGAUCUGGAUUUGAGUAUUUUACAUUUGGAAUUUGCAAUGGGGCUAUGGUUUAAUGACUGGGGAGGUGGAGUUUGGAAGAGAAAAUUUGAUAUAUAUAAUUUUGAUUGGCGUUUGAUGUUUGAGAAUUACGGUGAUCUAAUUAUGUAGGAUGAUUUAAUUGAAGAUAAGCAUCGAAUUUGUAAUUUGGGAUCAUCUCAUUCUGUUUUUUUUUUGGAAUAUAUUAAUUAUCAUUAGAAUUGGCCUUGGGAGACCAUGAAAGGGAAAGUUGAUGAUGAUGGGAGCCUAAACCUUCUGUUGUUGGAAGCAGCAAGGCAUUGAUUUUAAAAUCUUGUUCUUGAGACAUUGCCAGUUUACUGAAUACCAAGUUUUUAGUUAGAAUUGAAAGGGGUUUGAACUUUGAACUACCAAAUUAAACUUUUUUUUUUUUCACUGAAGAAUUGAUUGGUAUAGAAAGCUGUCACUCAAAGGCUUUUUGAAUGUCGUCUCGUAAGAGUUCAUCUUUCCAUCAAUUCUUUUAUUGUUCCCUGAUUUUGGUUGAUAUGAAGCAACGAGAGUACUAAAACCACUUUGAUUUUUACAUGCUGCUAAUUUUGCAUUACACAAUACUUGUAUUGCACCAUGGCCAAUUCAAAAUCGUAAUGUGAAAGAGGGCUUCUAAUUGUUAUAGGUUCAUCGGAAUAUUGGCGAAAUCUUCCAGACUAAUCUUUGUUUUUUCUUGAUCAUCUAUACUGUAUUUCUCUAAUUGUCUUUUUGACAUCUUAGAGAUGUUUUCAGCCUUCUUUUAUGAGAGAAGGCAGCAGAAUUGUGAAACCAACGAAGCUCGGAACAGAGAAAGAGAGAAGGUAAAAUUUAUGUAAAGACACUUUUCCAUUGUUUCCUCCCAAUUUCUUUCGACGUGCAGAUCCGUGCUCAAGUUUUCUACAUUCCUUCCAGCUUUACUAUGAGGUUAAACAUAUGGAUGUGCUUUACCUGGCAAACCAAGAGAAGUUUCACAAGGAGGCAGAUAAACAUUACUGAAAAGCCAUUGCAGAGAUCAUUCCUCGAGAGGUGCUAAGUAUUGAUAAAAGAAGGGGUAAAAAAGAUGUUGAAAAGAAACCUUCCAUUGCUGUAAUUCAGGGUCCAAAGCCUGGAAAACCCACUGAUCUCUUAAGGAUGAGGCAACUUUUCGUGAAACUGGAACAGAACCCUCCACCUCACAUGAUGCCCCCCCCUCCCACAUCUGCCAAAGAUGGAAAGGUUUUAUUUUUUUUAUGUGUUGUUCAUCUUCUCUGCUUUAUUGGUGUUGUAUCCCUCCCCCGCCUCUUCUAUAAUGGGAUUUUCUCUUGGAAAAUCUUCAUCUACUUGCUUGAACCAUGUCAAAGAGAUUUUUAUUUGGCCAACCUCAUCAAACCCAAAAUAUCAGUUACAAUAGUGACUGUUAUUUCCUGACAGAAGUAUAGAUGAAUUGUAUAGAGUUGAUGUAAUUAAUAUAAUUCGUUGUUAUAUGAUUCAUGGACAUAAUGUGAAGGUGCAUAAUGAUUUGAAGUAAGGAGGAGAUAGAAAAUGAUAUCACGCGGGUCUAUAUAUUUUAAAAUAUUUGAGAAUACUAUAGUAAUUAUUUUUUAAAAUGUUUUUGUUUUAAAUAAUUUUUUUUUAAAAAAAUUAUUUUUGAUAUUAACAUAUUAAAAUUAUAUAAAAACACACAUUAUUAUUUAUUCUUUGCAUUGAUUUUGUUAGAAACUUUAUGAAACACCAAAUUCUUUGCCUAAACAACACGAUCAUCAAACCCUUUUGAUGCAAUGUUUUUUUUAUGAAAGAUCUAGCAAAUCUCUUUUAAAACUAGAUAUAUAUAUAUAUUCAAAAAAUAUUCAAAAUUAUUUUUAGAACACGAGAACAUAAACCUUCACGUUGUAAAAAAUCAAAAUAUUAGAAAAAUAGCUAGAUUGAAAGAUUUGAUGAGAUGAGAUGAAGGACAAAAGAAGAAGAAGAGGUUAUUUGACACGACCAAAAGCUUGAUGUCUCUUCCCAAGUGCAGGAGUGUCGAAGUAAUAAAUAACCCGGCAAGACCGGGGUCGAACCACAGAGAGGUUAAUUGUAUAAAUUAUAAAUAACAAGACAACAACAACAACAACAACAACAACAAUAAUAAUACUCAGUACGUGGCGUUGUUAUACCUGAGAAUGAUCUAAAGAUCGGGUCACAGGUUUCCAGCCUAUAUACUGACUUUAUGAAAAGAUCAAAGAUAUAUAUUAUAUAAUAUAAACAGAAUGUAAAUAAUAAUAAUAAUAACAAUGAUAAUAAUAAUAAUAACAGAAGAUGAAGAAAUUAAUGAGAACUUUGAGAUAAAAGAUUAACGUAAGGAUUAAACAAUGAUAAAAACAAAUGUCAAGGUUAGAGGAUCCACUAAUGGUAUUUCAAACAAGUAUAAUAUAAACUCUUAUUACUCAAUUGGAAACCACACAUAAAGGAGGUCCCAAUCAGAUUAUAAAUUGUUAACAUGAUUACAUUAAUUAUCUUAUUCGAAUAAAGCUAAUACUUGUAAAUGUUGGCAGGCAUUCAUGAUUAUAACUUAUGUUAACAACAAAUCAAGUUCCUUUCAUAGCUCAGGUGUCGGUUAAACCAUACAGUAUGGGCUAUGAAAGUGCCAAGUAUUUGUUGUACCAAGUGUUACACAACAUAAAUCUAGAUUAACCAUUUAACAAGCAAAGUAUUAAAGUGAACAAGAUAACAAAUAUAAAACAUGUUAGUAUCCAACGUUAAGGUCCAUGUUAAGUUUAUAUUAUACUUGUUCUUACACCAUUAGUGUACCCUUUUCACCUUGACAUAAUUAACUUAGCUAGACAUAAUAAAAAAAGAAACAUAAAUGAGCAAGACAAGAACAUAAAUGAGAAAGAAGUUAACUAGACAAAGGAAAGGAAAUGAAGUGCAUAAACUUGAUAUUAAUGAAAGCAAGACAUAAGCAAUACAAAGAGAGAAAGCAAGAGCAUGAUCUUGAUCUGAACACCAAGAUGCCUCAAUACAUGGUAAGUGCCUCCUUUUAUAGGCCAAAAUUUGGAACUAUUGAUUUGUUGACUAAUUGAUGAGUGGGUGGCCACAUCUUGACUAGAUAACAAUCCUUAUCUUCUUGUCUGAUCAAGACGUCAUUGCUAACAUCAUAAUUUGCCCAGAAUCCUCAAGAAUGUUCUAGGAAAUUGUCUCAGCUUUCCAACAAAAAAAAGAUGAGGUCAUUUGGACUUCUAGAACUCAAGAUAUGGGCUGAACACUAAAUAGUGUUUGGGCUGCAGGACAGCUUCGGACUUCUUCGUUGUUCCUUCAAUUUGGACUUCAAAACGACCUUUUCAAAUCUUGGGCUCCUCAUGAAAGUUGUAUGCUUUUGUCUUACCUUUCCAUCCAUAUAAAGUGGACCUAAAUCCGAAAUCUAGAGCUCUAGAUAUGAUCCAAUUACCGAGCAAUGUUCCGGUUUGGACUGCACCGACAUCUCUUUUCUAAGUUUGGCCAUCUCUUUGUCCUUUAACUUUCAAUGCUUAAACUCAUCAAUCAAUUCUUUUAUUUAUGUGAUAGUCCUGCAUUUAAAAUGAGCAUUUACCAUAAAUUAAGGUAUCUUAUAAUAUCAAACUUGUUAUUAUAAAACAUGCUUUAGUUAAGGAGUUAUUGAUACUUCAAGUGCAAAAUGAUGAUAUAAAACCUUGAUAAACAUGCACUUUUAAGUACUAAUCAUUAUUGGUGCUUCAAUUGAUGACUUUCAAUAUUGUUAUCCUCUAAUUAGUAUUAAUAAUACUUAUUUUUAUGGUAAGUGCAAAGUUAAGAAGUUAGUUGCAGUUGCUUAUGAUACGAAUAAUAAAAUUUAUCCAUUAUAUUUUUUUGAUAUAAAAUAAGAGACAAACAAACAUAGUUGCAUUUCCCCAAAUAUUCAUGUAACUCGAUGCAAUAUGCCUCUAAUAUCUAAGAAAUUGAUUGGUAUGCAAUAUGAUUUUAUAUUUAUUAAAUACCAAAAUAGUUUUAUUGUGGAUGAUAACUAAUAAUUAGUUUUUAAUAUAUGUAUAUAGAUUAAUUACUUGGUACGAGAAGCUUGGAAAGCAGUAAUAAUUAUAUGUAAAGGUGUCCAUAAGAUGCGACAUAAUGUGGCCAACAUCCCCAUCAAUUUAUGUUGUGACGAACUUCAAAAGGUUGGGGAGGUUUAACGUCUUGAAACAACAUUAACGAAAGAUGAGAUUGUUUAUCGUGAAAGUGUUAAGGAUGUUGGGUCAUCCAUGAUCAUUCCAAAACACUUUAAAAAAACAACAAUUAUUUUACUUUAAAUUACCCCAUUAAUAAUCUCUUUGACCAUUGAUCUUGGUAAAAAGGCAAAAGAGAAUUCUGAAGAGUGUAAGUGAACCCAUUAGGUUUUGGUUUUGUUUUUUAGAUGUCACUAGUUCGAGGAUCAUUAAAAAUUUAUAUGGUUGUUAACUUCAAGGUCUUAAAAAAAUAGUCGAGAAGCGAUUAAACUGACCCGAAUAUCUAUUAUUAAAAAAAAAUAAAGGCAAAGGAGAAGACUAUUCUCUUGAUUACGAGUGUUCGGGUAAGUUAGUAAAUUUUAAAAACAUAUCGCAUAUGUUCUGCACAAUCAAUAAAAAUAAGUUGUACUUUAAAAAUUGGCAAAAGCGAGAGGGGAUUAGCUUCUGGAAAGCGAAACUUGACAAGUAUUCUCUUGUCCCGACUUUGGAAAUGAAAGAUCGGAGUCUGGACGAAGUACCUUCCUAGCAUCUAGCUAAGAGAACAUCCAUCUGCAUCAAUAUGGACCGAAUCAAACACAGACCGAGUCCAGAAAAGACUUAAGACUAGCAAGUUGCAUAGACUAAGAUUUUUCUGUUUUCUUUUUCCAAACGGAAGCGAUUUCAUCCAAUAAUACUUCGCUGGCAUUGUCUGAAAAUUCAGCAUCAGUGGCUUCUUCGACGACCUGGUCAGACAAUAGCUAAAAAUAUAAAAGGCAGACUCGUAUAUAGGUAAUUUAAUUUACCCAAACCAGCUUUGGUAAAAGAAACACUAAACAUUACCAGUAGAUAUUUAAUUGAGAAAAAUUAGAGGUUACGGUUUAUAUUAUCAAUAACCCAUUGAAAUGCUUAAGAAUAAAUACUAAUAACUAGCAAAUUAAUUACAGCUUCUCAUCAUCCUGAUGGCAUCCCAGUACAGAUCCCUCUACUUCUCAAAAUCCUUUUGUAUGUUGUCACCUUUAAAAAGUUAAUUUAAUAAACACCUAGGUUAUUUUCCUCUUUUCAUUUUUAUCUUCAUUCACUGAGGUUACUAUAAAAAAUAAAAAAUAAUAUUAUUUUAAUAUAUUUUUAAAUAAAAAAUAUUUAAAAAAUAAUUUUUACAUACUAUUAACGCUACAGAGAAAAAACAAAAAGAAGACGCCCUUACAUGUCACAAAAUCAGUUUCUGACAUAUUGCUAGGAGUGCUCGACACGUUUGAUUAGAUAGUUUACAAAGUUAUAAUUUGUCAUUAGAAAACUAUCGUUUGACUUGAUUUUAAAUCUUAUUUGAAAGUAUUAUAUAUUUGUUUUUAAAAUUAUUUUCUAUUUAAAAAUAUAUUAAAAUAAUUUAUUUUAAAUUACUUUAAACAUAACACAUUAAAACAAUUUAAAAAUAUUAAAUAAAAAUAUAUUUUUAAAAUAUAAAAACAAAUAUUUUUUUUUAUAAUCGUGGGUGUCAGGACCAGCUUACACAAACCCCGACUAAUCCUUCAAAGCCCUUAAGUUAACAAUCAUGCUAGCCGGAAACACUAAUUAAUCUUAAUCUAAUACCAAUGAAAUAGAAAAUAAUUGUCUUUUCUGUAUACUUUCUCUAGUUCAAUUACUAUCACGUGCCUUACACAAUAGAUCGGAUCAUAUAAAUAUUCUUUCAACACAACUUAAGUUAUUGAAAGGAUCUCAAAGACCCAUCAAAACACGAAAGUCAAGAUCUUUCAAAAAUUGAAUUUUUAUUUAAAGAGUACAUAACCGCAUGGAUAAGCUUAUACCAACCCGUUGAUUUGGGAUUAUUGAUAUAGUUUACAAUCCCAACCAUGAUGCACGGAAGCUUAGAAAGUAUAAAGCCGGUGGUUAUUGAGAUUUAUGACUCUCAAAUUAAUAAUUUUUAAAUAAUAAAUUUAAGAUUUGGCCGUUAAAGUUUUAAAAUUAAAUAAUAUAAGAUUUAAAAUAAUAAAAUUAGUGGAUUUACUUGUUGCCUACGACAUGUACCAAUCACAAAUUGCCGUCAGAUUUGACUCAAAGUAAGGUACUGAAUUUCUGGAUUUACUACGUGUCUCGGGCAUGUGCCAAUCACAAAUGGUAUUUGGAGAAGUUUAUAUAUAUAUAUAAUUUUUGUAUAGCUGAUUCAACAAACACAAUAUUUUCUUUUGCCAUGUCUAGCGUAGGCUACGAAGCAAUAAACAUUGAUGAAAACUCGAUUCCGAGAGAUCACAUGGCAAAUGCUAUGAUAGAUAGUCAGUUGCAUGAGUGUGUGAGGCAGGACAAUACUGAGGCCUUUAAAAGCCUUGUCGAGCAACAUUUAACAGAGAAGCUAGUGACACCCUGCGGCAAUACACUACUUCACGUAGCUGUAAGCUAUGGAAGUGACAAUAUUACAUCUUAUCUGGCUCAAACGUUUCCUUCUCUAAUCACCAUCCAAAACAGCCAGAAGGACACAAUCCUUCAUCUUGCUGCCAGAGAAGGAAAGGCCACUCAUGCAAUUAGAUCUCUUGUGGAAUCGAAUCCGAGCUUGAUGAGGAAGACAAAUACAAAGGGAAACACUCCUUUGCAUGAUGCAGUGAUCACCGAUAACAAAGAAGUUGCCAUUUUCCUAGUUUCCAGAGAUCCAGAAGUGGCCUAUUACAGCAACAAGAAUGGCAGGUCUCCUUUAUACCUGGCUGUUGAGAAUGGCAAUAAGAACGGGAUACUUGAUGAUCUCUUGGAUUUGGGAGCUUCGAUUCCUAUAACAAGAGAAGAUGGUGAUGCCCUACCAAAACGAAAAUCCCCUGUUCAUGCUGCCAUCGAGCAACGUAACAUAGGUGAUCACAGUGUCUAUACUCACUAGAAAAUGAUUUACAUACAAACAAUUGUUGCAAACCUAUCAUCUUUAUAUUCAUUUGAAACAUUUUCUUUUGAUUUUCAGAUCUAUUGGAGAAAAUUGCAAAUGCAAAGCCAGAGCUAUUAUGUCUCACUGACGAAGAGUUGGGAAAUUCACUGCAUUAUGCAUCAUCCAUAUGUUUUCUGGAAGGAGUUCGAUUCCUAUUAAAGAAGUUUCUCAAUGGUACUUAUAAAACAAACAGAGAAGGCAACUAUCCAAUCCAUGUUGCAUGCAAAAAUGAAUCUGUUGAUAUAGUGAAGGAAUUUCUUGAUAUUUUCCCAUAUCCUAAAGAAUUCCUCAAUGAAAAAGGGCAGAAUAUUCUUCAUGUAGCGGCUGAAAAUGGACAGGGCAAUGUGGUAAGGUACAUACUCGAAAACGAUCAGAAGAUCGUAGAACCACUGCUAAAUGAGAUGGAUGAGGAUGGGAAUACACCUUUGCAUUUGGCAGCACGACAUGGUCAAUCCAUGGCUGCAUUUGUUCUUGUGCGUGACAAACGCGUUGAAAAUUCAAUUGUUAACAACGAAAAUUUUACACCAUAUGAUGUUGCGGAACAACAAUCUAAAAUGGCUGUAGACCAAUAUGAAAAAACAGAUGAAAUGGUAUGCUAUUUGAUCAUCAUUUAUCGAGGCUACAAAACUACAUAUUUUAAGAGUAUUAUUUAUUUAAUAUUUUGGUUUCUGGGUUUCCUCUUUGUUGCCAGCUUGCAAAGGAACGACAGCAGGUGGAUUCAAAGAACAGUAUUCCUGCGGACGAGAUCCAGGUAUGAGAGUUCUGUUGAAAAACAAUGUUGUUACAUUUUAAGUAGACAAGGAUUCCAUUUCACUAAAGGAUAUCAUAUUUUACAUAAUAAAGGAUGAUGUCAUGAAAAAAUGGAAACAGAGCAUAUAACUUGACACUCUUAAAAGCUGACUGAAAUUCAGGACUAAAGAUAUAAUAUAAAAUCGUAUCCUUAAACCUCAAUUAGCUGUUCAAGCUUUUGAGUUGAGUGGUUCUUUGAUAGACUCAAUCAUCCUUUGUCAGAAGAGCUCAUGUCAUGUAAUUUGUACAAUUAUCUGCUCUGCGUUGCUUCAUGAUUUCUGUCUUCAUUCCUCAGAUCGAAGUUAAUUCAGAAGAUGUGAAGGAUGCAAAGAAGAAUUCUACAACAGAAAAGUCCACCGCUUCGACUGGUUCUCAAGGAAAGGUACAAGUUUACAUUGACUACACAAAAUCGAGGUUAAUUAUCUCUUCUAAGCUCAAAGAACUACUUUCCAAACAUGGGCUGAUCAUCAGUUUCAGUGGCUUAUAUUGUUGGCUAGCCAUAGCACAAAAGGAAAGAAGGAAAGAAAGAAAAAAGAGGUAGCUCUAUUCAUUAACUUCAAAUUAUGUUUUUUUACAGGACAAAGCAGUUGAUUCAAAGGACUACAAGCUGCUUGAUUAUUAUGGAACGGUAAUAUUACACAUCUUCUUUCCUAUAUUUUUUCUAGUCAUCCCUAUUCUUUUGAACAUCUACUUGAAGGCCGAUUAAUUUAGAUUCUAUACAAUUAUUUUCAAAAUUCAGAAAUUAUUCCAGAAUCGUAUUUGUUCUUAAAAAAAAAAAAAAAAAAAAAAAAGGAUUUCAAGGCCAACGCUUUUGCAUGCGAUUGAGGAAGUGCCAGAAACUCAUUAUUAUGAAGUUUGUUUCCCCUUGCUAUGCAGAUGACAACAUUAUCUAUCUUCUAUUUCCAUGCCCGCCCUAGGAAAUCCCUAUAUGAGCGUUUCACUAGUACUCAAGGCAAGCCGCCAAGGAAACAGGAAACAACGAUCAGGAUACAGAAUCUUCUUAUUGUAGCGGUGCUUGUUGCUGGUGUAACCUUUGCGGGUGCUAUACAGAUGCCACAACAAAGGGAUAAAAAUAACAGCACUGCAUUUUACACCAAUACUACUGCCUCCCGGAACAGCACUGAAUUUAACAGCACUACUAGCACUGCCUCGGACAGUCCUACUGGUUCAUCUCUUUUGGAUGGUUAUUUAUGUCUUGAUGUGUGGGCUUUAAAUACCUCUGUGGUGGCAGCUAUAAUCCUUCUUUGGACAAACUUGAAUGAUGUCAAUUUUGCACCACUUGCAGUUAGGAUUUCAUCGUUAAUGGUGGGUGGGUCUAUUUACAUGAUGUGCUUGUCAUUCUUUUUUGCUGUGACCAUAGCAUCAUGGGAUGCUACGACCAUAGUACUUAUGGUGGGGGGGAUCGUGUUUUUCCUUGCUCAAACAUAUUUGCUUUAUAUUCUAUGGAUUCUUCAACCAUCCGACGUCAACCAAAUUAUUGAAGGAAAGCUCUCGCAUUAUUUCUACUACUUCUCGUUUUUCAUCCGACGUCAACCAAAUUGGUGCCUGACUUAUUGUCUUCAAAAACUUCGUGAUCUCUGGACAAAGCGCAAGUAACUAUCGAGGUUGAUCUUCAUCAACAGAUGUCAUGAUUUUGUGGGAUCGCCUUUUUUAAAAAAGGUUUGGGAUGAAAAAGCAUCUUGGAAUAUUGUGUGUGUCUAGAUGUUGUAAUAAUAAUUUCAACUUGUAAUAUCUUUUGAGUUUCCAGUUGAAAUAAUGAAUUGCAUGUGUUCUAUCAAUAUGUUAUCAUAAAUGAAUAAAUUUUAAGAGAAAAUUGUCAAUAAGUUGAGUUAAAGCAAAUUUAAAAUGACUCCAUUAAGCAAAUUUAAUUUAUUAAUUUAUUAAUUUAUUAAUGAUAUGCUGUAUAAGUUCUUAUAUUAAAAGAAAAAAAAAUGAAAAACAAAUAGUCAAAGUGUAAUGCGAAGAUUGCGUUCAUGUUUUGAAUGGAAUUAUGUAUUAACUUAUUAGUUAGCCAACCUUAUACAAUAGUGAUUAAGCCUAUUAAUAUUUCCUUGAUAUAUACAUCCUAUAAUAUGCCCCCUCAAAAUGAGGGUGAAGAAUCGACUCAAAGAUUGAAUCAAAAAGCAGUAAAAGAAGCAGUAGGAAGUAACUUAGUAAAAACAUUUACAAGUUGAUCCUGAGAAGAGAUAAAAUGAAUCUGAAUUUCCUUCUUGGCAACCCUAUCACAUACAAAAUGAUAAUCAACCUCAACAUGUUUAGUACGAGCAUGAAAGAUAGGAUUCGUGGCAAAUAAGUAGACCGAGAUUAUCACACCAAAGUGUAGAAGCAGAACUAGGAGUAAUCUUCAAAUCUGACAAUAAAUACAAAAACCAUAUAACCUCAACAAUGCCAUUUGCUAAGGCUUUAUACUUGGCCUCACUAGAAGAACAAGCAAUCGUGCGUUGCUUACUUGAUUUCUAUGAAAUCAGUAUAUGACCAAAAAAGACAAGGUAACCACUUAUAGACUUGUGAUCAUCAAUACUAUCAUCCCGGUUUGCAUCUGUAAAAUCAUGUAAAGCAACAGAGUAACUAUGAGUGUUAUGUAAGCCAUGAGAAACCAUAUCCCGAAGAUAACGCAGAAUGUGUUUAACGACAACCCAAUGGAAAUCUGUAGGAGCAUCCAUAAACUAAUAGACGUUGUUAAUAGUAAAACAAAUGUUUGGUCUCGUAAAAGUGAGAUAUUGAAGAGCAUCAAUGAUUUGACAAAACCAUGUAGGAUCAGAAAAUAAGCAAUUGAGCACCACUAUAACUUUGGAGGUAGAAAUAGGAGUAUCAACAAGUUUGAAUGAUGUCAUAUCAGCUCGAGUAAUUAUGUCAAGAAUAUACUUAUCCUAUCGUAGAAUAGACCCAUACUAGUGGAUUGAACCUUAAUUCCCAAACAAUAAUGAAUAGCUCCUAAGUCUCGAAGCUUAAACUCAAAGCUCCUAAGUCGGAAUACACUACUUCACGUAGCUGUAAGCUAUGGAAGUGACAAUUUUACAUCUUAUCUGGCUAGAACGUUUCCUUCUCUAAUCACCAUCCAAAACAGCCAGAAGGACACAAUCCUUCAUCUUGCUGCCAGAGAAGGAAAGGCCACUCAUGCAAUUAGAUCUCUUGUGGAAUCGAAUCUGAGCUUGAUCAGGAAGACAAAUACAAAGGGAAACACUCCUUUGCAUGAUGCAGUGAUCAAGGGCAACAAAGAACUUGCCAAACUCCUAGUUUCCAGAGAUCCAGAAGUGGCCUAUUAUGUUGAAGUUUGCUUGCUGAAGCUGUCAAAGGAGCUGUCAACAAAUCUGUUAUUUCUGUUAUUUCUAAUUAUCAUGCUAAUAAUAAGCUAUUGUCCUAGUCUCUAGGUAUUAGUUAUUCUGUUAUUAAGUUAACAGAUCAUAGCAUGAUUUCAUGCUACAAGUUUGGAAUUCUGUUUUGUUUAUUUUAGUAUAUAUGUGUAACGAUUGCAUGGAAGAAAGCAAUAAGAAUUAUUCAUUCUAUUCAAAUAAACAUCAGUUUAUUAUUCUGCUCUUCCUUAUCUUCUUCAUUCUAUCUUAUUUCUUCUCGUAUACAUUCUCUUCAUUUCUUUACAAACACUGUCAAUUGGUAUCAGAGCUGAUUUCUUAAAGGACCUGUGAUGGAUAAUGAAGCAAGUUUUUCUCACAUUUCUUCUCCAAUCUUCAAUGGAGAAAAUUAUCAACUUUAGGCAGUAAGGAUGGAAACCUACUUGGAAGCACUUGAUCUUUGGGAGGCUAUCGAAGAGGAUUAUGAAGUUCCACCACUGCCAACUAAUCCUACCAUGACUCAGAUUAAGAGUCACAAGGAGAGAAAAACCAAAAAAUCCAAAGCAAAGGCAUGUCUAUUUGCUGUUGUCUCAACAACAGUUUUCACAAGGAUCAUGUCCCUAAAAUCUGCCAAAGAUGUAUGGGAUUAUCUGAAGGAGGAGUAUGCAGGAGAUGAAAGGAUACGUGGAAUGCAAAGCCUCAACCUCAUAAGAGAGUUUGAGCUGCAGAGGAUGAAGGAGUCUGAGACCAUCAAAGAGUACUCAGAAAAAUUGCUUGGAAUUGUCAACAAGGUGAGAUUGCUGGGCAUAGACUUUACUGAUUGCAGAAUUGUGGAGAAAAUCCUUGUUACAGUGCCUAAAAGAUAUGAGGCAUCUAUAACUACCUUGGAGAACACCAAGGAUCUGUCCAAGAUUAAUUUGGCAGAAUUGAUAAAUGCUUUGCAAGCUCAAGAACAAAGGAGACUGAUGAGGUUGGAUCAUGUUACAGAAGGAGCAUUACAAGCAAAGUAUCAUGAUUCUAAAAGUCAUUUCAGGAAAAAUCAGGUGUCAAGCAGUAGUAACACUACUGCUCGUAAAUUUCAGAACAAAGGAAAAUUUCUCAAAAGAAAUUUUCCACCCUGUCAACACUGCAACAAGACAGGACAUGCACCUUUCAAGUGCCAGAAAAGGCCUGAUGCAAAAUGCAGCAAAUGUAAUCAAAUGGGACAUGAGGCAAUCAUCUGCAGGACAACAACUCAGAGACAAGAUGUUGAUGCACAAGUUGCCAGUCAAGAUGAUGAAGAUCAAAUGUUUGUAGCUUCAUGUUUUUCAGUCCAAACCACCUCAGAUCACUGGCUGAUAGACAGUGGGUGUACGAAUCACAUGACCCCUGACAGAAGCCUCUUUCGAACCUUGCAAUCUAUUGAAGUUGCAAAGUUUAGAAUUGAGAAUGGUGCUUGCAUAGCUGCAAAAGGAAAGGGGACAAUUGCCAUCACCACAAAGUCAGGUACAAAAACCAUUUCUGAAGUUUUAUAUGUACCUGAAAUAGAUCAAAAUCUAUUAAGUGUGGGGCAAUUGAUUGAGAAAGGGAUGAGGGUUGUCUUUGAAAAUUAUUUUUGCUAUAUCUUUGAUGCUGCUGGACAAUUAAUUUUGCAAGCUAAGAUGAAAGUAAAGAGUUUUUCAUUCCUACCAUUUGAGGAGGAGUAUUCAGCUUUCCAUACAAAGCUGACUGAUAUGGAAGUGUGGCAUAAAAGACUAGGCCACUGCCAUCAACAGAGGAUGAUAAGCAUGAAGAAACAUGACUCUGUAAGAGGAGUGCCUCAAUUCACUGAUUUUCCAUCAAAUUGCAGUGCAUGUCAAUUUGGUAAACAAAGCAGGAAGCCAUUCCAGAAAUCAACUUGGAGAUCCACACAGAAACUCCAAUUGAUUCACACUGAUGUUGAUGGUCCACUCAGCACACCUUCAAUCAAAGGUAGCCGAUACUAUAUUCCUUUUAUUGAUGACUUUUCUAGGAUGCGCUGGAUUUUCUUCAUGAAAUACAAAUCAGAAGUUGCUGGGAUUUUUUUCAAAUUCAAGAAAAAUGUGGAAAACAUAAGCAAUUACAGAAUUCAGGCCAUUAGAUCGGAUAAUGGCAAAGAGUAUACCUCAUUAGAGUUCAAUCUCUAUUGUGAGGAAGCUGGCAUCGAUCAUCAACUUACUGCCCCUUACACACCAUAGCAGAACGAUGUUAGUGAAAGAAGAAAUCGAUACAUCAUGGAGAUGGUGAGAUGCAUGUUGCAUGACAAGAACUUACCAAAGGAUUUUUGGGCAGAAGCAGCCAGCACUGCAGUUUUUCUUCAGAACAGACUGCCCAUAAAAUUGCUUGAUGAGAAGACACCUUUUGAAGCUUGGUAUAAUUACAAACCUUCAUUAAGAUUUCUUAAAGUCUUUGGCAGUCUGUGUUUUGUUCACAUUCCACAGAUCAUAAGGGACAAGCUGGACAAGAAGGAUGGACCAGGAAUCUUUGUUGGCUAUAGUGGUACAUCUAAAGCUUACAAGGUUUAUCAUCCUCAAACACAAAAAAUAGUUGUUACCAGGGAUGUCCACUUUCUGUUGCUACCCAAUUUUUGACCCAUGUUUUUGAUAUAUUUUCAAAAAAUCCAAAAAUAGAGAAAAACAAAGAAAAUCCAAAAAAAAUAUGUUUUUAAUAUAUUUUCGUCAUUUUAGCAUUUUCAACGUCGUUUAAAAUUUUUUUAAAAUUUUUAAGGGUCUUUCGAAUGCGUUCGACUUUUCACGCGUCAUUUUCAAAAUAAUUGAUUUUCCGUAUUUGAGUCGACGUUGAUAUUGCUCGUUUUCAAAAAAAAAUACAAAAAAAACAAGAAAAAUCAAAUUUUACAAAAAAAGAAAGUUAAGGGACCAAUAUUGAAAACUUGUCAAUAUUUUUUGCCUAUAAAUACUGGUGUCCAACACUUGCAAAGUGGGGGGCCAAUUUUGCAAUUAAAGAAGACAACCAAAAAACCCUAAGGGCUGAACAUUUUUUUCAUCUCCUGCACCCUAGGCAGCCGCCCCCCCUCCCCCUGGAUUUUCUUCUCUGCUCCCUCAACUGCACAGCCGGCUCCCUCUUUUCCUUUCCUUUCCCCCUGCCCAGCACCAGCUCCCACAACACCGUUUCCCUCCAGCUUCUUCACCCAAAACCAUCCUUCCAUCUCCAGUUUUCUGCUCACACAAGACAGCCCCUCACCUCCUCUCUCUUACUCCGAUCUUCACUCAUCAACUGGCCAUAGACCAACAACAGCCACGAAUUAGCUCCCCCUUCCACAGAUCCUCUCUCAGCUGUUCCCUUCUCCAGCCGCAGCGGCGCCUUCUUCAUCCGGCAGCACCCAGCAGAGCCUUCCUUCUCCAGCUCCUCCCUCAUAAAUCGCCCUCCACCAAGCUACACAGCAGCAGGCUCCUCCACACCGAAGCCCCGAACACAACAACAGCAAAGGACAGCCCUCCUCCAGCCGUUCCUCCCAGCUUCAGCAGUGCCCACAGACCGGCCACCAGCAGCAGCAGCCGAUCUCCUUCACCGCCGUUUGCCAGCCUCCAGCACUCCUUGCUGCCAGUACAUGGAACAAGGGAGAAGAGGAUGAGCAGCAGCAGCUGAGCUGCUACGAAGCAGACCCAAAAGAGGUCGUGGCAGAUCUAAAAAGGGAGAGCCGGAAUUGGUUGUGUUGUUGGUUUUACUUUGCAGGUGACUGGGAGAUGCACUGCCGGUACGAACGAGAAGAUAAGAAGGAGACAAUCCCGAUCUACCAGCUUGCUGGUCUUCACCGGCGGUGGCGUGUGAGGCCCACGCGCCGCCACUGUUCCCGCGCCCAGAAAACUUCCUUGACACUGUUCCGACUAUAGAGGGCUAUCCCUGUAAUUUCAUAUUGUUUUAGGGCUAAUUUUUUGUAAUUGUAAAAAUUGUUUAAUGUAUUUUUUUUGUUUAGUUGACUUUUUAUAAUUUGUAAUGUUGAUGUAACAAAAAGAAAGAGAAAGAAAAAAAGAAAAAAGAAAAAAAAGUAAUAAAAAGAAAGUUGUGUGUGUGUUGGUUUUUUUUUUAUUUAUGUUAUGAAUUAUAAAAUAAAAAAAAGGACAAGAAUUAAUUGUUAAUUUAAAUAUGGUUAAAUAUCUCAAGGACAAAUAAAAUCAAGUUGUAUUUUCCAUGAAAAUGUAAGAACAAGUUUACAUAUAUUCGGGGAUUUAAUAACUGAUUUAUUCAAGCCUUAGAAUUUAAUUAAUAUUUUAAAUUUUCAAAUCACAUCAGAACACAAAGCAGCUUACCUCAGGUAGGGUGUGUUAGGGGUGCUAAUACCUUCCCUAACCACAACCAGUCCCUUACCCGCGAUCUCUGACAAGACCAGUACAUCAGGUUUCCUAGUAGCCCUCAAUAAUUACUAGGUGGCGACUCCAACGAACGAAUUCAAAGCAAACGCAACAAACAAUGAAAAAUCGCCAGCCGAUGCCGCGCGCAGGAUUUUUUUGGGGUGCGACAGGAUGGCGACUCCACUGGGGACGGUAUUGUUUUCAACUUUAUCGGACUAAGCUUUGUGUUUUGAUGUGUUCAAUUUUUUUUUUUUUUGUGCUUUGUUUAUUUAUUUGUGUUUUAUUCAUGCAUUGUAUAUAAUUCUCUCAUGCAUCAUAAGUUUUAAUUUUUGAAAGCACACACAAGCUUUAGGUUAGGUGGGGGACUAGCAGCUUACCUUACGACUUGAGUCAAGGUUUAAGUUUGUGUAAACCCCAACUCUUUGUUGAGUGCUUAGACUGGUAAUAGUUGGACACGUGCCAACCAAUUACCUACUGGGCCCCUAUAUUGCCUUUACGAAGGCGAUCACUGGGACAACAAGAGACCCUUUUAGAGACCAAGUAGCAAACCUACCCUGUCUCACGUAAAAUGAAUAGAGCCUGUCUUUAGGAUGUAUGUGCUAUUGUUUUGCAUCCGAGCAAACCCUUCUUGAAGCAUCUUGAACUCAAGACUUGUGGGUGACACAUUGACCGUUGCUCCGAAAAUUUUCAUUGUAGAGUUUGGGCAAAAAUCACGAUUCUUGUCCAUCAUACAAGAGUUACGACCAUAUUGUCACCUCUCGAAGGGUGAGUUCAUCAUAUAGAUUACAUGUUCAUACAUUUAUCAUGCAUGUACCGGGUCGAAAAGUAGGUUCCCCCGCACAAGCUGUGCUGCACGUGAUUGAAGAAAAAUGAUGGAGGUGAAGAAAGGUGUCAGAUAGAGGCUCAUUAUCAGUUUGAGUUUGAGAGCAUCAAAGGUGAAAUAGCUGGACUCAGAUCUGCUCGAACAAGUGUUGAGCAUCAAAUGGAAAGAGAAUGUCUGCACAGUCUUCUGUGGGAACACUGCUUGUUCCACGUCCAAUUGAAGCUGCUCUCCUUUUCAGUCAUGAACAACAACAAAUGCCUUCAGUCAUCAACUAAUGACAACUCUGUUCUUGUCCAGUUGCAUGUUAAGUUCAUCGCCUCCACAUCAUCUAAUGGAACCAAACGACUACUAGCCUCCUGUACAUGGUGCAUUAGUCUGCUUUGAAGUUACCCCAUUAUGAGCUCAAUUCCAGUUCAGCAGCACAAGAUGGUAAAAAUGAUUAACACUGAACUUCAAUGUGGCAGAGCUCUCUCUACAAAAAUCCAUUUAUGGCUCUGCAAAUUGGGAAUGCAAGAGGGGAUUUAUAAGUUGCAUAUGCUACAAAUAUUUCUCUCAUCAGUUUCAGCACGAAGACCUCUUAGUAGGUUGAAGAGCCAGACCUGGUCUGAAAAAUAUGAGCAGACAUCAAACUUCAACGUAGCAGAGCUCUCUCAGCAGGAAUCUGUUUGUGGAGCCGCAAGUGGGAAGUCCAAGAAGGAAUAUAGUAGUUUCAGGUCAUCUAUGAUUUUCCUCCAACAGUGUCAGUAUUAAAACUCAAAAGUAGAGAGAAGAGACAUGCCUAGACUGAAAAACAUGAAGAAUACUGAAACUUCAACAGAGCAGGACUUCCUCUAUAGGUGUUUGUUUGCUGCACUGUCAGUGAGAAAUCGAAGAGGGCAAAGGAGUUUUAGAUUCAUCAGGUGCUCUUCCAAUAGAGACAAUGUGUGAUUCCACACGUCGGUAGUGGCGAUACUACAAGUUUCUGGGCGCUGCCAAGAUUACCAAGCUGUUGGAAAGUUUUCUAACAAUCCUCAACCAACCACAACAACAUUGGAAGAUUGAAAUGUUGUGAGGAUUUGCCGAAGAAUUGAACAAGCUAUGAAGAGAGAAAGAUUGAAGGAUCUGCCAUGGAUUCCAGAACAAUGAUGAGAGGUGAAUCAGGAGAUGACUUCACGGUGUGAACCCUUAAUUAUGUGGUAUAGCCAGGUCUCACGGUAGCAUCAAUUGCUCAAAUGUCUUUGCCAAGAUGGGACAUUCCUCUGCCAUUUAAGUUUGUCGACCAGCAUCUGCCAGAUUCCAGAAUUUUUGCUUGACUCCGACAAAUCCCAUGCAACCACCAAUUUCUAGGUGGUAUAAUCCAGAUAAGAGAUGUGAUGUCAUGUGGGGUCCUCAACCAUUUCAAGUGAACAGUUUCAAGAAUUGCAAGAAUUGAGUCUGAAAGUUGGUGAGCAAGAGACAAGUGGAGUCGGUGAAGGAGGGUGUCAUUGGCUAUAUUGUCCCCCGAACAUCUUCAGAAUGACAUGUUGAUCGAAAGUGCUUGGCAAAACGCAAAUAUUGCCAGAAAAGCUGAUUCAAGAAUGGUGAUGAAAGUCAAUCAUUUUUUUGGAUUGCUUGCAUUUUGUUUUGGGAUCACAUCUCAUCCUUCAACGAAACAUGCCUUGCUUUUGUCUCUUUGUUGUUUUGAAAUCAACAGAUGUUUAACAUUUUUUUGACAAAAUAUUUUGAUCAAACUCCAACAUGCAUAAAGGUAAUCAAUCCUGAAGAUUAAAAGUGUUUUGAUUGCAGAAAUGACUCGAUUCUUGUUGAAAUGACAUGAGGUGACCAAACAAUUUUGAACUCAUACUUCCUAAACUGAACCACACAUCAUAGCUAAGUUUUAGUAGUAUAUAAUGACAUGUAGUGGAUUUGGUAGUUAUGGACUCGUGAAUCAUGACUCUUACAAGUCCAAAUCAUUACACUAGAUGAGGUCAAAAUUUAUCGGUUCUAACCGACCUUGCUUGAAAUGAGAAAAGGCCAUCUUUGAUAUCCUUCACUUUCUAAAAAUUAUCUCCCUUGUAGUCCCAUUUUGAGCUGGAUAGAUAUUUUUUCAAAAAAACCCUGACUAGGAUCACACCCCACACUGGGGGCAAAUGAGAAAUAUUUUGGAGACACGGAUAAAAUCAAUGGAUCAAAGAAAAGCUUAGAACAAAAGUCCAAUGUUUGAGAAAGGGCUAGAAGAAGAAAAUCCAUAGAUUGAGGGCCAUCCAAGAAAAACUUUGAGGAAAUGAAAGAAAAUGCCUACAAUUCUAAGAGAGGCAAGACAGUUUUCAAUUGAGAAAAGACAAUAAAUGCCAAAAGUCAACACUAGAAAAAUCGAUGCUUCAUAUCUUUUGGUGUGUCUAGGAUAAAGCCUCUAAUGUCUUCAAAUUGUUUUAGAUUGGUUAUUCAUCAAAGAAAAGUUGGAUUUGCAUUAUGACCUAUGUUAAGAGAAUUCUGAUAUUUGAGAUUAACAAGGUUAUAUGUCACUUUCUCUACAAUGACGACAAGAGAAAGAGAAUCGAUGAAUAAUUGAUGUUGAUCCUAGGUUUUUGAAACCCUCAAACACCUUUUGAGCCUUUGAAAUUCUUUUCUUUCAUAGCCAUGAACCACAGCCUGCAUUACAUGCUUUUAAAAGCCCUUUUUAAUCAAGCAAGCAAUUUGAAUCGAUAAAUGGCGCUCUCAAAACUUGAAGAGUUUUUCCAUAAGGGUCGUGACUUCAUGAAUUAAGCUACUGGUUAUUAUGCAUGCUGAUAAAAUAAAUGCUAAGAAAAGAAACAACCUUUCUUGACAAAGCCUGAGCAUCCUGUUUUUGAAAUUCAUAAAAAUGUCACCUCAUCACAGACCAUCAAAAGAUAUACUCAAAAUCAGAGUUUAAAAUGGACACAAAGAACCAUGGGAAAGACCAUUUUAAUCUUACAACGGGUCAUUUCUGUUUUCAAGAUACAAGACAAUCAAAGGACUGCAUUGAAUAGAGUGUUGGGUCUUUUACCAAAGAAGUUUGAAUUUCAAAAGAAAAAAUAAUAAUUUCAAAAACAAACAUCUCUCUGAUUUCAUUUCAACAAUUAGACUUGAACAGACAUGACGUUGAAAUGAGAUUUGAUUCCAGAACAAGAAAGAUUUCAAACAAAGAAGAACAUUAUUGAGUUUGCAAUCCUUGACAAAAAUGACAUCAACUCUUCUCAAAACUCCUUGAAAGGUUGACCACCUGGAGCAAUACAGUGGACCCUAAGAAGGAAAACAGACAAUCCAGAUCAGCUGGGGGCAAAGAAAGAAUCAGAUGAUGAGUUAUCAAAGUCCCAGAAAGUUUUAACAUCUGACAAUGAUAAAGAAAAACCUUCUUGAGUAUAAACCGAUGAACGAACCUUCAGAUCAUAUUGGGAGCAAGGUUUUUCAAACACAAUCCAUGAUCUAGUGCACUUCAGCAGCAAUUGAUGAGCAACGCUGCACUUGAAGGAUAUUUUCAUAUCUUCAUCUUGGGUUACCCUGUAAAACAUGGCUAUGACUCCUGACAGAUGUUAUCGGCUCAAAUGCACACUUCACCGCAUGAAUAUGGGUGAUAACAUGAACAUCAUUGAUGAUGCCAAAGCAGUUAUUUUCACGUUCUGAUUUGACAAGCUAAGAGGAAUCCAUAGAGAAAUACAUCGCGCUUACAACGAUGAGUCUUUCCUUGCAAAGUAUGAGAUGCAUGUCGGAAUGAUGUGGCAGUUCCAUGAUUAUGGAUGACUACAUAUACUUGAAUGAUGUUUCAACUGGAGGCAAGUUCAUGACUGAUCAACAAUCUUGAUGGGUGUUGGCAUGAUGCAUACAAUCAAUCAAAGGAUAAUUCUCAGAAGAAUCCAAGAGAGAAAAUUCUUCAUGAUAAAUCAAGCAUCACCACACUUGGGGGCAUUGUCAAGCUUGAUGAGCGAUGCGGGCAGUAAUUGUCGAAGACAGCCCGGGAUGAGCACUGCAUUUACAGCUGAGUAGAUGGCUAGCACAUGAAUGAGCCAAUGCAUCGGAAGAACAAAGAAAGCUUUGAGAUGCAAACAAAGGUACCCUAUGACGAUGGAGCAUCAAAGAGGGGAGGACCUAUAUUUCAAAUCAGGUAAGGAUGCAUGCAUAUCAUCUAACCUCAAGAAAAAAAAAAAACCAUUUGCACAUAUUUUUGAAUUGUUACAGGAAAAUCCUUGAUGAGGUCCAGCAAGAUGGUGGAAAGAGAAAGAAGCAUUGUGGUGAUGAUAAUAAAGAAUCGGUUUUGAUCAUGGAAUAAAAGGACGAUGGGAUAAACCUUACCAUUAGGAAAAUCCCAAAGAAAUGAAAAGAUCAACCUUGCAAUCGGGAAGCCUCAAGUUUUCAACCCUUGCAGUCAGGAAACACCGAGUUUUCAAACCCUAUGAUCGGGAAUUAUCAGGAAGCACCAAGUUUUUCCAGCCCUUCUUCUGUCAUCCCCUCAGGACUUCGCCAGGUAAGUCCUAUUUUUCACACUUGUCAUAUCACAUUUUUUCCAUCUGGGUAGGUCGCCCAUCAUAAUAAGACCGUUCAUCAUAUUUUUUCCAUUUGGGUAGGUCACCCAUUACAAUGAGACCGCACUUCACAUUCUUUCUAUUUGGGUAGGUCACCCAUCACAACGAGACCACUUCAUCAUAUUUUUUCCAUUUGGGUAAGUCACCCAUUACAAUGAGACCACACUUCACUUUCUUUUUAUUUGGGUAGGUCGCCCAUCACACCGAGACCACUUCAUCAUAUUUUUUCCAUCUGGGUAGGUCACCCAUUACAAUGAGACCACACUUCACAUUUUUUCCAUUUUGGGUAGGUCACCCAUCACAAUGAGACCACCAUUUUUUCUGGGCAGGUCACCCAAAGAAUGAGACCAUUCUCCAUUUUUUUUACCUGGGUAGGUCACCCAUAAGAAUGAGGCCAUUCCUCUCCCUGGGUAGGUCACCCAAAGAAUGAGACCACUCUUCCUUUUUCCACUUGGGUAGGUCACCCAUCACAAUGAGACCAUCAUUUUUUCUGGGUAGGUCACCCAUUAGAAUGAGACCAUUCUCCAUCUUUUUUUUAUCUGGGUAGGUCACCCAAAGAAUGAGGCCAUUCUUCCCCCUGGGUAGGUCACCCAAAGAAUGAGACCACUCUCCCCCUUUUCCACUUGGGUAGGUCACCCAUCACAAUGAGACCACCAUUUUUUUUUCUGGGUAGGUCACCCAUUAGAAUGAGACCAUUCUCCAUUUUUUUUACCUGGGUAGGUCACCCAUAAGAAUGAGGCCAUUCUUCCCCCUGGGUAGGUCACCCAAAGAAUGAGACCACUCUUCCUCCUUUCCACUUGGAUAGGUCACCCAUACAAUGAGACCAUCAUUUUUCUUGGGUUCGUCACCUAUACAAUGAGACCAUCAUAUUUCUGGGGUUUGUCACCCAUACAAUGAGACCAUCAUUUUUCUAGGGUUCGUCACCCAUACAAUGAGACCAUCAUUUUUCUAGGGUUCGUCACCCAUACAAUGAGACCAUCAUAUUUCUGGGGUUCGUCACCCAUACAAUGAGACCAUCAUAUUUCUAGGGUUCGUCACCCAUACAAUGAGACCAUCAUAUUUCUGGGGUUCGUCACCCAUACAAUGAGACCAUUUUUCACACUUUCUUUUGUUUUGGUUAAAUGAGGUCGCCAGAUGGGAUCUCAUGUAGCUUUGGUUAAAGCUAAUCGCCAGAUGGGAUUUCAGGUUAACCGAGUUACACAAUAUUUUCGUUCCAGUUGAAUGAGGUCGCCAGAUGGGAUCUCAGGUAAACCCAAUGUGUGGGCAGGUCGCCCGUGAAAAUAGGCCAUUGGGAGAGUAUGGGUCGGUCGCCCGUGAAAAUAGACCAGAGUGAGUAUGUGUGGGCAGGUCGCCCGUGAAAAUAGAUCCGUGUGAGUGUGUGGGCAGGUCGCCCAAGAUAAUGAAACCAUUUUCCUUUUGUUUUCUUUACAAAGCUUACUAUUCAAAACAUCGAGGAUUUUUGCUUCGUAAGCAUUGUAAAGAGGGGGCAUCUGUUGCUACCCAAUUUUUGACCCAUGUUUUUGAUAUAUUUUCAAAAAAUCCAAAAAUAGAGAAAAACAAAGAAAAUCCAAAAAAAAUAUGUUUUUAAUAUAUUUUCAUCAUUUUAGCAUUUUCAAUGUCGUUUAAAAUUUUUUAAAAAUUUUUAAGGGUCUUUCGAAUGCGUUCGACUUUUCACGCGUCAUUUUCAAAAUAAUUGAUUUUCCGUAUUUAAGUCGACGUUGAUAUUGCUCGUUUUCAAAAAAAAUACAAAAAAAACAAGAAAAAUCAAAUUUUACAAAAAAAGAAAGUUAAGGGACCAAUAUUGAAAACUUGUCAAUAUUUUUUGCCUAUAAAUACUGGUGUCCAACACUUGCAAAGUGGGGGGCCAAUUUUGCAAUUAAAGAAGACAACCAAAAAACCCUAAGGGCUGAACAUUUUUUUCAUCUCCUGCACCCUAGGCAGCCGCCCCCCCUCCCCUGGAUUUUCUUCUCUGCUCCCUCAACUGCACAGCCGGCUCCCUCUUUUCCUUUCCUUUCCCCCUGCCCAGCACCAGCUCCCACAGCACCGUUUCCCUCCAGCUUCUUCACCCAAAACCAUCCUUCCAUCUCCAGUUUUCUGCUCACACAAGACAGCCCCUCACCUCCUCUCUCUUACUCCGAUCUUCACUCAUCAACUGGCCAUAGACCAACAACAGCCACGAAUUAGCUCCCCCUUCCACAGAUCCUCUCUCAGCUGUUCCCUUCUCCAACCGCAGCGGCGCCUUCUUCAUCCGGCAGCACCCAGCAGAGCCUUCCUUCUCCAGCUCCUCCCUCAUAAAUCGCCCUCCACCAAGCUACACAGCAGCAGGCUCCUCCACACCGAAGCCCCGAACACAACAGCAGCAAAGGACAGCCCUCCUCCAGCCGUUCCCCCCAGCUUCAGCAGUGCCCACAGACCGGCCACCAGCAGCAGCAGCCGAUCUCCUUCACCGCCGUUUGCCAGCCUCCAGCACUCCUUGCUGCCAGUACAUGGAACAAGGGAGAAGAGGAUGAGCAGCAGCAGCUGAGCUGCUACGAAGCAGACCCAAAAGAGGUCGUGGCAGAUCUAAAAAGGGAGAGCCGGAAUUGGUUGUGUUGUUGGUUUUACUUUGCAGGUGACUGGGAGAUGCACUGCCGGUACGAACGAGAAGAUAAGAAGGAGACAAUCCCGAUCUACCAGCUUGCUGGUCUUCACCGGCGGUGGCGUGUGAGGCCCACGCGCCGCCACUGUUCCCGCGCCCAGAAAACUUCCUUGACACUGUUCCGACUAUAGAGGGCUAUCCCUGUAAUUUCAUAUUGUUUUAGGGCUAAUUUUUUGUAAUUGUAAAAAUUGUUUAAUGUAUUUUUUUUGUUUAGUUGACUUUUUAUAAUUUGUAAUGUUGAUGUAACAAAAAAAGAAAGAGAAAGAAAAAAGAAAAAAGAAAAAAAGUAAUAAAAAGAAAGUUGUGUGUGUGUUGGUUUUUUUUUAUUUAUGUUAUGGAAUUAUAAAAUAAAAAAAAGGACAAGGAAUUAAUUGUUAAUUUAAAUAUGGUUAAAUAUCUCAAGGACAAAUAAAAUCAAGUUGUAUUUUCUACGAAAAUGUAAGGACAAGUUUCUACAUAUAUUCGGGAAUUUAAUAACUGAUUUAUUCAAGCCUUAGAAUUUAAUUAAUAUUUUAAAUUUUCAAAUCACAUUAGAACACAAAGCAGCUUACCUCAGGUAGGGUGUGUUAGGGGUGCUAAUACCUUCCCUAACCACAACCAGUCCCUUACCCGUGAUCUCUGAUAAGACCAGUACAUCAGGUUUUCUAGUAGCCCUCAAUAAAUUACUAGGUGGCGACUCCAACGAACGAAUUCAAAAGAAAACGCAACAAACAAUGAAAAAUCGCCAGCCGACGCCGCGCGCAGGAUUUUUUUGGGGUGCGACACUUUCAAGAAGAAGAUCAAUGGGACUGGGGACAAUCACAAAUGAAUAAUCAGCCUCAUGAAGAAGAGCAAUGGGACUGGGGACACUCACAAAGAAACCAGCAGCCUGCAGAUCCAUUGCUAGAUGAAACAUUUGAUGAUCCACCAACAAGAGGCAUCCGAUCACUUGAGGAUGUCUAUCAAAGAAGCAAUGUAGCCCUUUGUGAACCAGAAGGCUAUGAAGAAACUAAACAAAGUCCAUAAUGGCAGAAAGCAAUGCAGGAGGAGAUUUCAAUGAUUGAGAAGAAUUGCACAUGGGAACUUGUUGACAGACCACCUGGAAAAAACAUCAUUGGCGUGAAGUGGAUAUUCAUGACUAAACUGAAUGCUGACAGCAUCAUCAACAAGUAUAAAGCUAGGCUGGUGGUCAAGGGGUACGCACAAAUCUAUGGUGUUGAUUAUUCAGAUACUUUUGCACCUGUAGCAAGAAUGUACACCAUUAGAUUAUUGCUUGUUGUAGCUGCUCAAAAGAACUGGAAAGUAUUCCAGUUAGAUGUCAAAUCUGCCUUCCUCAAUGGCAUAUUGCAAGAAGAAAUUUACAUGGAGCAGCCUGCAGGUUUUGAAAUUCAAGGGAAGGAAGACAAGUGUAUUUUCUGAAAAAGGCUCUCUAUAGGUUAACAGAUCCGAACACAACGUUAACUGCCAUAACGACCACCUAGAAAAACAGAGCGAAAGUCUCCAAAUAAUCUCCAUUAAUACACAAAUAUUAGAGAAACACAAAAUUUAAUCAAAUCAUCAACAAUGGCAUCUUCCUUUGAUUCAUUCAACCCUGAAGGAUAUCAAAAUGACCCCAUAAAGCAGCAUGUCCAACGUGAUUAUGAACAUAGGUGAUGACACAUCAUUCCCUGAGGCAACACCAUUGGCUCAAGAAAAUUUCUUCAAUGACAACAACAUGCAUUCUUCUGAGGUGUAUGGGUUUGGUAUGCCUUCUCCAAGUCCUGAAUUUGCCUCAACUUUUGAGUCUGAGGUGUUUGAGACUAGUGGUGGUGGUGGUGGUGGUGGUGGUGGUUGUCGCACGUGUGCGGCGGCACGACGAUCGUCCACCCUCAAGGAAAAAUCGGAAUAUUUAUUCCAGGAAAAUAGGGAGAGACAAGGAAUUCUUGUCUCUACAAGUGAAAAUAUGGACUGGGAGUCGCCACCUAGUAUUUGGUUUACUAGGAACCUUAACUGGUCUUUAGAGAUCGGGUACGGAGACUGGUUGCGUAAAGGGAAGGUAUUAGCACCCCAACUACGCCCUACCUAAGGUAGGCUGCAUUGUUUUAAUGUCUGAUAAAAUCUAAAAUCGUGUUGUGGUUUUUGAAUUAUUGGUUCGUUUACGAUUUAAGAAAAGUCCUCCUCCGUAAGGAGAUCCUUAUCUUUAUCGGGUAAAAACCUAACUAUUCGAAGUCGUCAAAAGAAAAUAUCUUUUUAAUAUCAAGAAUACGAUUUACGUAUAAAUUCAUAAUCCCUGAUACUAAAAUCAAACAAAAUAAAAUAUUUUGUUGUUUUUGAGAUUUUGGCCAAUGUUCUCUUGACUUUAAUAAACUGGUUAUUAAAGCCAAAAUGCAUGCUAAAAUAUUUUUUUUUUUUUUGACAUAUGAAAAAUACGAUAUGAUAUUUUAGAUUUGAGACACUUGGCCGUAUGCACGAAAACAUUUUUUUUAAUUGUUGUUUUUUUGUAUUUUUGGAAGUUUUUGCCGAAAACCGGGUAUUUUAAUACCCGAUAUUAAUCAAAAUGACAUAAAAACUACGCGGAAAAAUUAUAAAAUGCUGAAACAAAUAUUUGUGAUUUUUUUUUUUGCAUGUGUGAACAGAAAAACCGGGUAUUUUAAGACCGAAUUAUAUUUUUACGAUGUAAAAUACAUACUGAUAUUAAGCAAAAUUGAUAAAAAAAAAAAAAAUGUGCUGGAAAAAUUGUAAAAACUUCUGGAAAAAAAUAAAAUUGAAAUGGGCCGGGUCCGGCCCAUAUCAGUGGGCUGGGCCAAACCGGCCCAAGACUAAAUGGGCUGGUUACUAUGCAUAAGCACAGUAACCAGCCUCUCAGCAGUUGCAGAACGUGAAUUAAUUCACAUUCUGCAUGAAAAUAAAAGAGAGAAGGCAGCAGCAAAAGGAGAAGGAGACGGGGCAACGGGGUUACCUGCGGUGGCGUCGAGGCGGUGUUGCUGGUGGCAGCAGAGGCGAUGGUGGCGGAGGCACGGUGGUUCUGCGUUUCCCUUCUCUCUCUCUUCUGUUUUUCUUCGUUUUCUUUCCUGCUGCUUCUUCUUCUUCUUCUUCUCUGCCCUCUCCCUUCUCUUCUCUUCUCUCUCGGUUCGUCUCCCUCUUCUCUCUCCCUCGGUCUGCUUUUUCUUCUCCUCUUCCUCCCCUGUUUUUAUAGGAGAAAAAUAGGGGGGGGACGUCAUGGUGGUGGCCGGUGGGCUGCCGCCCGUCCAACGCCCGUCCAACACGUGGAAAGUGGUCGGCAAGUGGUGUCCUUGUUUCGGCGUCUUUUUGAGCAAAAGAAGGAAAGUAAUUAGGCGAAAAGGGGAAGAAAAAAUCUUCUUCUUCCCCUGCCUCGUGUGUCUAGGGGAAGAAGAAGAGCUACAGUGCCGUCAAAACGGCACCGUUUUGGGCUUCUUUUUUUUUUUUUUUUUUUUGCAACAGUGAAUGAAACGGCGCCGUUUUGGUCAAAACGCAUCGUUUCAUUUAAAAGGAAAAGGCGCCAAAACUUGUCAGAUUCAAAUUUUGGCCCUCAAUUUGCGCGUGUUUUGCAUUUUAGUCCUUGGUCUCGGAUUUCUUCAAUUAAGUCCCUAAUUGGCCAUUAAACUUCAAUAGUUAUGCAAUUAAGCCCCUGAUUUGACCAAAUUAACUUCCAAAAAUUAUAAUUUGACCCUAGAAAAUUAAUUUCUCCUAAUUAAAGCCCAAAUUAACUCCAAAAUCAAUUUUUCUUGCAAUUAAAAUCUUCAUAAAUGCAAUUAAACCUUUAAUAAAAUUUAAUUGAGUCCAUAAACUUCUGAUUUUGCAUUUUUCUUCCUCAAAAUUGAAUUUUCUUUAUCAUCGGGGCUCUCAUCAGUCAAUGAUAUACUGUCAAAAAAUAAUUUUUAUAUUUUUGAAAAUCCUCAAUCAAUUUUUGAGCAUUUUUAGGGCACUCCGGCAUUUUUUCACUGUUAUAUUUUUUGAUAAUAUAUUUUUUUUGUAUUUUAUUAUUUUUUAUGUGGAGACCCAGAAAUGGGUUACAACAGUGGUGAUGGUUUUUUUUGUUUCUGAUGGGCCGCUUCUGCCUGCAGGAGUUAGGAGUCAAAUUCCGUGAGUGGCGCAAGUGAGUUUUGUUUUUGUUUGUGGAAUUGGGUUAUAUUCGCUUUCUUGAUUGGAUCUGGAUUUGAGUAUUUUACAUCUGGAAUUUGCAAUGGGGCUAUGGUUUAAUGACUGGGGAGGUGGAGUUUGGAAGAGAAAAUUUGAUACAUAUAAUUUUGAUUGGUGUUUGAUGUUUGAGAAUUAAGGUGAUCUAAUUAUGUAGGAUGAUUUAAUUGAAGAUAAGCAUCGAAUUUGUAAAUUUGGGAUCAUCUCAUUCUGUUUUUUUUUAUUAUUAUUAUUAUUGGAAUAGAUUAAUUAUCAUUAGAAUUGGCCUUGGGAGACCAUGAAAGGGAAAGUUGAUGAUGAUGGGAGCCUAAAGCUUCUGUUGUUGGAGGCAGCAAGGCAUUGAUUUUAAAAUCUUGUUCUUGAGACAUUGCCAGUUUACUGAAUACCAAGUUCUUAGUUAGAAUUGAAAGGGGUUUGAACUAUCAAAUUAAACUUUUUUUUUUUUCACUGAAGAAUUGAUUGGUAUAGAAAGCUGUCACUCAAAGGCUUUUUGAAUGUCGUCUCGUAAAACAGUUAGAGUUCAUCUUUCCAUCAAUUCUUUUAUUGUUCCCUGAUUUUGGUUGAUAUGAAGCAACGAGAGUACUAAAACCUCUUUGAUUUUUACAUGCUGCUAAUUUUUCAUUACACCAUACUUGUAUUGCACCAUGGCCAAUUCAAAAUCGUAAUGUGAAAGAGGGCUUCUAAUUGUUAUAGGUUCAUCGGAAUAUUGGCGAAAUCUUCCAGACUAAUCUUUGUUUUUUCUUGAUCAUCUAUACUGUAUUUCUCUAAUUGUCUUUUUGACAUCUUAGAGAUGUUUUCAGCCUUCUUUUAUGAGAGAAGGCAGCAGAAUUGUGAAACCAACAAAGCUCGGAACAGAGAAAGAGAGAAGGUAAAAUUUAUGUAAAGACACUUUUCCAUUGUUUCCUCCCAAUUUCUUUCGACGUGCAGAUCCGUGCUCAAGUUUUCUACAUUCCUUCCAGCUUUACUAUGAGGUUAAACAUAUGGAUGUGCUUUUCUGCAGCCGUACUUGGCAAACCAGGAGAAGUUUCACAAGGAGGCAGAUAAACAUUACUGAAAAGCCAUUGCAGAGAUCAUUCCUCGAGAGGUGCCAAGUAUUGAUAAAAGAAGGGGUAGAAAAGAUGAUGAAGAGAAACCUUCCAUUGCUGUAAUUCAAGGUCCAAAGCCUGGAAAACCCACUGAUCUCUUAAGGAUGAGGCAACUUUUCGUGAAACUGGAACAGAACCCUCCCACAUCUGCCAAAGAUGGAAAGGAUGCGAAGGAUGAAAAUAAUGGGAAAGAUGCCAAGGAUGGAAAACCUCCUACACAAAUUGCUGCUGCUGCUACUGCAGCUGCAGCUACGAAAACAAGCCUGCUUCACCUUCUAAAGACAUUGCCAUGAGCAGUUCACUUGACUCGUCAAAAUUAGAUGCUCUUGUUGCUGCGGUUGCUGAAGGUGAGCAAGCUGCUGAAAUUGAACCAGCCACUCCUAGUGAUGGCACCCGAUAAUUCUUUCUAUCAAUUCCUAUUUGCCUUUUAAGCUCUCAUUUGUUGAAUGCGAACAAGCUCAGCUCUCUACAGAUGUUAUUGUUAGAGUAUUGAAUAGCAUAACAACGUCAACAAAAUCAGGAACAGAAUCAAGCAUGGGAGAAAGAUCAAAGGAAGAUCAGAAGAAGAUGAAUAAAGAUAAUCUGUUAUAGUUUCAAAUCUCUGUUAUAGUUUCAAAUUUGUUAUAGUUUCAAAAUUCAAAUACUUGCACUUAUCCUAUCUUUAAGAUUGUACGCAUAUAUAUAUAUAUAUGCACACUGUAAAUAAUAUUGUAUGCAGAGAAUAUAGUUUUUCUUCAUCUUCUGUCAACUUCUAUUGUUAGUUUCUUUAAAUCUUUCAGUUAUCGAGCUUGUGGCAUGGACUGUGGAGAGUUUCUUCCUACCUGUUGGAUGUAUUAGGCUUCAUAUGCAAACUGAGGUCAAAAUACUUUUUCUUCUUAAAAAUAAAUAAAUAUAAUUUCAUCAUUUUGAUGCUGGAGGCGUAAGUAAUUUUUAAUAUAUUUUUUUAUAUGAAUGUGAUUUUGAACUUCAAAUUUUUAAUCCCUCUAAACUUGAUUUCUUAUGGGUCAACCAUGAAAGCCCAUGGACCAUUAUCUGAUUAAAAAGGGCCUUGACUACAGCUUACAGAAUUUCGUCUAAGAAUGAAAACGCCCAUGGAUAUUCAUUGUAAGAUUAAGAUGGUCCUUGAAUAAAAUCCCAUGGAUCAUUGUAAGAUUAAAAUGGGCCAAGUGAGACAACAACAUGCGAAGGAGGCUUAAGAUAUUUUAAUUGGUCCCUCUAUGGUAAGAAAUAUUUAAUUAGGUCCUUCUAUUAAUAUACUGUUGCAUUGUGUCCACCAAGCAUUGAAAUUCGCUGCAAGGGAGUUUUAAAUACCAUCACCAACCCGUGUUUAUAAAAUAUUUUAAUUUUUUAAAAAAAUUAAUUUUUAUAUAUAUUUUAAAUCAUUUUGAUACGUUGAUCUCAAAAAUAAUUUUUUAAAAAUAAAAUAAAAAUAUCAUUUUGAUACAUUUCAGCAUGAAAAACACUUUAAAAGCAACCGGCUAGAACCGGGCCGGAUUGAAGAAAAAAUAUAAAAAGAAAAAAUCUGGUAUGACCCUGUAACCUGGCAAGACCCGGUUAAAAAUUCAAUUGCAACCUGUUAAUUUAACCUGGCAAGACAAGGUAACCACCCAUAGACUUGCGAUCAUCAAUACUACCACUCCGGUUUGCAUCUGUAAAAUCAUGUAAAGCAACAGAGUAACUAUGAGUGUUAUGUAAGCCAUGAGAAACCAUACCCCGAAGAUAACGCAAAAUGUGUUUAACGACAACCCAAUGGGAAUCUGUAGGAGCAUCCAUAAACUAACAGACGUUGUUAAUAGUAAAACAAAUGUUUGGUCUCGUAAAAGUGAGAUAUUGAAGAGCACCAAUGAUUUGACAAAACAAUGUAGGAUCAGAAAAUAAGCAAUCGAGCACCACUAUAACUUUGGAGGUAGAAAUAGGAGUAUCAACAGGUUUGAAUGAUGUCAUACCAGCUCGAGUAAUUAUGUCAAGAAUAUACUUAUCCUAUCGUAGAAUAGACCCAUACUAGUGGAUUGAACCUUAAUUCCCAAACAAUAAUGAAUAGCUCCUAAGUCUCGAAGCUUAAACUCAAAACUCAAUAACUAUAUCAGUUUUUGAAGCAGAACAAAGUUGCUGCCUAUAAGCAAGAUAUCAUUCGACAUAAACUAGAAGGUAAAAGAGAUCAACAUCAUCAGACAAGAUAAAUAAUGAAGUGUCAAACUUUAAAGCAUGGAAGCCAAAAGAGAACAGAUAAUCACUCAGAUGAGUUUACCAUACUAGUUUAUGUCGUGAUCACUCAGAUGAGUGUUUGUUUCCGAUCUUAACCAUUCAUAAUUUAAACAACAUCUGGAUGAACAACAUAUCCAAAAUCCAGACCAAUCCAACGGUGAAAAGAUGAUAUAACAGCCGAUAAAUAAGGUUGUCUUGAAGGGUGAUUUUCAAGAAAUGUUCCUUCGACAAUAGCGCUCAAACGAAGUCUAUUAUUGACAAUCCCUCCAGUCAGAAUGUAGGUGACAUUGAGCAUAAUAACAUAACCAAAACGCAACCUAAUCCAAUGGUGGAAAGCCAAGAUAUGGCUGCCAAAGUUCCUGCCCUGUUGCCAUCCUAAAACCCAUAGUUUCAAAUCAACUUAUUCCUUCUAUUGUUUUAUGCAAAUCAAGCCAUUAUCAUGCAAUUAUUCUCGAAAUUCACAAGAACAAUUAUUCCCCCAAAAUAUUUACAUGAAACCUAGAAUUUUAAACUUGGAGGUUUUCUUCUUCUCGUGCAAGAACAAGAGAGAAAAAAGAAAUUACUAAAGGGUAUGUUGCUUACCUUUGCUACCUUAACUUAUUUCAAUGAAUUCUUGCAAAAAUCUACAAAACUCAUGUCCUCCUCUUUCAAGUUCCAGCUCCUAUGCUUUGUUUUUCCCAAGCUUUAUAACUCUUUAAGUAUGGUCACUUGAUUUGUUUUCUUGGAUAUAAUCCUCCCAAGAACAAUCCUUUUUUAUUUAAUUUGAAGAAAUGGAGAGGAGAUGAAGAAAAUGGAAGAAAAAUAGUCUCCCUCCUAUUUUCUCCUUUUGAAGAGAACAUGAGAUGUGUUUAAAGGGUAUUUUUAUAUAAAGAACCAAGAGAAGUUUCACAAAGAGGCAGAUAAACAUUACUGAAAAGCCAUUGCAGAGAUCAUUCCUCGAGAGGUGCCAAGUAUUGAUAAAAGAAGGGGUAGAAAAGAUGAUGAAGAGAAACCUUCCAUUGCUGUAAUAUAGGGUCCAAAGCCUGGAAAACCCACUGAUCUCUUAAGGAUGAGGCAAUUUUUCGUGAAACUGGAACAGAACCCUCCACCUCACAUGAUGCCUCCCCCUCCCACAUCUGCCAAAGAUGGAAAGGAUGCGACGGAUGAAAACAGUAGGAUUUAUUAGGCUUCAUAUGCAAACUGAGGUCAAAAUUCUUAUUCUUAAAAAUAAAUAAAUAUAAUUUCAUCAUUUUGAUGCUGGAGGCGAAAGUAAUUUUUAAUAUAUAUAUAUUUUUAUGAAUGUCAUUUUAAACUUCAAAUUUUUAAUCCCUCUAAACUUGAUUUCUUAUGGGCCAAGCAUGAAAGCCCAUGGACCAUUAUCUGAUUAAAAAGUCCUUGACUACAGCUUACAGAAUUUCGUCUAAGAAUGAAAACGCCCAUGGAUAUUCAUUGUAAGAUUAAGAUGGUCCUUGAAUAAAAUCCCAUGGAUCAUUGUAAGAUUAAAAUGGGCCAAGUGAGACAACAACAUGCGAAGGAGGCUUAAGAUAUUUUAAUUGGUCCCUCUAUGGUAAGAAAUAUUUAAUUAGGUCCUUCUAUUAAUAUACUGUUGCAUUGUGUCCACCAAGCAUUGAAAUUCGCUGCAGAGGGAGUUUUAAAUACCAUCACCAACCCGUGUUUAUAAAAUAUUUUAAUUUUUUUAUAUAUAUUUUAAAUAAUUUUGAUGCGUUGAUCUCAAAAAUAAUUUUUAAAAAAUAAAAUAAAAAUAUCAUUUUAUACAUUUCAGAAUGAAAAACACUUUGAAAAGCAACCGGCUAGAACCGGACCGGAUUGAAAAAAAAAUAUAGGAAGAAAAAAUCUGGUAUGACCCGUGAUCUGGCAAGACCCGGUUAAAAAUAAAAUUGCAACACAUUAAUUUUUUUUUUACUAAAACAAAAUCAUUUUAAUUUUAAAAAUAAAUUAAUCCAUAUUCAAUCAAAACCUGAAAUCCAUCUAUGAAAAAGAAAAAAGAAAAAAGCAUUUACAAAAAUUAUCUUCCCCUCUAAUUCUUUCUCUCCAACCCUAGCCGCAGCCCCUCUCAACUCUUUCUCUCUAUUUCCCUCCCAGCAGCCCCCUCCCCCCUCCCCCUCUUUCUCUCCAUCUCUUAGUAUUUACAAAAAUUGCUUCUGGCCACCGAGUAUAACAUUAGACCACCACUCUUGGGAGCAGCAUUUUUGUCCUGAUCGAAGUCUAGCAACAUGUUUGUCUGCAUGAUUACUACCAACCUUUUAGAUCCAGGGGUAAUCUUUAGAGGCAACCCUCAUGGUUUAGAGGAGAACCUGAGGCCUGCAAGCGUUGCAACUGUAAAAAAUCUAAGUGUUUGAAACUGUAAGUUCUUAGCUUUGAAGUUUAAUUCAAUCAGGGAUCUUGUUUCCAGCUUGUGGCCCAAAUAAAUAUAAUCAUAUGUGCUAUUAAUAAAUAGAUCUCAGUACUCAGAGGUCUCUUGACGUAGGCCUAAACACAUUAGCAUUUUUUAUUCUGUGUAGAGCAAGAUGUCGCAGUUUGACUGCUGUUGUAUCUUAUCUAAAUUCUCUUAUCCAUGGAAGUAAAUGCAGCUGUCUUUAGGUAACCAAAAAAAUCUUUAUCAAUGAAGUUGGAAACAGAUGAUUGAUACUGAAAAGGUGGUCUGAAGAUUUGAAAUCCGGUCAAGCAUAUAAUGCCCAGAUGAGAGCUGAGAUGAAGAAGUGGGGUUUUGAUUUUAAAAAAUGUGGUUUGGAUUUUUGGCUUUUAAUUCGUUUGCAUAUAGGUUGUCUCGGUUUUUUGAAACCGAACCGGUUUGGUUUGACUCGGUUUCGGUUCGGUUUCGGUUUUUUUUUUUUAAAAAAAAAGAGAACCGGUUUGGUUGUUUUUUUCAGUUCAAAACCGAACCGAACCGAAAAUGCUCAGAAAACUAUGGGAUUAGGUGUUAGGUUUUUCCUCGUAAAAAGACGAGCUAUACCGUAUAUUACCAAAACGAUAGAUAGAAGUCUCAAAGAAGACCUGCGCUCAAAACAUACAUGGUACGGAGUACUUGAUGGCCUCAAAGACUUGCAUGUGAGCUUGGUAUCCUGACUAAUACUUUCACUGAUUACUAAUACUAUUAUUACUUUAUUAAUUAUUAAAUAAACUAAAAUAUGUGGUGAAUACCGUGUAGGCAAAGUUUUCACCUCUCAUAUAUUAUUCAUGGACUAUAUUGUUCACUAUUUUUUUCAAUGAUUUGCUCUAAAUUUAAAGAAAAAAAGAACUGAAUUUUAUUAACUUUAUGGUUCAAGUUCACCCUGUAUAUUUUACCAUGAACGGUAUUAUUCACUUUAUUUUUUUGCUUAAGAUUUGCUAUAAAUUUAAAAAAAAAAAAUAUUAAAUUCCGUUGAUUUCAUAGUAUAGGUUUUAAAUUUUUUUAAGGGUUGAAUAAAAGUUUUUUUAAAAAAAAUUAAACCCGAUUGAGUUUAAAGUCCGAGUCACAUGUUUAACGAGUUAAGUUACAACAAUCAGGCAUAUAUAUAUAUAUAUAUAUAUAUAUAUAUAUAUAUAUAUUUACUGAUAUCUUUUUUUUAAUAAUUUUUAAAUUUAUAUUUCAAUUAAUAUCUUUAAUUUGCAUUUGUUUUUGCUGAUCUAAUAUUUUUUGGAUGAAGAUUGUUUUUUAUGAUGUUGUGUGUUUUUAAUUUUUUAAUUUUUAAAAGGUUAAAUAUAAAUUUAAAAGAAAAACUUUAUUCAAUCUAUAUCUGAGGCUCCACGCACACCCUCCAUUAAUCUCAUUCUCAAGUUAAACAAAGCCUUGUGAAAAUGAUGACAUAUUUUCUUCUUUUCUGUUUGCUCCUUUCCCACACAGAAGCAAAAUCUAUACCUCAUCCUCCUCCAGCUCCUUCUCCCCAUCAUUUUCCGCUUGACUUAUGGCCGGAGGACUCCCUCUUACCUCGACGUCUUUGUCGUCCUCUACCUCACGAUCAUUUUUGGCUUGUCCACACAUGGCCUAAGGGCUUUUGCUCAAAUUCCUCAGUACAUUGUCCACAACCUCAUAACCUCCCACUCGAGCUAACAAUUCAUGGCUGGUGGCCUGUCGACGGAAAAGAUAGUACUUUGAAUAACUACCGGCAAGUAGGGCCAAUUAAUUAUCUGGUAAUUACUCAUUCUCAUGUAAUUUGUUGUUUUUAACAUAUAGUUUUUGUUAUCUGGUAAUAACUCAUUCUCAAUUUUAGCUACACCCUAUUCUUCUCUACAAAAAUAAGGAUUAAAUGGUGGUCCUUUUUGGCUCCCACGCCCCGGUUAAAUGUUAUGUCCAGUUACAUUAAUUAAUUAAUAAUCUAAAAGAGAAUGAAGUUUUAUUGUAACUAUCUCGACAAAAAUGUUCGAAUAAUGAUUUGCUUUGAUUUUUUUUUUUUUUGUUUUUUUUUUUUGUCAAUCCAUGGUUAAAAGUUGGGAAUUUAUGUAAUUGGAGCAAUCAUAUUUUUAAAAUUAGAAAAAACCUUAUGUGCUCUAUUAUUGAAGAUGAGUUUCUAUCUCGCGCGUCGCAUGUGAAUCAACUUUAACUACACCCUAUUCUUUUCCACAAAGAUAAGGAUUUAGUGGUCCUCUUCGGCGCUAAGUCCCAGGUAAAUAUAAUUUCAAAUUAUAUCAGUUAAUUAAUAAUCUAAUCGAGAAGGAAGUUUUACGUAACUGUCCUUGUGGACAAUAUUUGAAUGGUAAUUUAAGGGGGCGCGGAGCUUCAGCAGCAGCAUGCGGUCACUAUUUGAAUGGUAAUAUUUAAUUUAAAUUUUUAAUUUCGUAAAGAGUUUUUAGAAAUCGUUUAAAAAUUACCGAUGAUUUUUUAAUUCGUCGGUGAUUUCGUCUGUAAUAUUUAAAUGAAAAUUUUAAAUCAAUUGAAUUUUUUCAGAAAACCGCCAAAACACGCCGACGAAUUUUCAAUUCGUCGGUGAUUUUGUCCGUAAAGUAAAACAAUUAACAGUGCAAUUGAAAGAUGAACAGUUCUGGAGCUCUCUGUAAAAUACCGACGGAAAAAUUCCGUCGAUAAUUCCCUUUGUAAUUGAUAUGAUGAACAGUGUUCAUAGUUUACCAACGGAUUUACCGACGGAAUUUGUCCGUCGGUAAUUCCAUUGGUAAAAAAUGACACGUCAUCUUUUGUUUUUUUGCUUUUCUUUUUUUUUUCCCACGGUAAUUCCCUCGGUAUAUACCGAGGGAAUCUUUCCGUCGGUAAAAUCCCUCGGAAAGUUACCGAUGGAAAUAUUCCCUCGGUAUUUCCGUUUGUAUUUAUUGAUUUUCUGGUAGUGUGCAGUUGAGCUCUUUUUACACGUGCAGUUCCUUGAUAUUUUUGUUUCAAGGAAUCCCAAAUGUCUUUAGUUGUGUCCUUCUUCAAUAUUGUUUCUAAUAUUGAUCGAUCAAGAGCCUGAAACAGAUAAGUUUUGCAUUUCAGGUCUUUCAAUUUCUGCUCAUCAAUCUGUUUCUGUUGUGCUUCACUGGGAUCUACUCCAUCUGCUGCUGCAAUGAUCCCUGUCUCCACCAAGUUCCAAUACUCUUUGGAACGUAGAAAGUUUUCCAUCAGCAUACUCCAGUGAUCAUAGUGUCCAUCAAAUCUUAGGAUUGCAGGUUGAACAAAACUGCUCUCAGAUGCCAUUGUCUCUGCACACUAGUGACUGUGUUGACAAAACUCAACAAGGUUGAUAUCUCUGAUACACUCUUGGGACAGGUUGUGAUUGUGGAGUGUUUGUGGAGGGGCUCUGAUACCAAAUGUUAAAAUGCAAGAACGACAUUGAGGCUUACACAGUAAUGGAUUUGCACUAAAAGCUGGGAGUCAUGCUUGAUAUUAUUCAUUGAUGCUUAUGGCUAUUAAAUAGCCUUACAAUAACUGAAAACUAGCAGCCCACGAUUGCAGGACCUAGGAUCGUGGUACACGACUAAAUCAAGAAUAACAGAAAUAGAAUCUUCUCCCUCAAGUAACGGAAAAACUUAUUUGCAAUAUUGAAAUAAUGCUAACUUUAUCAUAUAUAUAUAUAUAUAUAUAUAUAGAGACACACACAUGGAUGAGGGAAAAAAAGAAGAAAAAACGUUCAUGAAUACAAGCUUAGCAUUUGAAAAAUUGUUCUUAUAAGAGGUAACAUGACAAAUUUUUUUUUUUAAUAGGUAAUUAAGUUUUAAAAAAUGAUUGAAUAUUUAAUUUAUAGCGUGACCACAUAAUUGUGGCUCCCGAGCCAUGUUACAAAGUUUUAAAAGAAAAAUAAACAAUGAAUCCUAUUUUAUUUUUCAAGAUUUGUUGGAGCCGAGUAUACAGUUUGUUCCAAUAAAAUAUUACGUUUAAUAAUAAUAAUAAAAUUUUGUUUUGCAAUUCAUUUCGUCUAAUAAAAACCUGAGGAACCCAUUGACCUUGUUAUAUGCAAAAAUUGUCUAGAAAAUAGUAUACAGUAAAACACACAAACACCCACGAGAGCAUGUUAAGGGACUGCUUCGAAGUUGACCGAAGAUAGUAAGAUAAUCUUGUCGGUUGAGAAAAAUCUCUUGUGAAUCCUUUCAGCUCAUAGCACAAACUGUCAUUGAUUAAUAUAUUGUGAGCAAUUAGCACAUUGAAUAUUGAUAUAGCAGCUGUGUCCAUGAUACAAGUAUCCAGGGAGGGCAAAAGGCUUGUGAAAGAAAAGCUUAUUCUACUUUCUUUAUUUUGUUUUCGGCUUUUCACUUGUGUUUUGGUGAAGUUGUAAAGGCUUUUUUAUGGGUUGUAUGAGCUCCAUGCUAGGGUGUUCUUAGGUUAAAGUUGAAGUUUUUUUGAUGAGUUGGUCGGCACAUGACACUCUGACAUGAACGCUCCAUUAUUAGUAUUUUUUUUCCCUGUUUGUAUGAAGUUUGUGUUAAUUAAAUUACUAUAACAUAUAUAAUAUAAAAACUAAUUUUUAAAAAAUAAAUACCAAUAAUUAACAAUUUAAUUACAGCUUAUCAUCAUCUUGAUGGCAUCCCAGUACAGAUCCCUCUACUUUUCAAAAUCCUUGUGUAUGUUGUCACCUUUACAAAGUUAAUUUUAUAAACACCUAGGUUAUUUUCCUCUUUUCAUUUUUCUCUUCAUUCACCGAGGUUACUAUAAAAAAUAAAAAAUAAAAAAUAUAUAUUAUUUUAAUAUAAUUUCAAAUAAAAAAUAUUUAAAAAACAAUUUUUACAUACUCUAUUAACUCUACAGAGAAAAAACAAAAAGAAAAUACCCUUACAUUUGUCACAAUAAUUGUUUUUCAAUUUAAAAUGCAUUAAAAUAAUAUUUUUUUAUUUUUUUAAAAUUUAUUUUUAACAUUAGCAUAUCUAAAUAGUUUGAAAACAUUUAAAAUAUUAACUUAAAAAAAUUAAUUUAUUUUAAAUAUUUUUAAAACACAAAAAAAAAAAAAUCAUAAUUGAGUACUCGACAUUCUCUAUUCAUACCUAAAUUGCCUCCAUAUAAAUUAGUUUAUUUACCAAAAAUAAAUUCUGAAUUAAAAGGUUAUUUGCACGCACCCUUUCUGUCUACUGACAUAUUUUUUAUUUUAUUUUUAAUUUCUUGUGUGUGUUAAAUAUCUAAGUUGUCCUUACACCUAAAAAGUUAAUCAAUCGCUACUUUUAUUUUAUUUAUUUAUGUUUAUUAUUACUACUCCAAACACUGAAACCUAAGACCACCAUACUGAAUAUAUAGAGGUUUUUUUUCUUCGAUUAGAGAUCAUUAGAAUAUGUCAAUUUAACAUCGAAAAAAAAACAAAAUAAUAUCUCAAUUACUUUUUUAUUAAAAAAAUAAAUUAGAAAAUGAAAUUCAAAUUUCGUAAUUUUAACAGCGUGUACAAAAAAUAAAAUAUAAAGGAUCAUUGUUUAAGAACUUACCUAAAAGCAUUUUAAUGAGAAAAACAAAAUUAUUAAGAGUAUUCCAAGCCAUAACAAACGGAUUCAAGGAUAAAUGAAUGUUACGAUUAAGGGUGUAUUUAAUAAUGUAGUAUGUGAUAUUUUUAUAAAUAUAUAUUUUAAUUGAAAAUACAUUAAAAUUAUAUUUUUUAAUUUAUUAACACCAGCAUAGACAUUUAAAAAAACACUAUAAAAAACAUUGAUUUAAUAUAGUUUUUAUAAAAAUACAAUUUGAAAAAGUAUUUUAAAAAAUGAGUGCAACAACAUUACUAAAUAAAAGCUAAAUGGGCUUCAAAUUUGGUCAUUCGAUUCGUGCAUGACGCUGAUUGAUUUCCAAAUUUUUUAAUUUUUUGUUACUUUCUUAAAAUCAACAGAGAAAACAAAAUCUGUCAAAAGUUAGUGAUUAAUUUGAGUUAAUUGAAAAAUUAGAAGGGUUUUUUCUUUUAUUUUUGUAGUAUAUGGACUGUUGUUAUAAUUGGUAAUCGAUUAGUAUCAUAAAAUCAUGCAGACCAAUUGGAUUUGGGGUAUUUAUCUGCUUCAAACAUUGAUCUUGGAAUGUACCUGUAAUCCUAUAGCGAUAUUUUGUGAUUUUUUUUAGUAUUGAUUAAAUUUAUUUUUUAUAUUUUUAAUUAGUUAUUUUAAUGUUUUUAAAUUAUUUUAAUAUGUUGAUAUCAAAAAUAAUUUUUUAAAAAAUAUAUAUAUAUUAUUUUAAUAUAUUUUUAAAUAAAAAAUAUGUAAAAAACAAUUUUUACAUAAUCUACUAACUCUACGUAUGUCACAAAAUCAGUUUGUGACAUAUAGUUACAAGUGCUCGACAAGUUUGUUUAGAUAGUUUACAAAGUCAUAGUUUGUGAUUAUAACAUUAUUAUAUGACUUGAUUUUAAAUCUUAUUUAAAAGUAUUUUAUUUUUGUUUUUUUAAUUUUUUUCUAUAAAUAUAUUUAAAUAAUUUAUUUUAUUUAUUUUAAAUAUAACAUAUUAAAAUAAUUUAAAAAUAUUAAAAAAAAUUAAAAAUUUUAAAAUAUAAAAAAUAUAUUUUUUAUUUAUGAGCAUUAAUGUAUCUCAAUUAAUUAUUUAAAAUCCCGAGGAUAACAACCAAACAAAUUUUUAAGGAUUAAAUGGUGGUCCCCUUUGGCUCAUAAGCCCCAGUUAGAUGUCAUUUUCAGCUACAUUAAUUAAUUAAUAAUCUAAAAAAGAAUGAAGUUUUAUUGUAACUCUCUCGACAACACAAUAUUCAAAUAAUGAUUUGCUUUGAUUUUUCUUUGUUCUUUCCUUUUGUUUUUGUCAAUCAAUGGUUAAAAGUUGGAAAUUUAUGUAAUUGGAGCAAUCAUAUUUUUAAAAUUAGAAAAAACCUUAUGUGCUCUAUUAUUGAAGAUGAGUUUCUAUCUCGCGCGUCGCAUGUGAAUCAACUUUAACUACACCCUAUUCUUUUCCACAAAGAUAAGGAUUUAGUGGUCCUCUUCGGCGCUAAGUCCCAGAUAAAUAUAAUUUCAAAUUAUAUUAGUUAAUUAAUAAUCUAAUCGAGGAUGAAGUUUUACGUAACUGUCCUUGUAAACAAUAUUUGAAUGGUAAUUUGCUUUGUUUUAUUAUUAUUAUUAUUAUUAUUAUUAUUAUUUUGAAUUAAUGAUUAAAAGUUAGGAAUUUAUGUAAUUGGAGCAAUCAUAUUUUUAAAAAUUAGAAAGAAAACUUUCACCUUUUACUUUAUUAUUAAAAAUUAGGUUUUUAUUUCUCGAUACGCAUGCGGAUCACCUUUAGGAUUUCAAAUUGAAUAGAGACCAGAACCUUGACUUGAAGUGGUAUCUAACUAUCUAUGAUGUUUGCUCCAACUUGUGAACGCGGAUUCAGGCCUUCAGCUACAGUAAGAUAAUCGAAAGAAAGGAAAAGGAUAACUGGCAUUAAUGUAUUGCUUUCGAGCAGAGAAAUUAAGAUGGCAUCUCCACCAAAGAAACCUGAAGGGAUAUCUUAAUAAUAACGCAUCUCCCGUCCUCCCUCCAAAAAAAACCUCCCCGUGUUGAGAGAAAUUAAGAUGGCAUCUCCACCAAAGAAACCUCCCCGCACUUGCUGGUGUUGAGAGCAUUUGCUGGUGUUGAGAGAGCAUUAUUUAUAGGCAUCCCAACGGACGUGGCUUUGCAGGGCAUGCCUGUGCUGUUUUCUAGUCAUGGGAGCGCGGGGUUUCAGCAGCAGCAUGUGGUUACUGUUUCUUAUUUUAAGAGGGUGUGGGAUUUUAGGUUUUGGGAGCAGCGUGCGGGGAGAGAGAGAGGAACAGUGUCUUUCAAAACGCCAUUGUUUUUUUUUUUUUUAAUUAAUUGUUUUUUAUUUUAUUUAUUGGGUAUCCAAAAAUGAGUUACAACAUUCAGAAUAAUUUUAAGAGAUCAUUUGUUCUGAUUACAUUGGAAGGCUCUUAGAUGGUCAGGGAGAUUCAUGCCUUUGGGCUUUCUUGGUACAAUUCGAAAGCAUUUUUCAUAUGAUUGGUAGAGCAAAAUUCUGAACCCCGCAUAAACAUGGUACUAGAGAUAAUAAGAGCUCCACAAGUAAUAUAAACUCGGAAUGUAAAGAGAUAGAUAAAUAAUGGGAAUAAUAAUGGAUAUAAUAUGUAAUGAGGGGAUGAUCUCCAUAAAUAAAAAUAAAGAUAUUGUUGAAGUUAAAAUGAGAACUAAGAAAUUUGGUUUAAAAUUCAUAAUAUUGGAAAAAUUAAUUACGAGUUUUUAAUGGAUAUAAGAAUUAGAAAAAAUUAAACUAAAUGUGUUUUAAAAAUAAAAAAUAAUAAUGAUACAGCUCUGUGAAACAUCUCAGUCUAUAAGCUUCUUCACUCUCGUCAAACAACUUUUCAACCAUAACAUCUUGAUGAAGCUGGUUAGAAAGUUCUUCGAUAAGUUUCUCUUGAUCUGGCGCGUAAGAAGUUGUUUGAAUGCCUCCAUGACAUAAUCAUCAUCUGCAUGCCUUUGCUAGGUGCAAUGGUCGAUGGUACAAAUAAGAAAGUCCUCCAGUUCCUUCGCCUUGGGAACCCACAGGUCUAAGAACCUGCAAGCUUUUGACUUCAGUUUUCUUUGCAUCAGUGUCAUUGCACCCUAAUGUUGCCAUUGAAGUUUGCCACAGGUAUGUGCACUCGCAAUUUGAAAUAUUUUUCCAGAGAAUUAAGCUCAUGUACAAGAAGGCUGUAGGAUAGCUGUUUAGUUUUGUUAUUUUCUUUUGGAAAUUAGAGUUGAAGGUGACCUAUAAUGUUUUUUAAGCUCAUGUACAAGAAGGCUGUAGGAUACCCUAUUCUUCUCCCUAAAAGUAAAGGAUUAAAUGGUGGUUCUCUUUUGCUUCUAAGCCCCGGUUAAAUGUAAUUUCAAGUUACAUUAAUUAAUUAAUAAUUUUAAAGAGAAAAUUAAAGAUCAAUAUUAAAAAUAUAUAUAUAAAAAGAACUUUGAGAUUGCCAAUAGCCCCAAAGCAUGUCAAGGAUCGCCGCUGGUUCUACUGCAUGGUAUGGUCAGGUUAUUACUUCUUACCCUGGUCCAAAAUUAUUAAACAACCACCAAGUCUCGAAAAAUAAAAGAAAAGCAAGCCAUUAAUUAAUCAAUACUAAUGAAUUACUUUCUCAUGCUGUUUUGCACUCCAUGACUAAAGCUCUUCGUCUCUUUUUUUUCCUUGUCAAUAAUCAAGAGAAAGGACGCGUCUCAUUUUUUUCUUGAUCAAGAAUAAAUUCAAAAACUUAUUUAAUUAAAUUAUAUUUUAGGUUGGAAUAGUUUUCUUUUCAUUUCUAAGUGGUCAUGUUUCAUUAUUUAAUUACACAAGGGAGCAAAGUUAUAAAACAAUAUACUAAAUAUUGUCAAACGUAUUUUAUAUAAUUUAUAAAUAGGAAAAAACUAAUUUUAAUUGACAGCUAUCAAGCUUUAUAUAAAAUUAUUAAAAUCUCGAAUGUUAAAAAAUCAAUUCAAUUGAAUAAAGAUUUAUACACGAGCGACUAUAUAAAUACAGGCCUUCACGCCCUCCAUCAGUCUCAUUCUCAAGUUGAACAAACCCUAGUGAAAAUGAUGACAUAUUUUCUUCUUUUCUGUUUGCUCCUUUCCCACACAGAAGCAAAAACUAUAUCCCAUCCUCCUGCAGCUCCUUCUCCCCAUCAUUUUCCUCCGCUUGAGUCAUCGCCUAAGGACUCUCUCUUGCCUCGACUUCCUUGUCCUUCUCUACCUACCGAUCAUUUUUGGCUUGUCUACACAUGGCCUAAGGGCUUUUGCUUAAAUUCCCCAUUACAUUGUCCACAACCUCAUGACCUCCCACUCGAGCUAACAAUUCAUGGCUGGUGGCCUGUCGACAGAAAAGAUAGUACUUUGAAUAACUAUCGGCAAGUAGGGCCAAUUAAUUAUCUGGUAAUUACUCAUUCUCAUGUAAUUUGCUGUUUUUAACAUAUAGUUUUUGUCUUAUGAUUUGUGUGUUUUAGUGUUAUAAAAUUCCAACACAUCUUUGAUUUCAUUUUGUGCAGUUUACGGACCCAGCGCUUUACAAUGAUAUGAUAAAUAACUGGCGCAACCUGAAAGCCCACAUAGUGGACAGGGGUGGGCAAAGAGCAUUCUGGGGCCAUGAGUGGGCCCGUCAUGGCAUUUGUUCCGGCUUCGAACCUCGACGAUACUUUAAAACAGCUUUGACAUUGAAGAGAAAAAUUGACAUAUUUCUCGGUUUAAAACCCGGUGCUGCCUACCCAAGACAUAGGUUCGAUGCAGCCUUAGCAAUUGGAUUACCCCCUCAAUCAUUUGCUAUGAGAUGCGGCGACUACAAUGAUGGAAACAAAAUUCUCACCGAAAUCAGGGUUUGCACCAACGAAACCCAUGCACUUCCAUGUUCUCAACCGUUGAAGGACAACUGUGGGCUUGGGGAGAUAAAACUUUAAUAUUUGUACGAAUUGGUAUGUGGUUCUUUAUAUGAUAAAUAUUGGGUUCGAUCACUAUGCUAUUAAUAUUAAAAAGAGCUUUCCAUUGCUACUAAGUUGAGUAAUGAAAAGAAAUAAAGAUUCGUCAUUAUUUGUUUAUCAUUCUAAGCUUGAAACUGUUUACUUACUUUUGUAUGUUGAUGACAUGGUGCUCACUGGCAGUAGUUCUUUGUUGAUUAAGCUCCUUAAUAAAUAUUGUGUUCGAUCACUAGUGCUAGCUUGUCAUGACUUGUUUAACCGCAGAUUGUUUUUGUAAUUUCUUCUCCUUCUUCUUCUUCUUCUUCUUAUUAUUAUUAUUAUUAUUAUUAUUAUUAUUAUUAUUAUUAUUAUUAUCAACCCAUGACCCAUCACGGCCGUGAACUUACAAAGCAACUUUUAUCAACCACCUUCAUCUUCAUGAUAAGACAAUGAGUUUUAGUGCUUAAUAUUUAAAAAUUUAUUUAUUUAAUUUUAAAUUUAUAUAUUAAAAAAAACUACUGAGUAUUUUUGUUACCAUUACCAACCCAGGAAAUGAAAACAAAAGGAACGCCAGCCACUGCUUCAUAAUGGCACCCCAUAAUACUUAUUAUCCAUUCCUAUUUGCCUUUUAAGUUCUCAUUCGUUGUGCUGUGAAUAGGUGCAGCUCUCUACAGGUGUUAUCGAGCUCGUGGCAUGAGCUGUGGAGAGUUUCUUCCUAGCUAUAGGAUGUUUUAGACUUCCUAUGCAAACUGAGGUGAAAAUACUUCUUAUUCUUAAUAAUAAAUAGAUAUAAUCUCAUCAUUUUGAUGUUGCGUAAAUAGUUUAUUGUAUGAUUAAAACGAGCCUUGACCACAAUUUACAAAGUUUGGUCUAAGAAUGAAAACGCCCAUGGAGCUUUGUAAGUUUAAAAUUGGCCUUGACUAGAGUUUAAGAAAGUGGUCCAGCAAUGAAAGCCCAUUGAGAUCACUGUAAGAUUGAGAUGGGCCAAUUUAAUUGGUCUCUCUAUUAGUAUGAAAUAUUCAACCAGGUCCGUCUAUUAAAAUAAAGUUGCAUCAUGUCCUUCUAUAAGAAAGUUUAUGUUUCUAUGUGUUGACAGUGUUAGCACUUAAUUGUCGACAAAUGACAUUGUUAAACAUUAUGAUUCACAUUUAAUUUUUUUGAAAGUCUAAAAAACAUGUUGGAACCUCUGUGUAUAAAUAAGCCUGACAUUCCCUGCUAUGAUUACACCAUAAGCCUGACAUGGAACGACUAAUCAUUCUUUAAACAAGGAAUGGGCAUGGAUCAGCAACGGCACCAAAUUUCAACGGUGAUAAAAAAAAUCUCCAAGGAUUCAGACAAGCUAGUGUGAUUUGGGUACAAACAAACUUGAUGUCCAAGCCCAUUCAUGUUCGCUGAUCCAGUCUAGUAUUCCUUGUGCCUUUCAUUCGCUAAUCAGAUCCUAGAACAAAAAUCUUGAACAUAAGACUGUAAAAGCUAUGAUGAUUUAGGAACCAAUCUCUUUUGAUUCGUUGACAAGUCUACAUAAUCUAGCCCGUAGGUACCCUCAAACUCUUCCCUGAAUUCUUGAUCUAAUAGGGCAUUCUGAGAUUACCUUUGCAGAAACCGGACAAAUUAAGUGGAGAACAGUCCGGCAGGGCAAUGAUCGGACAGAAACAUAAAUGUUAAGAUUAGUUUCAAACAAUCAGAACAGUGAAAAUGCAGCAUUAAAUAGCAACAAGAUGUGGAAAGCAUGUAGGAACAUGCCCUGGAAAGAUCAAUUUCGUAAAAGGAAAUUGUUUUCAUUUUGAGAUAAAAAUGUUACAAGUAAGAACUCGAGCGCUGUAAAAAGGAGGGCUCUGUAAGAGAGGGAAGAUGAAGUCGUGUUGUGUGCAAGCAGCAUAAGAAGAAAGAUGAACUAGGUUUGACCAACCUUGACAGGCAUUCAAUUAUGCAACCAAUUGAUGAAUUUCUGCUGGCUAAAAGGUGCAAAUAAACAAUGAAUCGAACUAAAUACUAAACAAUAAAAAAGGUCACAUAAAAAAAAAUCUCCUCGAAUUAUUAACAAAUACACUAAAAGAACUGGACUUGGUAAUAUUCAUAUAAAAAACCUAAUUUAAAAUAGAGAGAUACUAUCAAAAGUUAAGAGAAGAGAUGAGAGAAAUAGCUGAAUAGAAACAAAAGCAUUCCACACCUUUAAAGUUUGAAAGUUAUUAAAGCUUGAAGGAGAGAAUUGAACUGAGAAGAAUGAGUGAAGGCGGUGAGGAAAAAUAAAACAGAGAGAAGGGGAAAUACUAUUUAUACCAAAAAUAUUUUAGGGUUAUUUAGCAGGCUAUACAUGUUAUAUUAGGUUGAGCAGGUUUUAAAUAUCAAAAUCCACACCCAACCCAUAAUUAAUGUCUAGUUAUUAAUUUUUUUGAUUCACAAUCAUUUGCAGUAUCUAUAUUAAUUAACUUUAAUGGAUUGAGUACAGUUGAAUAUUCAAUUUUUAUGAAUACACCGGUUUUUUCUAACAGCCUUGGUAUUUCUAGUACAAAUUCAUUAAUAAUCCAAAGGGCCAAAAAAAUUACACAAAAGCAUAGCAACAUAUCACACGCUCUCUCCUUUGGAGAGGGCUAUAUUGAUGAUCUAAAUUUAAAACACUUUCACACUACAAAAGUAUGAAAAAAAAAACGCCAGUCAACGGCUACUUUUGCAUGCGUGAACUGAACAAGAGGAACUUCAGAAAAAUGGGCUUGUUUCUCUCACGUGGAUUCACACCAAGAAAAGCUUGAAGCUUGAAGCUUUGCAUUUUAAUGGAAGAAAUUAAGCCUAGAGGUGUAAGUAGCUUUUGGGGCCCAAUUUCUUGGAAUCACAUAUCUUGCAGACAGUGUUCUUCCUGUUGAUAGUGCUGUUAACUUCACACAGAUAAUACCCCAAUUUCACAGUAAAUAGGAGCAUGUUGAGGUAGUGUCGGACCCACACGGGGCUCUCCUUUUCUCUCUCGUGUUUUGCUCUCUCGCUGCUUAUUCCUCCAGCUCUCCAUCCAAGCUAAUAUAGAGCCAUAGAGGCUCCACGCACACCCUCCAUUAGUCUCAUUCUCAAGCUGAACAAACCUUUUUAUGAAUAAAAAUAUUAGGCUAAAAAAUUUUUUAAAUCUAGUUAAUUUUAUGGUCCACAUCAUAAAUUUUUUUAAAAUAAAUUUUUUUUUAAAAAAAUAUUAAACCUGAUUGAGUUUAAAGUUUAAGUCACAUGUUUAAAAAGUUAAGUUACAAUAAUCAGGUAAUUUUUUUUAAAAGUUUUUUUACUAAUAUCUUUUUUUUAAUAAUUUUUAAAUUUAUAUUUCAUUUAAUAUCUUUCAUUUGCUGAUCUAAUAUUUUUUUUUGGAUGAAGAUUGUUUUUUAUGAUGUUGCAUGUUUUUAAUUUUUUAUUUUUUUAAAAGGUUAAAUAUAAAUUUAAAAGAAAAACUUUAUUCAAUCUAUAUCUGAGGCUCCACGCACACCCUCCAUUAAUCUCAUUCUCAAGUUAAACAAAGCCUUGUGAAAAUGAUGACAUAUUUUCUUCUUUUCUGUUCGCUCCUUUCACACACAGAAGCAAAAUCUAUACCUCAUCCUCCUCCAGCUCCUUCUCCCCAUCAUUUUCCGCUUGACUUAUGGCCUAAGGACUCUCUCUUACCUCGACGUCCUUGUCCUCCUCUAUCUCCCGAUCAUUUCUGGCUUGUCCACACAUGGCCUAAGGGGUUUUGCUCAAAUUCCUCAGUACAUUGUCCACAACCUAAUAACCUCCAAGACGAGCUAACAAUUCAUGGCUGGUGGCCUGUCGACAGACAAGAUAGUACUUUGAAUAACGAUCGGCAAGUAGGGCCAAUUAAUUAUCUGGUAAUUACUCAUUCUCAUGUACUUUGUUGUUUUUAACAUAUAGUUUUUGUCUUAUGAUUUGUGUGUUUUAGUGUUAUAAUUAAAAUUCCAACACAUCUUUAAUUUCAUUUUGUGCAGUUUGAGGAUAAAGCGCUUUACAGUGAUAUGAUAAAACAUUGGCGCAACCUGAAAGCCCGCAGUAAGGACAGACUUCAGCAAAUAGCUUUCUGGGAAAAGGAGUGGGCUCGUCAUGGCUAAUAGAGCUUAGUAGCUGCUACCUGGUACUGAGCGUUGGAAAUUGGCUAAUGUAAACGUGGCAGAUGCAUCGUCUGCUUAAACUACUUUGUUAAAUAGUGUAAAUUUCAUCAUUGGCCCCUAAAGUCUUAGAGAAUUGAAAGAAUUGCUAAUUUAGACUCGCUACUUUCAAAACUCCAAGAACAAGCUUUAUCUUUUUUUUUUAGUACCGUAUAACCUUGAUAAAUUAAUAAUUUUCAUUAAAUAAUAUUUUUAUAGUAUCGACUUGAAACCAAGAUGGUAAAUUAAUAAUUUGGUGAAUUUAUAAAAUAUAUUUAAAAAGAAAAUAUAUAGAUCCCAUUUGAUAUAUAAAUUAAUAAUCUUAUUAUAUAUAUAUAUAUAUAUAUAUAUAUAUCAAAAUUAUAUAUACAUGAUUUUAUAGCAUCUUAUACUUGCUUUUUAUUGAAAUUAAUAUUUAUUUUCAUCUUAUCACUAACUUUUCGUAUUAAAAAAAAUUAUACAAAGUGAUUAUGGCUUUAAAUAUUUUUAUUAUUAUUAAUGUGGAUGUCUGAAUUAAUUUGUACGUAUUUUGACUAAUCUCACGACUCCUAAAAUUAACAAUCAUAUAAAUCUCCAGUAGCUAUUAUAUUAGUAAUUACAUGACCGAAAUCUAACAUUAUAAGAGGAGUAAACUCCUUAGUUCAAAAUUCUUUUUAUUGUACCAUCUAUUAAAUGGGCUUUAAACAUUUUUGCACGAGUCAAGCUGAAGCUCAUAUAACCAAUGUAUUUAACUUCAUCUUUCUUUUUAUUUUCGAUAAAGUUCAAUAAUUUGCUCAUUACUUAAUAAUUCUAAAGUUGUCUUUCUUUCUUUUCUAUAGGUAGUUCAAAAGUCACUUAAUAUCUAUAUCAUGAUAGUUCAACACCUUAAUUAAAAUAUAAAAUUAUUGAAUGCUUUUAUCAUCUAGGUGUUACUUUAAAUUUUUUAGAGCCAUAUUAUUCAAAAACUUAGUUUUACAAUGUUAAAAUUUGUUUGUAAUUGUACUUCCUCGAACAUUUGUUGUCGAAGCCAAGACUGCUAUAUUCAUUACAUCUAUAAUAUUAAUCUUCUUUGGAUCAAGGAUUCCAAUUUCAUAUGAUCCUAAUAUGAAUCUUUAAUAUAGUGUUGGGGUAGUAAGAAAAACAAUUUAAUUUUUUAUUGAUGGGCGUGGCAGCUUCUCGGUAACAUUUUUUCUCCUGGGUUUUUGGAAACUUACAGCUUAUCAAAUCAGCUUCUUCAUCUUCUUCUUUUUUACUUUUCUGAAACAACUAGGCAAGAAAAGAGAAAAGAGGGGGGAGACACGCCGAAGAAGAUGAAGAUUUCUUAUGUUCUUCUCGGGGGGUUUGGUCUAUGGUUUUCUCCUAAUCAAGAUUGAUGUCCAUUUGUUGUUAAGGUAUUGUACGUAAUUCCUUUUGUUGUGAUUGAUUUUAAGGUUGAUUAAAAAGGCACCUGAUACUAGCAUCUGUUGGGAUUAUUCCAGAACUCAAACACACACAAUUUACGUGAUUCGACAACUUGCCUACUCCAUGGAGCUACUGGUUUGUAUUAAUGAAGCUUACAAACAAUACAAACAACAAAACAAGGAGGAGGAGAAAACUCUUCUCAACUCAACUCUACACUCAAGCUCUCUCUACUGCUCUCUCUUCUCUUUUUUGUAUGUUCUCUCUGUGUUUUGCACACACAACACACAGCUCUUCACAGAGCACAUAGAUAUAUAACAAAGGGAGUGAGGGGGCAUAAAUCAUGCAAUGAUUUAUGCCCGCCGAUUGUGUCCUCUACCAUGUGCAAAGUGGGAGAUUAGGUAUUCCCACUUGCACAUGGUGGGACAUGGUUUGUCUCCAAUAAUUAACAAUCUCCCACUUGGAGACAAAUAAUGAAAUUAUCUUUUAUCCUUGAAGGCCAACUGAAGUUUUACACAACUUCAGUUUAUCAAGUGUAACUCCUUUGGUUAACAUGUCAGCUGGAUUCUUGCUUCCACAGACCUUUUCUAGCAUUAGUUGCUCGUCGUCCAGCAGUUGUCGGAUGAAGUGAUAUUUGAUCUGAAUAUGCUUCGUCCUGGAGUGAAAUGUUGGAUUCUUGGCAAGGAAGAUUGCACUCUGACUGUCGCUAUACAAAGUACCUUUUCCAUUCAACUUGCCCAAUUCUUUCAAGAAACUCUGCAACCAUACUAUUUCUUUUGCAGAUUCUGAGACUGCAACAUAUUCAGCUUCUGUUGUUGAAAGAGCAACGAUCUUUUGCAAGGUAGAACUUCAUGAAACGACAGUACCUUCUAGAGUAUAAACAUAUCUUGUAGUGCUCUUUCUGCUAUCAACAUCUCCUGCUAGAUCAGCAUCUACAAAACCUUCAAGUUUCAAACCACCAGCUGUGAAACUGAGACAAGUUUCCGAUGAACCUUUUAAGUACCUCAUGAUCCAUUUCACCGCCUCCCAAUGCUGCUUUCCAGGAUUGCUCAUAUAUCGGCUUACAACUCCCACUGCAUGGGCAAUGUCUGGUCUGGUACAGACCAUAGCAUACAUCAAAGAGCCGAUGGCUGAGGCGUAUGGAAUCUUAUCCAUGUAUCCACUUUCUAGCUCAGUUUUGGAGAUUGAUCUUUGCUGAGCUUGAAAUGAUUCCCCAGUUGUGUACUUACUGGUUUAGCAUUAUCCAUACUAAACCUGCUGAGAACCUUCUUGACAUACUCUGUUUGUGAGAGCUUUAGUAUGCCUUUGUCUUUAUCUCUGAUGAUUCUCAUUCCAAGUAUUUGUUUAGCAGCUCCCAGAUCCUUCAUUUCAAACUGUUUCGACAACUGCUGUUUCAGCUUAUCAAUCUCCUCAAAGCUGGAUCCUGCAAUCAACAUAUCAUCUACAUAUAAUAGUAGAAUGAUGUAAGAGUUGUCAAAAUGUUUGACAUAGCAACAAUGAUCAGCUUGGCAUCUUGUAUACCUGGAACUGCACAUGAAGUUGUCAAACUUCUUGUACCACUGUCUUGGAGCUUGCUUCAAACCGUAUAGGCUUUUCUGUAGCUUGCAGACUUGAUUCUCCUUUCCUUGCAUUGCAAACCCCUCUGGUGUUGCAUGUAAAUAUCUUCCUCCAAGUCACCAUGAAGGAAUGCUGUUUUUACAUCUAACUGUUCAAGAUGUAAAUUUUCUGCAGCUACUAUCCCCAGAACAACUCUGAUUGUUGUGAGCUUCACAACUGGAGAAAAAAUCUCAGAGUAGUCAAUGCCUUUCUUUUGUUGAAACCCUUUGACAACAAGUCUUGCCUUGAACCGUUUGCUUCCGUCAUGCUCAGUCUUCACUCUGUAAACCCACUUAUUUUGCAAGGCCUUCUUUCCUUCAGGUAAUGUGUUAGCUCCCAAGUCUUGUUCUUCAGCAACGAACUCAUCUCAUCCUUCAUGGCUAACUCCCACUUGCUUGAGUUUCCAUCUUGUAAGGAUUCUUCAUAAGUAGCGGUUCACCACCAUCUGUCAGCAAAAUAUAAUUCAGUAAAAGUGUGAACCGUUGCGGGGGCUUUAUCGUCCUCGAAGACCUGCGAACAGCUGGUUCAAUUGCUCCAUCUUCUUGUGUGUAACACAUGUGCUUGAAUCUUCUUGUAAAGACUCUUGAUUGUUGUUCUGCUUAGUAACAUCGGGAAGCCCUUCUAAUCUUAUGAAUUCAGAUCUUUGUGGACUUGUAUCUGAAUCAGCCAUCUCUGUUUCUCACUUGAUCUGUCUUUGUACAUAACUUUCUCAUUGAAGAUCACGUUCCUGCUUCUGAUAAUCUUUCUAUUCUGAUCAUCCCAGAACCGAAAUCCAAAUUCUUCAUCUCCAUAGCCAAUGAAGAAACAUUUCUUGGAUUUGGCUCUAACUUGUUGCGAGCAUCAGAAUCUAUGUGAACAUAGGAAACACACCCAAAGACCUUCAAAUGAGAGAGUUGUACCUCUUUUCCUCUCCAUACUUCCUCGGGCAGUCUGAAUUCCAAAGGAACUGAUGGUCCACGGUUGAUCAAGUAAACUGCGGUAUGAACUGCGUCAGCCCAGAAUGUUUGAGGUAACCCUGAAUGCAACCUCAUGCUUCUAGCUCGUUCAUUGAUGGUCCUGUUCAUCCGUUCAGCAACGCCAUUCUGUUGCGGUGUGCCUGGAACGGUCUUUUCCAUUCUGAUACCAUUGACAGCACAAAUACUCCUUGAAACCUCCAUCAAUGUAUUCUCCUCCAUUAUCAGAUCUCAAGCAUUUCAACUUUAGACCUGAUUCAGUCUCAACCAUAGCCUUCCAUUUCUUGAAUGUUUCAAACACAUCAGAUUUAUUUUUCAGAAAGUAGACCCAUACCUUCCUGCUGAAGUCAUCAAUGAAAGUCACAUAAUACCGAGAACCUCCAAGAGAUGCUACUGGAGACGGUCCCCAUAAAUCUGUGUGUACCAGUUCUAGCUUUCUUGGUCGUAAGGUCCUGCCAACCUUCAAGAAACUGACCUUCUUCUGUUUUCCAAGAACACAGCUUUCACAAAUGUCUAGAUCGACAUUUUUUAACUCUGGCAGCUUUCCCUUCGACUGAAGUAUCUUCAUCCCCUUUUGACUCAUAUGGCCAAGUCUACAAUGCCAUAGUGUGCUUGAUUUUCUGCUUCAGUUGAGGCAAUGAUGUCUGCAAAUCUUGUGGUCAUAUACAGGGUGCCGGUUUUCUUUCCACGAGCUAAAACCAUUGCUCCCUUUGAUACUUUCCACAUUCCUCCAGCAAAAAGUAUUGAAUGACCACUAUCAUCAAGUUGUCCGACAGAGAUCAACUUCUUCUUUAAUUCAGGAACAUGCCUUACAUUCUGCAAGGUCCAUAUAGAUCCAUUCAUUGUCUUGAUUUGCACAUCUCCUAUACCCACAAUAUUCAGUUGUUCCAUCGGCCAGAUAGACUACACCAUGAUCUCCUCCAACAUAAUUUUGCAGCAUUUCAUUGUGUGGCGUACAGUGGAAUGAAGCACCAGAAUCAAGAAUCCACUCAUCAAUUUGACUAUACAGCAAGAAUUAAAGCAUCUUGUACCUCAUCUGUGGUAGCGUUUGCAGAGUCAGCUUCAGGUUUCUUCGGUUUUGUGCAAUUCCUACUGAAAUGACCAGGUUUGCCACAAUUCCAACAUUCAACCUGCUUUCUGGAUCCAAACUUGCUUUUACUUCUGUAUCUGGAUUUUGAUCUGCCUCUGGAUGAGCCUCUAUCUGUCUCCUCCCUCGAGUGUUGAUGUUGAGAGCUGAUCCUGAGCUUGAACUUUCACCCGAGUCUUUCCUUCGCACUUCUUCAGCCAAAAUCAAGUCUCGAAUGUCAUCAUACUUCAGUUUGGAUUUUCCAGCUGAAUUGCUCACGGCUGUCCUCAUGCCUUCCCAACUGCUUGGAAGUGAAGCUAGCAAGAUGAGUGCACGAAUCUCAUCAUCAAACUCAAUCGCAACAGAUGAUAAUUGAUUUGUGAUGGUAUUAAAGUUGUUGAGGUGUUGUGUCACAGAAGUGUUUUCGACCAUCUUCAAGUUGAACAACUUUUUCAUCAGGUGCACUUUAUUAUUUGCUGAUGGCUUCUCAUACAUCCCAGACAAGGCUUCCAUCAAUUUUGCAGUGGAUUUUUCUUUCGUAACAUUGUGAGCAACUCUUCUUGAUAACGAUAGCCGGAUAAUGCCCAGAACUUGUCUAUCAAGAAGUUGCCAUUCUUCUUCUUCUCUUUUCUGGUUUGCUUCCCAAUAAGGGAAGAUGAAGUUUCUUCCCAUAUAAUAAUCUUCAAUUUGCAUUUUCCAGUAUCCAAAAUCUGUCACGUCAAAUUUUUCAAUUCCAGCAGCCUUUAUUUCAUCUACCUUUUUUACUACUUCUCUGAUUCGAAUUUCCCAAAUCUGACCUUACAGAUGUGUCCGGAACGACAAAAAACGUUGGAAAUGACACUGAGAUCACCUCAAUUAGACUUCGGAUGGCUCAUAUUUUAGCAAUCAAAGUUUUGGAUUAACGAACAAUGCAGAUGCAGCCGCGUGUCAGCCAGAGUACCGCAUGCAUCGCAUCGAAUCAAAACUCAUAAACGGUGCAGAUGUGGACACGUGUCUGAAGUUCAGCGUCUGCAUCGCACAUGAUCAAAACUCAGUAACGGUGAAGAUGAAGCCACGUGUCAGCAGAGUAGAGCCUGCGUCGCAACGGAUCAAAACUCCUCAACGGUGUAGAUGGAGCCACGUGUCAGAAGAUCAGCGCCUGCGGGGGCGUACGGAUAUGCUGACAUGGACUGAGUGACGUGGAUGUUUGACCGUACGGACUGUUAACUGGACGAAUGACGUGGAUGCUUGACCGUACGGACUGCUGACUAGACGAAUGACGUGGCGGGUCAACUAGACCCGUUUUACAGAAACCGGGCGAGGAAGGAGCGUGGCGCGCGUACGACGCGUUGGUGCGCGUGGGCAGUCUGGACAUCGGCGUGUGGGGGCACGUGCGGGCAUGCAGGACGUCGGGUCUUCGCCGGGUUUUCACCAGUGGAUUCGUCUGGUCGUCCUCUACACGAUGGUAUGCUGAAAAACACGUUUUGAGAACUUUGAUUGUUGAGUUUGGAUCAAACACCCUCUUUUUCAAGAACAAUCUCUGAUACCAGUUGUUGGGAUUAUACCAAAACUCAAACACACACAAUUUACGUGGUUCGGCAACUUGCCUACUCCACGGAGCCACUGGUUUGUAUUAAUAAAGCUUACAAACAAUACAAACAACAAAACAAGGAAGAGGAGAAAACUCUUCUCAACUCAACUCUACACUUAAGCUCUCUCUACUGCUUUCUCUUCUCUUCUGUAUGUUCUCUUUGUGUUUUGCACACACAACACACAGCUCUUCACAGAGCACAUAGAUAUAUAACAAAGGGAGUGAGGGGGCAUAAAUCAUGCAAUGAUUUAUGCCCGCCGAUUGUGUCCUCUACCAUGUGCAAAGUGGGAGAUUAGGUAUUCCCACUUGCACAUGGUGGGACAUGGUUUGUCUCCAAUAAUUAAUAGCAUCUUCAGUUUGGAACUAAACACUUUCAAGCACAAUCCACAGAGAAAAAAGACACCAUAUGUCUCAAGAUUUGCCUUUUAUAUGUAAGUUUAACUAUAGCACUUUUGGGAUCCCUGUUUGGAUAUGGUUCGUGCUUUUUUUAGGUUAAUUUUUGUUACCUUUCAAUUUUAGUGUUUGCUUCUAAGGAUUAGAGUUAGGUUUUUUUUAUGUGUUGUUCAUCUCCUUUGCUUUAUUGGUGUUGCAUCCCUCCCCUGCCUCUUCUGUAAUGGGAUUUUCUCUUGGAAAAUCUCAACCUUUUCAGCUGCUUGCUUGAACCAUGUCAAAAAGAUUUUUUUUUUGGCCCAACCUAAUCAAAUCCAAAAUGUCAGUUUGUGUUGGACUGUAUAUAUUGAGAAAGCUUUGCCAAUACAAUAGUGACUGUUAUUUCCUGACACAAGUAUAGAUGAAUUGUAUGGAGUUAUAAUUAAUAUAAUUCAUUGUUAUAUGAUUCAUGGGCAUAAUGUGAAGGUGCAUAAUGAUUUGAAGUAAGGAGGAGAUAGAAAAUGAUGUCACAUUGAUGGUGAUUUGAUUGUCUCUCGGUAUUUUGGUUGAUAAGCGGGCUUAUAUAUUUCAAUGUAUUUAAGAGUAUUGUAGUAGUUAUUUUUUAAAAUAUUUUUUUUAUUUUAAAUAAAUGUUUUAAAAAAUUAUUUUUAAUAUUAAUAUAUUAAGAUGAUUUAAAAAUACAUAUUAUUUUUUAUUCUUGGCAUUGAUUUUGUUAGAAACUUGAUGAAACACCAAAUUAUUUGCCUAAACACCCAUGUCAUCCCUUUAGAUUCAAUGUUCUUUUUUUUUUUAAUGGAAGAUCUAGUAAAUCUCUUUGAAAACUAGAAUGAAAUGCUCACUCUUUUUUUUAUAUAUAAAAAUACAUAUUUAAAAAUUUUAAAAAAUUUAAAAUUCAAAUUUAUUUUUGGAACACAAGAAGAUAAACCUUCAAGCUGCAAAAGAUCAAAAUAUUAGAAAAAUAACUAGAUUGAAAGCUUUGACAAGAUAAGAUGAAGAAAGAAAGAAAAAAUGAGGUUAUUGGUGCUUCGAUUUAAUUACUUUCAAUAUUGUUAUCCUCUAAUUAGUAUUAAUAGUACUCAUCUGUAAAGUAAUUACAAAGCUAAGAUGUUGGUUGCAGUUGCUUAUGAUACGAAUAACGAAGUUUAUUCAUUGUGUUUUUUUUUUUUUUGUUAUGGAAGAAGAGACAAACAAACCUAGUCGCAUUUCUUGAGAUGUUCAUGUAACUCGAUGCAAUAUGCCCUUGAUAUCUGAGAAAGAAUCAAUUGGUAUGCAAUAUGGUUUUAUAUUUAUUAAAUACCAUAAUAGUUUUUAUUGUGAAUGAUGACUAAUACUUAUUUUUUAAUGUAUGUAUAUAGAUUAAUUACUUGGUACGGAAAACUCGAAAAGCAGCAACAACUAUCUUUAAAGGUGUCGAUAAGAUGGGACAUAGUGUGGCCAACAUCACCUUCAAUUUAUGUUGUGAUAGACUUCAAGAGGUUGGGGAGGUUGAAGCAACAUUAACGGAAGAUGAGAUUGCUUAUCGUGAAAGUGUUAAAGAUGGUGGCCCGUCCAUGAUCAUCCCAUGUCCAUCCAUGUACUGGAAAUGAUAUUGGUCCUCCUCAAAUCUACAUAGAUAUUUCAAACCCAACCUCAAAUUGAACAAGCUGAGAGAUUAUUAGAUAUAAUUAUAUAUUAUUAUAUGUUGUAAUAAUUAUGAAUAGAUAAAUAGUUAGUUUAAUUUUUAAUAGAAUGUUAUAUUAUCUUAAUCAUUAUUUGUAUAUUUAUUAUUUAUAAUUUAAUAUGUUAUAUGGUGCUUAUAUAAAUUGCAUUUUAAUAAUAAAAAACUGGUUAUUUAUAAUUGUACAAAUUACUGUUUUUUUUUUUUGUGAAAAUUAAGGGCAAAAUAGAGUACUCCCAGAUGUCUAUAUUAAAUGAGUCAUAGAUGACAUGUGGAAAAAUGAUCUUUCCAAGCUAAGAUAUCUCGAGUUACAGCACCACUUUUGUUGCCUCGUGCUCCUUCUGAGGACUACAUCAUAGGCGGAUACAAGAUACCACGGGGCAUGAUUGUGAUGGUCAGUGUAUGGGCUUUACAUAGGGAUCCAAAGUUAUGGAAAGAGGAUGAGAGCUUUGAGCUAGAGAGAUCUAAAAAUAUACCAACCAGUGAAUUUCGAAUCUUUGCUAUUGAUAUCGAGCAUUGAUAUUAAUAUUGAUGCAUAGUGCGACUCGUUAAUCUAAUUAAGAUUACUAGGGAUAAAAUUAAAAAAAAAACAAAACAAAAGUUGUCAUUUAAUAAUUAGUGACCAUAACUAAUUUUUGAAGGUUCUAAAUUAUAUAUAUAUAUAUAUAUAUAUAUCAAUUUUUAUUAUUAUAUAAUUUAUUAAAUAAAUAAAAGUACCUGCGAGAUCAAAUAUCUUCAUCCCAUCUCUCCUCUAAUUUGAAUCAAUAAGGUUCACAGGUUCAAGAUCAAAUAUAUCCAUAAUAUCUUCAUCCCAUCCCUCCUUUAAUUUGAAUCAAUAAGGUUCACAGGUUGAAAGCAUUUGCUUUAGAUUUGUGUUAAUGUUAAAAAUUAAAAAAAAAUUAUUCUAAUAUAUUUAUUCUAAUAUUAAAAAUAAUUUAAAUAUAUUUUCAAAUAAAAAAUACUUAAAAAACAAUCAAUAUUUCACUUUAAAUUACCCCAUUAAUAUUAUCUUCGACCAUCAAUCUUGGUAAAAAAACAAAAGAGAAUGUUGAGAAAUGUAACUUAAUUCAAGGUUUUGAGUUCUAAAAAUUAGUGGUUCAAUAAUUAUUAAAAACUUAUAUAAUUAUUAACUUUACAUUUUAAAAAGAUUAAUUAAAAUAUACUUAAACUAAUCCGGAUAACUACUAUUAAAAAAAAAUGCUAAGGAGAAGAGAACAUCUGCUUUUCUUCCUGACCCCAUGAUUACAGCGUUCGGGUAAGUUAGUAUAUUUUUUUAAAAUAUCGCUUAUGUUCUGCACAAUCAAUCAAAAUAAGAUGUACACUUUGAAAAUUGGCAAAAGCAAGAGGGGAUUAGCUCCUGGAAAGUGAAACUUGACAAAUAUUCUCUUGUCCCCACUUUGGAAAUGAAAGAUCGGAGUCUGGACGAAGUACCUUCCUAGCAUCUGCCAUCAAUAUCGACCACACCUUCAUUUGACAUCACAAUGAAAUGGACAACGAAAUUAUGGGAGAAAAUCAAACGCAGACCGAGUCAACAAAAGACAUAGACUAAGACUAAGACAUUGACAACUAUUCUCUUGUCCCACAAAAGACUUAGGGUCCGUUUGGGUAUGCGGCUGCGUUUUAAAUAAAACACAGCGCAACCGUUUGGUUAAGAAAAAAAGUAUUUUACUGUUCAUGGGCUCCACUUAAAAUCUACGUUUCUAACGCGAGGAAUGAGAAGCAGCUAAUUCAUGCUUUUUCUCUACUGUCCAUAUACUUGCACUGUUCAAUGAACAGUGCAAUUACAUGAACAGUUUUAUUCGUAUAUAGUUGACAUGAACAGUGCUGGGAAUUGCACUGUUCACUCAAGGAAUAGUGAACAGUGCAAUUCUCUUACACUGUUCACAGCCUUUUUUUUUUUUUUUUUGGUGUGUUAGUUUUUUAAUAUUUUUUUUAAAAAAAUUAGUUUAGAGUUAAUUUUAUACCUGAUAAUAUUUUAUCUAAUUUUAUUACAUGCUAAAAAUAUUAUGAAAACUGUAAUUUUUGUUGGAUGAAUCUCGUACGUAAUGGAAUUAUAAAUGGUUUCAUGGAAUAAUAAAAAUUAUAUUUAUAUAAAGUAUGAUUUAUUUCAUGAUAUAAUAGCAAUAGUUAAAUCCACAAUAUUUAAAUUAAAAAUCAUAAGUACUAAUAUAUAUUUUUAAAAUUAUUUUAUAACCUCAAUUUUAAAAGUAUUCUUAACCAAACACAUUAAAUUAUUUUUUUUUCAACUUCAAUUUCAACCACAGUUUUAACCAAACACCUAUUUUCUCAAACCAAACUCAACUAAAAGCACUUUUUAUAAAACAAUUUUUUUUAAAACCACAACCACAACAGCUACCACAAUACCAAAUACACUCUUAAGACUAGCAAGUUGCAUAGACUAAGACUUUUAAUCGGACUUGUUGGGUAAUUUGGAGGUUUUAUAAUUUUUAUUAUUUUAACUUAACAUUGCCCAAUCCCUUACUAUUUGAUUUGACAUCACAUGAAAUUAUGGAAGAAAAUCGAAGACAGACCGCGUCCACAAAAGACAUAAACUAAGACUUUUUUUUCUCUCUCUGUUUUUUUUUUAAAACGACCAAGACAUAGACAACUAUUCUCUUGUCCCUCAAAAGACUCAAGACUAGCAAGUUGCAUAGACUAAGACUUUUUUUUCUGUUUUCUUUUUCCAAACGAAAGCGAUUUCAUCCAAUGAUACUUCGCUGGCAUUGUCUGAAAAUUUUUCCAAAUAAUUUAUUUUAAAUUAUUUUAAACAUAACACAUUAAAACAAUUUAAAAAUAUUAAAGAAAAUUAAAGAAAAAAAAUUAAUUUUUUAAAAUAUAAAAACAAAUAAUUUUUUUUUUGUAAUAGUGGAUUUCCAAGCUAAUUUAUACGAACUUUGAUUAAUUUUACAAGAUUUUAAAAUGAUUUAUAACACUUGAACCCGUAAUAUAUAAAGAAUAUAUAAGAUACAUGCUAAUAUAAUUCAUAUUUUCCUCUUUUCCUUCCUUUUCUAGAUGCUGCUUUAACCAUGGCCGAGGCUGCUCUCUCCUUCUGGUCUAUUUAAAUUAGAAGUCCAGCUGUCUGAUAUGUAUAGCUGAUUCAACUAACACAAUACUUUCUUUUGCCAUGUCUCGCGUAGCAAUAAACAUUGAUGAAAACUCGAUUCCGGGAGAUCACAUGGCAAAUGCAAUGAUAGAUAGGCAGUUGCAUGAGUGUGUGAGGCAGGACAAUACUGAGGCCUUUAAAAGCCGUGUCGAGCAACAUUUAACAGAGAAGCUAGUGACACCCUGCGGUAAUACACUACUUCACGUAGCUGUAAGCUAUGGAAGUGACAAUUUUACAUCUUAU